rnacentral:lncRNA from 1 species
UAUUAAUGUAUAGAAUUUAAAUUUAUAAGAUAUUACCUGUUGUCAUGAGUGCAGACUUGAUAGCUGUUGGAGAUCAAUUAGGAUGUGCAGCUUUGAGGAGUGCAACAAUUCCUGCGACAUGAGGGGCUGACAUGGAUGUUCCUCACAUGAUGUUGAAUCCAUUGUAUCCUCCUAGAGCGGGAGGAAAUGCUAUGAGUAUAUUAACUCCAAGAGCUGCAAUAUCGGACUGUAAUGAUAUAUAUUUUAGUAAAACUUAUAAGUCACUUUCAAAAAAUAUAAUAAAAUAAUUCAGUGAGAGAAAUUAUCAAACUAAAAGACGAUAAAAAUUAUUAAAUCAUUUUUAUAUUUACCUUUAGAAUUUCUGGGGCAAAGAAAUUGGGGACUCUUGAGGAGAAUCUAGCACCUUUAUGUAUGCCUCCUUGCCGUCACGAAUUUGAGUUUGUCCAUAUUUAAUUAUUGGAUCUUGAUUGCUGUUACAAAUGAUGAAUCAAUUCAGUGAUGUAUAAUAUAACAAGAAAACUAGAGGUACCUUGGCAUGAUAAAAGUCAUUUUAUUUUAUUAUUUUUAAAAGUUAAUUGUUUCUCAGAAAUUAAAUCAUUUCCUCAAAUUUAAAAAGUUCUCUUGUGUUUGGUCGGAGAAUGGAUAAGGUUUCCAAGAAAAUAAUAUUUAUUAGAGAUUGAUAAUAAUAUUAGCACAAGAUAAUACUCCCCGUCCCAUUUUAUCCGUCUCAAAUUGGGAUGAUACAGCUAUUAAGAAAAUAAUGAUUGGUAAUGUAACUUUAUCGUUUUGCCCCUCUUAAUUGUGUCUUGUUGUUAGUUUCAAUAUUGAUGGAUGACCAAUACCAAAACACCAUUUAUAUUCUUAAUGAUGUACUUUUAAUGGUACUCUUUUUUGCAACAUUUUUCAAGAAUACUAAUAACAAGGAGCAAGCAAUUACACUAAGGGUAUAAUGGGAGAAAAAAUUGUCUUGUCUUGAUAAGUAAAAAAGGAUAAGUAAAAUGGGACACUAAAUUAGAAAAUUUGGAAUGAAUAAAAUGGGACGGAGGAAGUAUUUAACAACAAAGCAUAAUUAUUACAUAUUACUAAUAAUAUGUAAGUGUUGGUUAAAAUUAAUGACGUGAAGAUAAGAGUUAGAGACAAUUGCAUGCGACUUCCAUCCAAGAGCUAGGAAGGUCAUUUUUUUUUUUUUUUGGUAAAAUAAUUUUCUCCAUUUUUAGUGAUCUGACUUCUAAAAAUAUUUUUAACUCGUAUCAAAUAUACCUUAAAAUAUUCAAAAAUAGGAAAAGAAAAGAAUAAAAUGAAGAAGGAACGGAGCAGGAGAAAAAUAUGUUUACUUUGAUAUACGUUGUUGAUAAUAAUCAAAAAUUUGAUUUCCUUGCUCGAAAUCAACGGUUAAAAAAGGUUUAGGAUUUCGAGUAAGUUCAGUGACGUCAAGGAGUUGAUCAGCGGGAACUGUAGCAAAAAUAUAAGCCAAAACUCCUCUAUCCUCUACAGCCUCUACACAUUCAGCUAUAUCUCCAUUUUUUUUGAAAGAAAAGCAUUAGAACUUUUCCUUUUAGUCCACUAGCAAUAAAUUUAAGGUCUUCAGCACUGCAAUAUUUGAAAAUGCAAGUAUUAGCAUGUAUAGAUAAAUAUUUUAAAAAAUGGUUUUAGUGAGAAACUACAAUAACUCUCGGGCCUUUAUGCCAAAAAUAUUCUUUAUCUAAACUAUUUUGUCAAAUACCCACAAGUUUUAAAUUCUUUGUCAAAUACCCACUUAAUUCCCCCUCACCACCAACUUUUCCAACUUAACAAUUUCAGCCUCAACCUUUAUAAUAAUUCACUUUAACUCAAUACUUCCAACUUAAUAAAUUCACCCAUAAGUUUCUAAUAAUACACUUCAACCCACUCCAUUAUCCACCACUAUAUAUAUAAAAAUAAUAUCUAGGUUUUCAAAAAUAUUAAAAAAAAUAAUUCCAAAAGCUAAAAAUAGAAAGUGGUUAUUUUUUCCACCAAAAAGCUCCGAAUCCGGCCACUUUUUCAGUGUUAUUUUCCGGCGAUCAGCUAUAAAUUAGUCCAGAAACAUCAUAAGCUUGUCCAUUGCAUCCAUUGUUACCCCAUUUGUUUCCUAUCUUCCCAAACACACUUUCCACCAUUGUUAAAAAGCUUUAAAUCACUCACAUUACUCAAAGCCACUUUAGAAAGUGCAUUACAGCAGCUCAGGUGACUCCAAGUUCAUUUCUUUAUUCCACAAACCCAACAAUCAUUGAUUACAAGUGAUAUUUGCAAUUUCAAGUAAUUGUACGAAAAUCUGCGCAAUCAUCGACCCAUCUUGGCCAGUCAUCGACCGUGCAUACAACACGACAUAGACCAUAAGCAUAAUCUACCAUCGACUGAAGCUUAAUUCUAGGAUGUCUAUUCCAAAAUUUGUUCUGGUUUCUGGUGAUUUCAUGGGAGAAUGGGUGGAGACUUCGAAAUGUUGGAAAUGGAGAUCAUUUACCAAGGUGACAAUUCCCAUUCCUGUUCGCCGCAACAGUUCGUACGAGGAAUUUGUUACAAGCGUAAUGCAGAGUGGGGAUCUAGAUUGUGCGCCGAGCGCCGUGGUGAUUAGUUAUGUAAUGCAUUCGAGGAAAAAGGUGAAUCAUACGAUCAUAAAUAGUAAUGUACGUGCGCUGACGUACAUAAUGGAUGCUGAUGUAGAUGACUUUAGGCCAAUUUUGAGGAUAAAUGUGGUUGAGAGGUCCUUUGAAGAACCGCUGAAUUCAUCAGCACCCCCACUGCGGCGCCCGGCAGUUGAUGAUGAUUUGAUCGACGACGAUUUGAAUGAUUACGAGAACGAUGUCGAUGAUACAAUUAAUAUGGAAGAUUAUUCUAUGCAUAUGGAAGACUUUUCAUCGGACUCGCAAGAUGAUGAAGAAGACCGUGAAACAGAAUCAUAAGCAAGACACUCCUUCACUGAUGGAACCAAUUUAUGUUGUGGUCAAACAUUCGCUGAUAAAAAAGAGCUGAAAAUGCAACUAGACGCAGCAGCGGCGAGGCAGUCUUUAGAUUAUUAUAUGGAGAAGAGCUGCACAAAAUUGGUGAAGGCGCAAUGCUUAUCUCAUGGUUGUGACUGGCUGUUGCGGGCAAAAAAGUACGACACCUUGGACAGAUUUUGCAUAUAUAAGUAUGUCGGGAUGCACACGUGCAGUGUUGAAAAUGCUACCCACAGGCACAAAAAAGUCUCAUCCGAAUUGAUUGCUUCAGUAUGCAUAAAUCAUUUUCGGGAUGGUAAGGGUCCAAGCAUAAGAGAAAUUCAAAGAAUUGUAUUUAAGGAGUUGCGUUGCAACGCAAGCUAUUGGAUGUGUUGGAAAGGAAGUGUAAUUGCGAAGAACAUCAUUCGCGAGACACCAGAGUACGGAUAUGCUUGCUUACCGGCUUUUUCCCACAUGGUAGAGUUAUUGAAUCCCGGGUCUUCUUACUCUAUCAUGGUAAACCGGAUGGAUAGAUCAUUCGUUUACUACUUUUUAGCAUUCGGAGCUUGCAUACGAGGAUAUACCCACAUGAGAAAGGUAAUUGCUGUCGAUGGCACACAUUUGUAUGGCAAGUACGGGGGCGUUCUGCUGAGCGCCGUUGCACAGGACACCGAAAAUCAUAUAUUUUUUAUUGUCUUUUGUGUCGUCGAUAAAGAGAACGAUGCUUCUUGGACCUUCUUCUUCCAGAAGCUGAAGUCUAUCAUAGAAGAUGAACCAGAUCUAUGCGUCAUCUUCGACAGGCAAAUUAACAUCGCCAAUGCCUUCUCCCAUGUAUACAGUCGUGCACAUCACGGACUUUGCAUGAGGCACCUCGCUUAAAAUCUUCGCGUAAAUCAACACCGUGGAGAACAUCUUUAUCUAUUCUACGCUGCAGUAAAGGCUUAUUCCUUUGAUGAGUUUAGCGAUAAUUUUGUGGAAUUGAAGAGCAAAUUCCCCGAGGUAGCUCAUGUCCUUGAAAAUGUGCUUGGUUUUGAAAAAUGGAGUAGAGCACACUCUCCGGGCAAUAGGUACGAUGUGAUGACCACAAACAUCGCCGAGUCGCUCAACUCGAUUUUGAUGGAUGAACGGGAGUACCCCAUGUCGUACAUAUUCAAUUCAAUUACUAAAAAAUUUGGUGAAAAAUUUAGGAGCGGCAUGCAUUUGUCGGUGAUAAAGAGAACAUAUUUGUGCCUUCGGCGGAAAGGAUCCUAAGGGAUAAUAAGAGUGCGAGCAAUUCCUUGUAUAUGGGUAAUCCAAACGGGAUUCUCGACGAGUAUAUGGUGUUCGGCAACGGCGUUACUGCCAAGGUCAAUCUCUUGGAGAGGAGCUGUUCUUGUCAGAAAUUUGACUUGGUGAAAAUACCGUGCGAACACGCAAUGGCAACUUUGCGAGAAAAGUACGACGAUGGCGAAGAGUAUGGUAACUCCAUCUACGACUACUCUUCGCCAAUUUAUAAAGCUGAAAGUUACCUCCUCGCAUACUCGAAAGCAAUUAACGUGGUCCCUCCUGAGGCUGAAUAGACUGUGUUACAGGAAUUGGUAGACACCAAAAUUUCUCCACCCCCGUACGAUCCCAAACUCAGAAGGAAGAAAGUUAAACGCACUAAGGGCGCCGGUGAGACAUUCAAGUUCAAAAGGAGGAAUAGGUGUUCAAUAUGCGAGAAAUUUGAAUACAAAAGAACCACGUGUAGAAUGGGCAUCAAUCAUAAAUAGUCUUUUUUUAGCUUCAGUUGUAAAGCUACUGUUUUGAGGGAUGAAUGUGCAUUUCUGUAGAUUUUAACGUUCAGUUGUUAUCGACCUAAAGCUUUGUCUACGAUAGACUAUCUAUAGUCUACGGUAUAUAUAAUAUAUGGUCUAUAAAAUAUUAUGUAUUGAUUAUAUUAUUACUGAUCUAACAUGUUAUGUUGGUCAUUUUCCUGGCUUAUUUCUCCAAUCGAUGCAAUGAAUCAUUAUUUCCCUUAUUUUCCGUUCCCAUUUAUUAAAAAGCUGCACAAAACGUCUCUUCACGAGGAAAAACAGCUGGUAUAUGCAUACAAAAUGUUUUCAUGGAUGUAUGAACGGAUGCAAUCUACAGGUCUAUAAGUAUAGGCCCUCUUUCUACGCAACCCUUCAGUUUUUUCUAAACCGAAAAUAUCAGAAAUCAUCUCUUUUUCUUCUUCACGCAAAUAAAAAAAAUCCUCCAAGAAGGAUACCCCUGUGCCCCAUCAGACGUGUUCCUCCUAGGCACUACGACCUCCUCCCCCUAAGGAAUGAUUUGGACUGGCUUUUCUACGUGCAGGGUCAAGACCGCAUCUACCUGGAGCGGGAGCUCCGUCGAAUUGCUCGUUUCUUGAGGGCAAUUCUGGAAAGGCUCGAAAUGGAAGACCCUGACUACAUCACCCCCCACCAUCCCCAUAAUUUAGUUUAAAUGUUUUAUUUUAGUAUAUGUUUUUAAGUUUUUUUGAUUUGUUCAUUGCUGAAGAAGCUUUCUUUGUAGGAUCUUGUUAGAAGAAAACUUCUUUCAUUUUUCCCUUUUUGAUGUAAAUUUUAUUAUGUAAUGCAAUGAACAAUUUUAAUACAACUAUGUUUCAGUUUCUUUUAACAUUGUGUGCUUGCCAUCUUUGUUCUGAUCCCUUGUUUGAAAACUCGAAUCAAAUAUGUCUGCCUUUUCAAGUUACAGUAUUGUGGCUUGACUAAUUUCCUGGAGUAAAAUCUAAUGUUUAGAUUUUAUACAAAGUAUUUCAUCGACUGUACAUAUAAGUCGAUCGUAGACUACAUGAAUCGAUGGAUCAUCGGGUAAAUUAAAACAAAUAAUAACAGAUUUUCAAAAAAUAAUUUAAUUUUAAAAGAUUUAAACAAAUUAUCACAUGUUAUGUGGCUGGUGGAAGAAAAUAAUAAAUUAAAAAUAAUUUAAAUAUAUAAUCACAUGUUUUGGGAAUUAUGAAAGACAAUUAUUAAAUUCAAAAAAAAUUAAAUAGAUAAUAGUAACAUGCUUUGGGGCUGGUGGAAGAAAAUAAUUAAAUAUAAUAUGAUUUAAAUGGAUAAUCACAUGUUUUGGGGUCAGUGGAAGAAAACAAUUACAUUAAAAAUGAUUUAAAUAGAUGAUCUUGGACUGAUGGUGACACUUAAUACACCGUCGUUGAUCAUGCACUAUGUCAUCCAUCGAUCAGUCUGGUCUAUUGUAGACUUACACGUUUAUUAUCGCAUCGACUGAUAUCAUGAUUAAGCGUAGACCACGAUGAUCUAUGUACAAGGUUAUAUAGAUCAUCACUUGGAUGUAGUUAAAAAAUUAUUAAAUAAAUUAUAAAUAAACCAUCCACACACUUCUUAAUUCACCCUUCCUAAUUUGUCUAAGCUCUAAUAUGAUUAUGUGACAUGUUUACACUCCUUCAUAUGUGUAGAAAUCCACACCAUAUUUAUUUAUAAUUUAUUUAACAAUUUUUUAACUACAUCCAAGUGAUGAUCUAUAUAACCUUGUACAUAGAUCAUCAUGGUUUACGCCUAAUCAUGAUAUCAGUCGAUGCGAUAAUAAACGUGUAAGUCUACGAUAGACUAUAUAGGCAUCAAAUAUAAUACAUAUCCUAUAUGAAUACUUUGCUUUGUUUAAACAUUACUCUUAUGAUAUUGAGCAUUCAACCACUAACCAUCCACACACUUCUUAAUUCACCCUUCCUAAUUUGUCUAAGCUCUAAUAUGAUUAUGUGACAUGUUUACACUCCUUCAUAUGUGUAGAAAUCCACACCAUAUUUAUUUAUAAUUUAUUUAACAAUUUUUUAACUACAUCCAAGUGAUGAUCUAUAUAACCUUGUACAUAGAUCAUCAUGGUUUACGCCUAAUCAUGAUAUCAGUCGAUGCGAUAAUAAACGUGUAAGUCUACAAUAGACCAGACUGAUCGAUGGAUGACAUAGUGCAUGAUCAACGACGGUGUAUUAAGUGUCACCAUCAGUCCAAGAUCAUCUAUUUAAAUCAUUUUUAAUGUAAUUAUUUUCUUCCACCGGUCCCAAAACAUGUGAUUAUCCAUUUAAAUCAUAUUAUAAUUAAUUAUUUUCUUCCACCAUCCCCAAAACAUGUUACUAUUAUCUAUUUAAUUUUUUUUUAAUUUAAUUAUUCAUUUUUUAACUACCUCCACGUGAUGGUCUAUAGAUGUGUACAUAGAUCACGGUAGUCUACGCAUAAUCAGGAUGUCAGUCGAUGCACUAAUAAAGGUGUAAGUCUAUGGUAAACCAUACAAAUCGAUGGCUGACAUAGGUCAUGAUCUACGACAGUCUAUUUAGUGUCACCACCAGUUCAAAAGAGAAAAAUNNNNNNNNNNNNNNNNNNNNNNNNNNNNNNNNNNNNNNNNNNNNNNNNNNNNNNNNNNNNNNNNNNNNNNNNNNNNNNNNNNNNNNNNNNNNNNNNNNNNNNNNNNNNNNNNNNNNNNNNNNNNNNNNNNNNUUGAGGACGUCACGCACGGAUUCAAAUCCAGGUCACAAAUUUUAUAAUUGUGCAAUUGCAAAGGUGAGGUGUGCGUGUUUUUUUAAAAGAUUUAAGUUAAUGGUUAUGUAAUUUUUUUUUCCUAGGAUAAUGGCGCAUGCUCGUUUUUCCAAUGGCUUGAUGAGUUAUCACCUCCAUCCAGUCCAUCAACGUUUAUUUCGGAACUCGAGACAUCAAAUUUUCAAGGCUUGGCAAAAUUUAAUCUACUACAAAGGCUCCAACAAUGCGAAGAAAAUAAAGAUUUUCUCAUGACUUUGUUCAAAGAAGCCGGAGAACAGAGUGAUCACUUUAAACUAUUGCUACAUGACACCCAAAUAGAGAGGGAUCAACUAAACGAAAAAUUGAUUUUGGCCGAAGAAAGAGAGAAUGUCCUAAAAAUGAUGUUAUGUGCUAUAAUGCUAGUAUUCAUUCUUUGGAAAAGUGUAACAUGAAUGUAGUGAUAUUGAAUGAAUAAUAAUAGUUCUACUUUUGUAUAAUGUAAAAUACUAUUUUUGAUAGAACCAUAGUAGAUUAAACAACACGUCAACUUAAAUUCGACCAGCAGGGUAAUGAUAGACUAUGCAUACGGUAUAUGGAAUAUUAAGUAUGCAUUCUAUGAUAUCAAGCAUACAAUGUACCAACUAUGACCACGCCCUGCAUAUUCAAAUUCCAUGCCACAAAUCAGUUUGAUAGAAACUGAUUCAGCUCAGAAUCAUAACAAGUUUCAUAAAAUAAAAGAAUAAUUGUCAUAUCCUACCACCAGAUCCUUCAAACUUCAUAUUUGUGAAAUAAAAAAAAAUUUAUCAUAUCCUAAUAACUCAUCAUUUAACAACAAAUUAAACAUCUUAGCAUUUAAAUGUCUCUUUCACUAAGUUCCUCAUCAACACAAGUGUUACUGUUGAUUUCAUCAACAAUGUCCAUGACCACAUCUGUUUGGACAGCUUCAACUUCUUUUUUCUCAACAAUUGCAGCUGCUUCUUCAUUCUCACCUUCUUCUCCUUCUUUUUUCAGCAUGUGCAUCAGCUGCUGCUUCUUCAGUUACCUUUUCUUCCACACCUUCUUUUUUUACUUCACCUGCAAUAGCUGUUUCUUCCUCAGCUUCAGCAGCUGUUUCUUCCUCAGCUUCAACAGUUGUUUCUUUCUCAGUUUCUUCUUUUCGUUCACCUGUUGCUUCUUCUCAACUUCUUCUUUGUCAGCUUUGUCGGCUUCUUCUUCAACAGUUUUUCCUUUUUCCGCGCCUCCUUGUUCAUCUGCUGCCACUUCUUCUUCUACUGCUGCUGCUACUUUUCCACCUUCUUCUUGGCUCUUAUCUUCUUCACCAUCAUUUUUUUUUUCUUCUUUUUUCCUCUUCUCCCACAACAACGGCCAACUCAUCCAUUUGCUCUUUUUUUCUCCUUCUUCAUUCCUCUCUGAUUCAUGCACAUGCACUAUUUCAUAAUAUUAUGAAGUGUUACUGAUAUUUAAAGCUGAAUAUUCAUUAACAACAUCAAUUAAUGAAUGAAGUUACCUCACUCAUGUUGUCGCUCAUCAUUUUCCUUUUUCUUCAUUCUUUUCUCUUUGAUAUAGGCAGCAAUAUCCAACACCGCUUCCUCGAGCGCAGCCACACGCUUAUGAAGAUCCCCGGGGGCUGAGGUUCCCGCUCCAUCUUUGGAGGUGCUUAAAGAAUCAUCAUCACCAACACAUACUCCAGCGGGGUUACCACCCAAAUCCCCGUCAUCAUCACUGUCCUCAUUUGAAGUGAGGACAGUCACCCCUUGUAAUUCUUUCUUCAAGCCAUCGAGAACGUUAUUCUUCAUCUCGUUCGUAUAUGGCUCAAAUGUAAUCAUGUAAUCCAUCUUCAUCUCACGAACAGUAGGGAUGAUGUACGGGUGCACGUUCUACCAAGUAUCAAUUAACAAUUACAUAACAUUUGAUAAAACCGUACUAUUAUUGCAUUAUAUAAAAUAAGUUCAUACCUCGAUAACUUUUCCUUUAUUCUUGAAUGGGUCGCCUUCGAUUAUCUUAUCGCUUUUUGAAGUGUGUCAUCUGAGGAUGCGGGGGAUGGGUAAGGACUCAUCCAUUAAUUUUCUAGCAAAUUCUCCAAGAUGAGGAAAGACCUCAUAGAUCCAAUUCUAUAUGCAGUACAACAGUGAAAAAAAUAACUAUGAGUCUAUGACAUAGUAUAAAUAAAAUGAUAAUCUACGAUAAACUCACUAAAGGGUUUAUGGUAGAUACCAUGAAUUCCCAGGGAAAUUCAAAUAGAGCAUAGGAUGCCUUCUGCUUCUCAUUAAAUACUUCCUUCUGCCUCUUCAGGUCACUUUUCUUCUUUAGAUAGUCCAUAGUCAGUUGAAAUGUCUCUUUCCCCCACGGAUACUUCUCAAAGAAACUCAAAGAGUCGACCAUUCGAAUCAGUUUUGUGUCGACAACCUUCGUCGAAUAUUUCGCAAGCAACAUGGUGUGCAAGAACCACAGUAUACAAUACUUGAACUUCUGGUCCUCGUUCAGCUUAUUCCCUCUGAUCAGGUGUAAGAAGUUCGCCGCCGUGAUGUUUUUAUUUUUUGUCACCUUAAAACGAAAAUUGUCCCCCUUUGCUAACACCUUCUUCAUUUUUGAUUCACGAGGGUAUGAUGAGCAGUUCAGCCCCGUGAUCAAACAAAACUCUUUCAAGCCAAAACAGGCGGGCUUGUUGUUAACGCAGAACCACAUCUCAUGACGUAUCUUAUCGUUCUUAACGCAUCGCAACAACAAAUAAUGGACCAACUGCCCAUUGAACUUGAGAUGUUCCGGCAGAUUUCUCAGGUGUCCAAAAUAGGACCGCUUGAAUCUUUUCUUCAAUUCUUGAUCGACAAGAAUUUGCUUAAAUUCUCGAUAAGCAGCCAUUCUUGAUCUGAUCGAUAUCUUUGCCGGGAAAGAUCCGACCUCGUCAAUUAUCGUUCGAAGGUCAUACCGCUACACGAAAAUGCACCUUGAAAGAUAUGACACGGACAAUGAAUCAUUAUCCUCAUCCUUGGAAUAAGUGGAAGGGUUAGGUGUAUUAUAUUAAAUUUGUAAAGUUGUAUAAAUGAUAAAUUGGUCCCUUGGCCCACGUGUGGGCCCCACUUUUUUCACUAUUUACACCCUAAACCUAAAAAAUGAAUCAAAAAAAAUUAAGUGGGUAUUUGGCAAAAUAGUUUUACAAAAGUUCUUCUUUGCCAAUUAUUCCCAUCACUCUCUGCCUCUAAGGUGGUCGGAGGUUAGGUCUGCAUACAUUCUAUCUUCCAUAGAUUUUACUUUUUGUGGGAUUAUAUUGAAUAUGUUUAUGUUGUUGUGUUUUUUCGUAAAAAACAGUUUGUAAUUAAUUAUUAAAUUUUAAAAAGAAUGUUUUAGCAACUACUAAUGUUUGACCAAGUAUUUUAAGGAGUACUUCAAGGUUUAUUUUUUUGAAAAUAUUUUUGAAAAAACUAUUUUUAGAGAAAAGUAAUUUUUUUUAGCCUCUACAAACAAUUUCUAUUAAUCAAAGAACAAAACCUUAGCCGAUGGCCCGAUAGAUAUUAUUUAUUCUCUCCUUAAAAAUUAACAAAACACCUGUCGUUUUUAAACAAAGAACAAACACUUUUGACCUUUUAAAACCUUAACCAAUAGAUAUUAUUAACUUGUAAAGUGCAUUAAUUGGAUAAUGUAAUAUACAUUUCACUUACCUCGUUACAUUCGCAAAAGUGACCAAAGGAGCAAAGCCUUGCCCCAUCCCUUUAACAAGUCCUGCAGCCUACAAUUACUCCAUGGGUGUAAAAAUAUGUACCAGUAUUGUAAUGUUUAGAUACAAACUGACCUCCGAAAAUUGAUUUUUUUUUUUUUUUUUGAAGAAAGACCUCAGAGGUUGUUUUUAUAUAAAAAAGGAAUUUUUAAAAAAUUGUAAAGUCAUAACCAACAAGCGUAGUAUAAAUGGUAGUUUGAAUCAUAGUUGCUGCAUUUUAUUAUUGUUUAAUGAUUUAUAAAUUGACUUAAUAUAUAAGAUUGAUGUUCUUAUAAAAAUUAAAAUAAAACUAAAAACCCGACCUUUGGAGAAUUAUAUUUUCCAUUUUUUUUCCUUGACCUGAAUUUUACUGACCUUUGAUAUGCGAUCUAUUUGCUAGAUGAACUGUUGACAUAAUUUUCUUCGAAAAAAGUUUUAAGAAAACAUAAGAACUUACUAGUAUCGUCUUGUUGUUGCCAAGUGUUAAAGGAGUAAUAAUUUCACUUUCGGAAUUGCUACUAGCAACACUUAUCAUCCAUGGAGAAGUAGCACCAACGACUGUGUAAGAGUCUGGUCCACAAUUUCCUGCGCUAGCAAUAAAAGGUAUGCCAUGGGAUACUGCAUGAAAAGAUCCUAUCCCGAAAAUUUUUUCCUCGUCAAAGUCAGCCAUGUUGAUAAUACUUUUACCACCAAUAGAUGUUGAUAUUAUGUCAACCCCAUCUUUUAAAGCAUCAUCAAUGGCAGAAAGAACAUCAAUAUUACUAAGCAUUGUUCCAUUUGUACCAUCCCAACCCACCUGUUAAAAAUAUUAAAAAUACGCAAAUAAAAUUGUGUUUAGAUUCUCUAACGUCUUAAUCUUUUUGAUAAGAGGAUCAAGGCUCAACAAAGAAGGUUUUUGGUUCAAUUUUGUAAUGACUUGAAUUUGUGAUGAGUUUCGAUUUUUAUAUGAUUUGAUCAUUUUAUUUUUUCCCAUAAUUGUUACAUGUCGAUUUUGGGGCUUGGGGGUGGUUAGUACAAUUUCUAAUGCAAUUGGGAAUGAUUUGUGCAAGUUUGUGUUUUUUAAAAGCUUGAAAAGUCAUAUAAUUGACUUAGAUCAGCAUUUAUUAUUUUGAGUGUUGGAUGAUAAUUUGGACGGCACUAGUAGAUUCAAAAUAUCUAAUUUGAGUUAGUAGUAUAGUUGAUUCGGAUUUGGGACUUUUAUCUUGCAUUUCGAUACUUCAUUUGGAAAAUAGUGAAAAGGGGUCCCCAAGAGUCAAUUUAGAGAAAUUAGUUUUUUCUUUUCCAAAAAAUAUGAUGUUGCUAUUGAGUCCAGAACGUGAAAAUAAACUAGUAGAAUAGUUCGUUUGAGUCCAUGGAAUUCUGAAUGAAUCUCGAGGUCCAAUCGUAAACUUGACAUUUAGCCAAGUUGUUGAUUUUGCUGUCAUCUAGUACAACCAGUUAAAUGGCCAAGGACCACUUUAGUGGCCUGACAUUGCUCAAGUGAUAGCCACUUUAGCGGCCAUGUGUUGAUUAAGCGAUGGCCGGCCUAAGUGGAUUGUCCACUUUAGCGACCUUUUAGCUGCUUAAGUGGUGAUUUCUUAAACGGUCAAUUAUCUUAAGAGACGUCCAUUGAUAUUAUUAUUUUCAAUGUUUUGGGGUACACAAAUCUGUAUUUAGGCACACAACAACUUCAACACAAGUUCAAGUCUAAAACAAGAACACCUAUGAAGUUACACAACACCUUCAACACAAGAUUAAACAUAAUCUAUCCAAGAAGUGUGUUAUUAUUUCAUACUCCCUCUGUUUAAAAAAGAAUGACCUACUUUGACUUGACACAAAGUUUAAGAAAAUAAAGAAGACUUUUGAAUCUUGUGGCCUUAAAUUAAAGUAGUGUCAAAUGUACCAAAAUGCCCUUUAAUCUUGUGGUCCUAAAUAUGUCAUGUGGAAGGUUGAAAUUAAAGUAUUUCCAAAAAAGGAAAGAGGUCAUUCAUUUUGAAACGGACUAAAAAGGAAAGUAGGUCAUUCUUUUUUAAACGGAGGGAGUAAAUAAGAUGAAACAGAGAGUUAAAGCCAAGUCUCCCGACUUUACAGAGUGUCCUUAAGGAAUAAUUCCCCUCACUGUACCCGAGCUUAUGGAAUUUUCCUCCCAGGAUAAAAUGACUUUCAAUCCAACAAUUGUGGUACCUCAAAUUCUUGGAUUCGUCGAACUACUUAACGGCUAAGGAUCACACUGAGUUUUUGUAGAGAAGAAGAGUGUUUAUGCUGUCAAAAAUCAUGUAUAUACCUGAGGAAUAUGUCAGGUAUUUAUAGCCUUAAGGUGUCCCUUCAGAAAGAAAGCAUUGGUGCAGCAAAAAGGCACUUAUUCAGUAUAGUCAAGUCACCUUCGCCCAAUCUGUGCUAGAACUGCGCCUGAUCUGCGGCCGUAGGUGACACUGUCCAAAUUUCAGUAAGUACCUGUGCUGCAUCUUCGCCCGCAGGUUACUGAGGUGCGCGUGUAGAUCGCCCCAUUGCGCGAAACAGUGUGCGGCCGCACAUGAAAAAAAUUUCUAUCAGAUUCUUUGGAUUAAAAUUUUACUUGUUUAUCAAGUUUCAAAUAAAUUUUUUCUAAAAAAUAGAUCUCAUUGAUCGAUCAUUUUCCAAAUCCAAAUCCGGAGCUAAAGACAUGCCUUGUGAGUGACGACGAAGACGGCGCGGGGUACCACCUUGUUCUUGCCUCACUAUCCAUGUGGAGAUGUGUUUCUCAAUAUAAAUACAUGAAUGCUUCUUUCUUCCACCAAUGUGGGAGAAUUUAGUAAGCUUUCCAUAAAAGAAUACACAAUCCAUUUUAGUGACUCUCUUUUCCGCCAUUAUUUUUUCCCUCUAUUUUCUAUUUAUACAUACACCUUGAACCCAACAGAUAUAAAAACUCAUUUUCAUAUUUUUUUCCUCCAUUUCUGAACUUUUGAGCUUUGGGUGUGGGCCAUUCUUGAGAGCUUUUGUUUUCAAACUCAUUUUGCACCUGGCACAAAUAUGUGCAAUAUGGAUAUUUUUAGCUUUCUUUUAAUGCAUAGAAGUUAUAUAUAUAUAUUUGAAUAUUGUAGUUGAUUCUGAGGUCGUUCAUAAAGGGGAGGCUCCAUAUUGAAGCACUUUGGAUUGGGAUUUCUUUGUUUUGUGGUAAGUUAUGACUUAACUUCUUUCAGAUUGAGUUGGGUAGUUAAUAAAUAAGUAAAUCAUGUUAUGGGUUGGGUAAAUAAAUAUGAGAUUUAUAUUUUGGUAUUAUUAAUGUAUGCCCAUGUGAAGGCUUAUACUCUGUUUUGUUGACUUGUGAUAUCUGAUAUUAUGUGUUGCCUGUUUGAGGGCUUUAUUUGACAUCAUUGAUAUAAUCUGUGUAUUAGAAUAUCUUUAUUAUAAACACCUUUCCAUUGCGAUCCUUCCAAGUGUGACAUACCAGUGCCCCCAUAAGGCAACAACAACUUUCUUUGGAAUACAAGGCUAAUGCUUCUCUCUGAUUUGAUCUAGUAUUUGACUCAUACUUUCUCUCUACAAUGCAAUACCCAUUCACGCCAAUAGUGCAAUUCUCACUAUAUUAAACCAUGCACAUUCCACAAAUAGAUGUUGCAAGUGUUGUCACCUCUGCAGAUAAGCCACAUAAACAACAAUCUGGAUCAUUUACAAGGACAUUCAGCUUGAGUGGCCUCCUCUUAGUCAGUAGUGUUAUUUUGUAGUAUUUCCUUCAGGUACACAAAAUCUGUAUAAGCAGAACAACAACUUCAACUAGAGUUCAAGUAUAAACAAGAACACAAUGAAGUAUAUCAAAUACCCUCAACACAAUAUCAAAAUGACUUUUCCAAGAGGUAUAUUUUAUUUUUUCCAGAAAAUAGACGAAACAGAAAUGAAUAAGGCCAAGUCGUCCGAAUUCAUGGAGUUUCCUUAAGGAAAUAAUUCCCCUCACUUUACCCGGGGUUAUAGAAUUUUUCCUCCCAGGAUAAAAUGGCCUUCAAUCCAAAUAUAGAGGUACCUCAAAUAUUUGGACUCUUCGAACACACUCAACAUUUUGAAUGAUCACAUAGAAUUUUUGAAGAUAAGAAGAGUAUUUUUUAUUCUGAAAUUUUGUAUCGAAACCUGUAAAAGAAAGCAGGUUUUUAUAGACAUAACAUGCCUCUUCUGAAAAGAGGCAAUGGUUUAUGUCAAAGGUUACACAUGUUCUGUAAAUUCAUGUUUGUUUAUCCAAAGAUUGCAUCUUUUCUUGAACAGUCAUCUCGUUUUGUGAAUUAGUGUGUCACUUUAUUGAAGGAUUACAUCCUUCUAAAGCAUCAUUUUGAACCAUUGCAACUUUCUGUAGCCUCAGAAUAAUGCAUCAGUUCACUUGAAACAGUGCAACUGUUACUGCAUGUAUAUAUAAAUGGAGGUUCGAAACACUGCAGAAAAAUUUUACUGCAUUUUUCUUGUCAUUCUUCGGAAUCCAAAUAAAGUUUAUCCAAAAAGAUAGAUCUCAUCGAUCGAUCCAAAUGCAAAUCCAAAGCCGAAGCCGAGCCGAGCAACGACGACGACGGCGUGAGGAAUCUCUUAUUACUUGCCUCACUUAUCCAUGUGGAAGUGUGUUUCACAAUAUAAACACUUUAAAGCUUCUUUCUCCCACCAAUAUGGGAGAAUUUAGUAAGCUUUCCUAUUUUUGAGUACACUUUCCAUAUUGGUGUGAUCUCAAUUUUUCUCUUCCACUUGGUUUUAUCCAUUUUCCAUUCACACUUCUCAUUUACUAUGAACCCAACAAUCCCCCACAUGAAUGGGAAUGGCUAUUUUUUGUAAAAGUUUUACGGACAAGUAUGUGAUCAUCAAGCAAAGACUAAUUGCAUUUGGAUAAGUGGGUUUCCCUUUGAACUUUUCGUCUUGAAGAUGUAUCGGAUGCACUCGGUCAAUCGGUAGAUUUGAUAUCUUUGAACCAUCGAUCUUUAAUGUACACCUAGAAUAUACAUGUCACAAAACCAUCCUUUUACUGUUUUAUGGUUCUCACGAUUUUGUUCUUUUCAUCCAUGAACACGUCCCGAUUUCGUGAGAGCUUAGAGGGUAGGCCUUUACUAACAUUCUCUUUGAAGCGACUUCCACUUCGUCCUCACAUAGGUGAUUUUAAUACAUUCAAUCCUAUAUAUUAAACUAUUUGGUCAAAUCUGCCAAAUUUAGAUAAUCAUUAAAAGACUUUUCACCUUAAGUCUUAUCCUUGUUUACUAAACAUUGUCUAUAUCAUGAGAAUGGGUUGGGUAAUUGACAAUGUUGAACCUGUCAGACACAACUUUAUUUGAUCUCCUUGAACCUAUCUCUUGGGAUCUCCAGUCUGCUAGGUAGAGUUACCGCCAUGCCGACUUAUCCUAGGCCUUAAACCCAUUCCCUUUGAUGUCCUUUCCACUUCUUCUCUAGAUAGGCCUUUUGUAAGUGGAUCCAACACAUUAUCCUUUAACUUUACAUAGUCAACAGUGAUAAUUACACUAGAGAUAAGUUCCCUAACGGUAUUAUAUCUUCAUCGUAUGUGAUGAGAUUUACCAUUGUACAUCAUGCUCCCUGCCCUACCUGUUGUCGCUUAGCUAUCACAGUGUAUACAUAUUGGUGCCAGUGGCUUGGACUAAUAAUAAAUAUCUUCUAAGAAAUUCUGGAGUCAUUCUGCUUCUUCACCGGCUUUAUCCAAUGUGAUAAAUUCAGAUUCCAUUAUAGAGCGAGAAAUACAAGUCUAUUUGGAUGAUUUCCAAGAGACUCCUUCUCCACCGAUAGUAAAUACAUAUCCACUUGUGGAUUUUACUUCAUUCGAUCCAGUGAUCCAAUUUGCAUCACUAUAUCCUUCAAGUACCGCAGGAUAUUUAUUAUAAUGCAAGCAUAGUUUUAGUGUAUUUAAGAUACCCCAAAACCCUUUUCAAUACUAUCCAAUGAGUUUUGUUGCGAUUACUUAUGUACCGACUUAAUUUACUGAUAGCCCAUGCUAUGACUGAUUGUGUACAGUUUGUUAUAUACAUUAAACAUCCCAAUACUCUUGCGUACUCCAAUUGUGAGUCACUUUCAACUUCAUUCUUUCGACGUGCAAAGUUCACAUCCAAUGGAGUCUUGGCAAUACCGAAUUCCAUAUACUUGAACUUGUCAAGUACUUUUUAGAUACAAUGAGACUGUGACAAUGCCAACCCUUGUGGAGUUCGAUAGAUUCUUAUGCCUAAGAUCACAUCUGCAACUCCAAGGUCUUUUAUAUCAAACUUGCUCUCGAGCAUUUAUUUUGUUGCACUUAUGUUAGAAAUGUCUCUACUGAUGAUCAACAUAUCAUCCACAUAUAAACAUACAAUGACUUGGUGAUUUGGAGUGUCUUUAAUAUAAACAUAUUUAUCACAUUCAUUUAUUUUGAAUCCGUAUGCCAACAUGGUUUGGUCAAACUUCACAUGCCAUUGUUUAGGUGCUUGCUUUAGUCUAUACAAUGACUUAAUAAGUCUGCAUACCUUAUUUUUCUUCCCUGGAACCACUAAACUCUCAGGUUGUUCCAUGUAAAUUUCUUUCUCUAAUUCUCCAUUUAGGAAAGCGGUUUUCACAUCCAUUUGAUGGAUUUCAAGAUGAUAUACCGCAGCCAAGGUAAUUAACAUUCGAAUCGAUGUUAUCCUUGUUACUGGCAAGUAUGUAUCAAAGUAAUCAAGACCUUAUUUUUGUUUGAAGCCCUUUACUACAAGUCUUGCCUUGUAUUUGUCAAUAGUGCCAUCCGCUUUCAUCUUCCUUUUGAAAAUCCAUUUAGAACCUAAAGGUUUAUUUCUGGGAGGAAGGUCAACCAAUUCCCAUGUAUGGUUGCUUAAGAGUGAAUCUAUCUCACUAUUGGCUGCCUCUUUCUAAAAGGAUGAAUCCGAAGAUGCCAUCGCUUCCGUAAAUAUUUGAGGCUCAUUUUCCAAAAGAAAUGUCAUAAAAUCCGAUCCAAAUGAAGUAGACGUUCUUUGACGUGUACUACGUCUUGAAUUUUCUUCAUUAUGUUCAUUCUCAAUUGGUUCAUCACAAGGUCGUUUAUACCCCCCACUAGACUGUUCAUGUCUAGUUUUAUACGGAUAAAUAUUUUUAAAAAAUUUAGCAUUGUCUGAUUCAAUUACCGUAUUUUCAUUAAUAUCCGGAUGUUCGGAUUUAUGAACCAAAAAUCGGCAUGCCUUACUGCUUUUAUCGUAUCCUAUGAACACCCAGUCCACUGUCUUAGGUCCUAUCUUUACCCUUUUAGGCACAGGAACUUGGACCUUUGCUAGACACCCCCACACUUUGAAAUAUUUCAAGUUGGGUUUUCUUUCUUUCCACUUUUCAUAAGGAAUUGAUUGUGUCUUACUAUGGGGAACUCUAUUGAGUAUACGGUUGGCCAUAAGGAUAGCUUUCCCCCAUAAGUUUUGUGGUAAACAAAACUUAUAAGUAAGACAUUCAUCAUUUCCUUCAAAGUUCAGUUUUUUCUUUUCGCGAUUCCAUUAGAUUAGGGUGAAUAUGGGGCCGUAGUUUGAUGGAUGAUUCAAUUCUCUACACAUAUUUGCGCAAAAGGAGAUUCAUAUUCUCCACCCCUAUCACUUCUUAUCAUUUUGAUCUUUUUGUCUAACUGAUUUUCAACUUCAGUUUUAUAUUGCCUAAACACAUUUACUGCUUCAUCCUUACUAUUUAGCAAGUAGACAUAACAAUAUCUAGUGCAAUCGUCAAUAAAAGUUAUGAAAUACUUUUUCCCACCACAUGAUGGUGUUGACUUCAUAUCACAAAUGUUAGUGUGUAUUAAAUCUAAGGGAUUGGAAUUCCUCUCAACGAACUUAUAAGGAUGCUUUGCAUACUUUGAUUCCACAUAGGUUUGACACUUUUAUUUAUUGCACUCAAAAUUUGGUGAAACUUCUAAGUUAAUCAGUUUUCGUAAUAUUUUGUAAUUAACAUGGCCUGAACGUUCAUGCCAUAAAUCAUAAGACUCAACCAAAUAAGAAGAAUUUGAACUUUUAUUUAUUUCAACAGUCAUUACAUUCAUCUGAUAAAGGCUUUCGGUCAGAUAGCCUUUUUCUACAUACAUUUCUCCUUUGCUAAUUACAAUUUUUCAAGAAACAGUUACACAUUCGAAUCCGUUAUUGUCUAGAAGUGAAACAGAAAUUAGGUUCCUACGUAACUCCGGAACAUACAAGACAUUGUUAAGUGUCAAGACCUUUCUCGAAGUUAUUUUCAAGCAUAUUUUUCCUGUUCCUUCCACCUUAGCAGUAGCGGAGUUAUCCAUGUAGAUCAUUUCUUCUACUUGAGCCAGAGCGAAUGACGAAAACAACUCAUUGUUGGCACAUACAUGGCGGGUGGCACCAGAAUCCAUCCACCAUUCGCGAGGAUUCCUUGCCAAGUUGCAUUCUGAAAACAUAGCACACAAAUCAUCGCAUUCUUUGUUGGAUUCAAUCAUAUUUGCUUGAUCCUUCUUCUUGCCUUUCUUCGGGGCUCGACAAUUCAUGAACUUUUGUCCAACCUUGCCACAAUUGAAGCAUUUUCCCUUGAAUUUCUUCUUGGAUUGAUGGCUUCCUUGUUCAACUUUCUUUCUUUUCUUAGAAUUAUUUUGAUCAUCUUUUACAAUAUGUGCUCCAUUAAUUUUAGAAUUCCCUUUUGACCUUCUCUCGGCAGCUUUAUUGUCCUCUUCAAUACGCAGUCGGACAACAAGAUCUUCGACAGCCAUCUCCUUGCGUUUAUGCUUCAAGUAGUUUUUGAAGUCAUUCUACAUUGGUGAUAACUUCUCAAUUAUCGUUGCUACUUGGAAAGCAUCAUUCACAAUUAAACCUAUAAAACAGUUUAUAUGAGUAUUAAGAACUUUUUCAACUAAGGUAUUUUCUAAAGAUAUACCUUCUGCUAAGAAAUCGUGGAUGAUUACUUGCAACUCCUACGCUUGAGAGACAACCGAUUUGCUAUCUACUAUUUUAAAGUCCAGGAACCUUGCAAUAAGGAAUUUCUUAAUUCCCACAUCCUCCAUCUUGUAUUUUCGUUCAAGUGCCCCCCACAAUUCCUUCGAUGUCUUAGUUCCACAAUAAACAUUGUAAAGGUCAUCUUGGAGACCACUUAAUAUGUAAUUCCUGCAGAGGAAGUCUAAGUGCUUCCAAGCCUCUACAAUUACGAAGCGCACUUUGUCCGAGGUUCCCUCGGGCACCUCAGGAGCGUCUUCGCUAGUGAACCGUUGCAGACACACAGUGGUGAGGUAAAAGAACAUCUUUUGCUGCCAUCUCUUAAAGCUGAUGCUCGCAAACUUUUCGGGCUUUUCCGCAGGUGCCAUAUGUUGUGGAGCAUUUGCGCGGCUUGUCGUAGCAAUGCUAGUCGCCGCCACAGUCGUAACAUCUCAUGCAUUUGACUUUCAGUUGCCAUUUUUCUGUCACCACAAGACAGUAAAUUUAGUAUAUCAAAAUAAAAAAAAAUUGCAACUACUUUAAACACUUCUUGUUUCUAGUUAACAAUGAAGUUUUUAUUACUUCCAAUUGUCAACCGAGUGAAUUUUAAACUUAUGAUGAAAAUUAUAUGUCUUCUAAUCACUAGUUAAAUUCAAACGGAGUAGAAAGCCUAAAGCUUUAAUCUCCAAAAAUAAGUAUACAGAUUCUUAAAUUUAUUUCCUUAAGAUUGUUAUUUUGUAGUAUUUCCUUCAGGUACACAGAAUCUGCAUAAGCACAACAACAACUUCAACUAGAGUUCAAGUAUAAACAAGAACACAAUGAAGUAUAUCAAAUACCCUCAACACAAGAUCAAAAUGACCUUUUCAAGAGGUGUAUUUUAUUUUUUUCAGAAAAUAGAUGAAACAGAAAUGAAUAAGGCCAAGUCGUCCGAAUUCACGGUGUUUCCUUAAGGAAACAAUUCCCCUCACUGUAUCCGAGGUUAUGAAAGUUUUCCUCCCAGGAUAAAAUGGCCUUCAAUUUAAAUAUAGCGGUACCUCAAAUAUUUGGACUGUUCGAAUGCACUCAACAGUUUGAAUGAUCACACAGAAUUUGUAAAGACAAGUAGAGUAUUUUUUAUUCUGAAAUUUUGUAUCAAAACCUGUGGAAGAAAGCAGGUUUUAAUAACCAUAACAUGCCUCUUUUAAAAAGAGGCAAUGGUUCAUGUCAAAGGUUACACAUGUUCUGUAAAUUCAUGUCUGUUCAUCCAAAGAUUGCAUCUUUUCCUGAACAGUCAUCUCCUUUUGUGAAUCAAUGUGUCACUUCAUUGAAGGAUUACAUCCUUCUAAAGCAUCAUUUCGAACCAUUGCAACUUUCUGUAGCCUCAGUCCUUGGCAUUCUUCGGAAUCCAAAUAAAGUUUGUCCAAAAGAAUAGAUCUUAUCAAUCAUAAUCAUUAUACAAAUCCAAAGUCGAGCAACAACAACGACGACAACGCGAUGCAACUCUUAUUCCUUACCUCACUUAUCCAUGUGGGAGUGUGUUUCACAAUAUAAACACUUUAAAGCUUCUUUCUCCCACCAAUGUGGGAGAAAUUAGUAAGCUUUCCUAUUUUUGAGUACAAUUUCCAUAUUGGUAUGAUCUCAAUUUUUCUCUUCCACUUUGUUUUCUCCAUUUUCCAUUCACACUUCUCAUUUACUAUGAACCCAACAAGUAACCUGUCUUUACUAGCCAACCACACAAUAAAUCUAUGCUCAGGCUGAGCAGCUUUAGAGGACAAUUUGUAUAUACUGAGGAAGUUAUAGCACAAACCAAAUAGGAACAAAUUAAUAGGCUAGCUAGAACUUUCAUAUCUAGCAAAGAAAAUAACCAGAUGUAGAUGCAUAAUGCAGAGAUUAACUUUGUAACUAGUUUAAUUUCAGUUUUAGAGGUAAGGAUGACUGAGGUGAUCUUAGGAUGUAUUGAUGAUGGUUGUGUUUGUCUAUGUCAAUGUUUACAGUGUUACUAAAAGAAUUACUUUAAAUUUUUACUUGAGAAAGAUAAAUGCACAAGCAAUUCAAUGAUGACACCUUAUACAUAGCUAACCGUGCAAGUGGUGCUCCUCCUCGUGUUGUUCCCAUAUUAACACCAUGAUAUUUCACAUUGUUAAUAUAAGAACCAGCAGCUGUAUAUGCAACAUGAGUACCAUGCCCAUUAUCAUCUAAUGGUCAUAAUUUAUAUAAUUUUUCAACCAUUGUUUGGUUUAGUUCAUUAUCUUCCAUCGCUCCUUUUAUGUACCAACGAGCUCCAAUGCUUUCGAAUUAUCUCCCCAUGCAAUACCUACAAAAUGUUGCUAGUUCUUUUAGAGAAUUUAACUUCUAUGCACACAAUAUUUAAAAUAUCAUGAUUUUUAAAGAUAAUUCUCGAUAGAAUUGUAACCUAUAAGAAAUAUUAUUGAUUAUUCUAUUAUAACAAGAUAAAUUACAUCAAUAAUCUAAAAUUAUUUUUUACAAUAUUAUUUGUGCAUCAUAUUUAAAUCCCUUUUUAACAAGAUUUUUAGCUGCAGAGAAAUGUUAUUGGGUUAAGAAAAAAACAAAAAAACGGAAAAAAAGAAAAAGGGAGACACUUAACUUGAAUCUAAUAUGCCAAUAAUUAUUCUGUCACCCUGAUUUGUUUUGUUGACAAGACUAUUAGGAUCAUGUUUAGAAAGACCCAACUCCUUGACGUAUGAGUCUUGUAAAAAUGAUUUGGUAUAACUUGAACCACAUCAGGUAAUUCUGAAGUACGAUUACAACACAUACAUCAAUUAAGAGUCGUAUAAUGAAUAAAAUCCUUAUUUUCAUAAAAUUAUUUUUUAUUUCCUUUUAUUUAUUUUUUAUAAUUUUCUGCUAGUAUUUAAGGUAAAAAUGUGUGACAACAGAGAAUUAAAAUACCUUCAAUUUGUUUGGCUUGAGAAUAAGUAAGAUUAGCAGCGAAUCCAGAGAAGCCAUGCCUAUAACUAUACACCAUCAAUUUUUUUAGCUUCUUCUUUGCUGCAUAACAAGAAAAUACGAUUUAGCUUUUAAAGAAUGAAAUACAGGAAAUAAUAUUUUUGCAAUGAGGUCAUUUGUAGCUAAUUAGAGGUAACUGUUUCUAUGAUAAGCUUUAAUAAGAAAUUUAGUUAAAAUAGUAAUCUACUAAAUUUCAUUAGUUAAAUUUAUAAAUUUCAUUGAUUAUUUAAAGAAUAUGCAUACCUCCCAAUUACUUGACCUAAAAGUUUGUGAUGUGAAUCGGUGAUAAGUUCAUGAUCAUUAUGAGGCUUGUGUCCCAAAUAGACAAUGUAAAACUAUAGAUCAAAAAAUACCAUAGAAAACAAACCAAAAAAAUUAAAUUAAUGAGAGAGAUUAAUAUUCGAUAUGAUCAAUAAUCAACUGAAAGGAUAUCAUAUAAAUCAGAAGAAAGCUAACUUUUUGAAUCAAUCAUUCACAUCGUCAAAAAUACUACUCCCUUUAUUUCACUUCAGUUAUUACGUUUGUUAAAAAUAAUUAUUUAAAUAUAUUUGUUAUUUUAGAAAAUAUUUGACGGAAAAUUGAUUAUUUUUUUCAUUUAUUUUUCGCUUACUUUAUUAUAUAUUGAUAGAUUAACAUGAUAAGAGAAAUUAGUAAUAUGAUGAUGUAAGGUUGCACCGAAUAAAUUCUUACGGUUUGGUUCUUUUCGACCUUGCAUAUAGUGAGAACUUUAGUCACCGGCCGGGGUUGUAUUUUUUGAGAUGGUAACAAAUUGAGAAAAUAAAAUAAAAUUAAAUUCAAGAAUAUCCAAAAUGUACCUUAGCAUCGGCAUUGUCUGCUUUUGUAGUUAUUUCACAUAAACAAGUAAAGAUUAACAAAAAAAAUAAAAUAACAAGAGAAGAAAUUGGAUUAUUCAUCAUUUUUUGUUUCCCUCCUUUCCAUAGAAAAUGUGAAAGGAGGAAGAUAACCCAACUUCUGAUGAAUUCAAAAUAUAAUUUGGUUAAUGAAAUUUGAAAAUAAUUGCAAUUUAUUUAGCACUAGAUAGCUUAAACUCACCUCACAAAGUAGACAAAUUAAUUCGUGGCUAGUAUAUUAAGCGUAAAUUGUAGCCACUCGAAUACAAAUAGAUAAGUUAUUCUACUUUUACUCCUUUAAAAAAAAAAAAUUAAAUUUUUUUAGAACGUAUACUUUGUAUUUUCAUAUGAGUGAUUAAGAGCACAAGAAAGGAUUUUGGAGUUCCACUCACCAUCAUAUUUUUCCUCAUAACCUGUGUAAAUACCAUUGUUUUUCCUCAUAAUGGCACUUAGGAUUUGUUUAUAUAUGAAGUUAAAUUUAUGGCCAAGUUGAGCCAUGUUUGAGAAAGAGAUAAGCAUUCAGAACCUCUCGAAUUAUGGUCAGAGUUGUUAUGACACAGUACAAUUUUAUAGGGGUUCUAUUAAUCUCCUGAACUCAAUUUUAACAUAUUUUUGUUAUCCUUUUUUGGUGUUGAUAUGACACUUUUGUAACAUAAAAUGAGGCUCACAUCAAUAAUGUCACGUCAGUUAAAAAAGUUGACAAAAAUACAAUACAAUUUAGUUAAAUGAGGUAUUUGAACUCUAGUGAAGUUGAAGUGUAUCGUUAAAAAUUUUAAAAAAUUUGGUCAUAGUCAUGGAUAUUUGAUGCUUUACUUUGGAGAAAUAGAAAAAGAAAUCUUUUAAAUGUUAUGCUAAGGAAUAUUCUACUUAAAAUUCAACUUAGUUUUUCUUCUUUUACCAAAAAUAUGACUUGUUUUUCUAGUUAUAUAUAAAAAUAUGGGGUCUCAUAAGUAUGAGGUCCUGGACAAUCGAGAAAUAAACGAUACUCUGUCUAUGCUUUAUUUUUUAAAAAUCAUUUUAUGAGAUUUUACAAAUAUAUUAUUGUUUUUAUUGUUUAGUCCAAUGAAUUCUAGGAUAUAUUUACUCAUGUUAGUGUCCCUUUUUGUUUUUUAUUAUCUUCUUCAUUGACUUCAAAAUUAGUGCCGGAAGUAGGAAACCAAUCCUCCGAUCCCUGCCUAAUGUUUUUGAUUCAAUCUUUUAAUAGGUGGAUAGGAUUGACCCAUAAACAAGAAUUUUUGACAUGAAUUUAGCAAAUUACUGACCUGUUCAAAUACCCUACGUUUAUAACUAGGCAAAUAAAAUCACAUAUUGUCCUGUGAGCUAUGGAAAAAGAAUCUAAUUUCUCAGCAUAUACCCACAAAAUAGAAUCUGGGAGGGGAAAGUGUACGCAGUCUAUAUCAGUAUUCCAAAGAUGAUAUAAAGAGGUUAUUUCCGAUAGACUCAAGACAAAAAUAGUUCAACUUCUCAUAGUUUAGAUGAAGAUAAUAUUAUAUUAUUGGACUCACCUCCCUUUUAUGCUUUAGAUGAAAAAUGUUUGUAUAAUUUGAGAAGGAAAUAGAGGUUAGCUGUUUCCUCGUAAAAAUGUGUAGCGAACUUAUUAAUUCCCCUGCGACAUACAGCUAAUUAACCUCCAUAAAAUGUGACUAAUUAUUCUUAACAAUGAUUUGUUGAUCAUCAAAGUAUAUAUUUGUGCAUGCCACGUUAUAUUCUAAUUAGUAUGUAGUAUAUGACGACCACCAAUUAAUUGAAGAAGAUUAAUGUAAGAUGAACAAAAUAAAGGUUAUUUGAAAUCUUAGUAUUUUCCUGUGUGUUUCGUUACAGAGGUGGUGUGAUUUAUACACCUUUGUAGACUUCAAUAUGGGAGUUGGAUACAAAGUCAACUAAUAUAUCUCUUGGACUCUCAUAUUAAGGUCCGACUAGAAGUGUUAGUAGAUAAAUAUUUGGUCUGCGUUUCAGUAAACAUUAGGUGAUCGUUCUGAUAUGAAACUCGAAAAAUUGGGAUAAUUUAGCUGCGUUUUCGACCCUUAGCCCCAGAAUUAAACACAAACACUUGCUACAACUUGAACGAUUAGCGAUGCUACUGCUAUCUAUUAAACUAGAUAUUGACGGCCCGUGCUAGCAUGGGCGCAAUUUAUCUUAUUCUUUAUCUUAAUUUAUGUGAUACAAAUAGAAUUUAUAUAAUCAAUCAUUAAAAUAAUUUUAGUUUUUAAUUAUCGUGAUUUAUAAUACUUUUUCUUCUAUUUCAAUUUAACUGACACUAAUAUAAUUUCGACAGUCAGCAAAAAUAUUUUAUACUUUUUAAUUAACGGCACAUUCGACAUAUGUGCUUAUUGUCUAUAAAUUACAAAGAGGGGUAUUCUUAUCAUUUUAUUCUUCAAGAGAUGUGUACUAUUCUAAGUUAUACCACACCGCCUUACAUAGUGUCUCUCAAUAAAUAAACACGUGUUCAGCCUAAUUUAGGGAUGUACCUUGAAUGUGUAUAACAAUCUAAUUACUUUACACAUGUGUUGAUAGUGUGAUUAGUAGAUGUGUUAGUUAUAGUUUGUUACAAUUAGCAAGUUAGCUAGAACAUAACAAUUGCCACUUUGUAUAUAUAGAGGAAGGCACCAAUUUGAGCUAACUAGAGAAGAUAUUUUUCAUUUUUCUCAACUUCUUUCUAUCUAAUUUGUGAUAUAAAAUUAUAAAAGGGAAGGAAUGAAACUAGAAAAAACUUGUAUUAAUCUUUUCUUCUUUUUUGUACCAAACUUUCAGCAAAUGUAAGGCUAUUUAUAGUCAUAACAAUCAAUUAAAUAAGAUUAUAUAUUCCUUAGUGGUGGAGUGUGAAUUGACAUAAAUUGCCCACAAAUCAAUUAUCCACUUAAAUAAAGUUGUCCACUUAAAUAAAAGGUAGAUAAAAUGGCCUACAUGUCAUCCAUUUACAACACUCUCCCUUGGAUGACCAUGUAAAGAAAAAUCUAUUGAAUACGCAUAUGAGUGUUGCCUCAUUAAAAAUCUUAUCAGGAAAAAUCCAGUGGGAUAAAAACCUUGGUUAAGGAAAAAAGAGUACAACACAUAUUCUUACUCCCCUGAUGAAGACCUCGAUUCAACCAGUUUAUUCUUCGCAUCCCAAUCCCGUAUAUCAUCUUCUCAAAGGUUGAAGUUGGUAAAGAUUUGGUGAAUAAAUCUGCUUGAUUGUCAUAGGAACGGAUCUGCUGCCCAUCAAUAUCACCAUUCUUCUGAAGGUUGUGCGUGGCAAAAUGUGCUUUGUUCUAUCUCCCUUUAUAAAGCCUCCUUUUAGUUGAGCUAUGUAUGUUGCAUUAUCUUCAAAUAUGACUGUGGGUACCUUGGUAUCACGCUUCAGGCCACAUCUCUUUUUAUGGAAUGUACUACUGAUCUCAGCCAUAUGCAUUCUCUACUUGCUUCAUGGAUUGUUAUUAUCUCCGCAUGAUUAGAAGAAGUAGCAACGAUGGACUGCUUUGUCGAUUGCCAUGAUAUUGCAGUACCUCCAUAUGUAAACACAUAGCCUUUUUGGGACCGUAUUUUAUGUGGGUCAGAUAAAUAACCCGCAUCUGCAUAACAACAAGAGCUGGACUAGCUUUGUUAGUAUAAAACAAACCCAUAUCAAUAGUCCCUUUUAGGUACCUCAAUAUAUGCUUAACUUUGUUCCAGUGUCUUCGCCUAGGGGAAGAACUAUACCUCGCUAGCAAAUUAACAAAAAAUGCUAUAUCUGGCCUCGUAGCAUUAACGAGGUACAUAAGUGCACCAAUAGCACUGAGAUAUGGUACUUCAGGACCAAAAAUCUCUUCACCCUCUUCCAAAGGUCAGAAUGGAUCUUUACUCAUCUCGAGUGAUCGAACAACCAUUAGAGUACUUAAUGGAUAUGCUUUGUUCAUGUAAAAUUAUUUCAAAACCUUCUGGGUAUAGAUAUUUUGGUGGAUGAAAACUCUAUCGGCUAAAUGUUCAAUUUACAGACCAAGACAAAGUUUUAUCUUUCCAAGAUCUUUCAUUUCGAAUUCUUUCUUUAGAUACUCGAUUGCCUUUUGGACCUCUUCUGAAGUCCUAAUGAGAUUUAUAUCAUCCACAUUAACAGCGAGUAUAACAAACCCCGACGUAGUUUUCUUAAUGAAAAUACAAGGACAAAUAACAUUAUUUAUGUAACCUUCAUUUUUCAAGUACUCACUUAGGCGAUUAUACCACAUACGCCCUGAUUAUUUUAGACCGUACAACGAUUUUUGUAAUCUGAUUGAAUAUAAUUUUUUAGACUUUGAACUAUAUGCUUCAGGAAAUUUUAAUUCUUCUGGGAUUUUCAUGUAAAUAUCGUUAUCAAGUGAACCAUAAAGAUAAGUUGUAACCAUAUCCAUUAGAUGGAUUUCAAGAUUUUCAUGUACAGCUAGACCGAUGAGGUAUCGAAAUGUUAUUGCAUCCAUGACAAGUGAAUAUGUUUCUUCAUAGUUAAUACCGGGUCUUUAAGAGAAUCCUUGUGCAACAAGGCGUGCCUUUUAUCUUAUAAUUUUAUUUUUCUCAUUUCUUUGACGUACGAAGACCCAUUUAUAGCCAACUGAUUUUACACCAUUUGGGGUUUGGACUACAGGUCCAAAAAUCUCCCGUUUAGCAAGUGAAUUCAAUUCAAAUUGAAUCACCUCUUGACAUUUUUGGCCAAUCUUUUCUUCAUCGACAUUCUGCAACAGAUAGAGGUUCAAGUUCCUCAUUGUCUUACAUGAUGUUUAGUGCAACAUUGUAUGCAAAAACAUUAUACACCAUAAUUUUCGAUCGAUCUAAAUUUACCUCAUCAGUAGUAGAACUUAUUGAAAGUUCUUCAUUCACUCGAGUCUUGGGUUCACUGAUUUCUUCAGGAAUAUCAGGAUUAAUCAGAUUUUGAGUCUCUUCAGGAGAAUCUUUUAUAAUACCAUCUUUAUCAUUUUUCGCGGUUCUUUUUCUAGGAUUUUUAUCCUUUGAACCCAACGGCCUUCCACGCUUCAGGCGUGCUUGGGAUUCAGAAGUUAUUACAUUAGAAGAUGGUUCUUUUGGAACUUCAAUUCGGAUAGGCACAUUUCGCUGCAGGGAUAUGUGACUUGGUUAUCCUUUUCAAAUCAGUAAAUGCAUCUAGAAUUUGAUUUGCUAAUUUCUGUAAGUGAAUAAUCUUCUAUACCUCACUUUCACAUAUAAGGGUGCAUGGAUCAAAAUGAGAUAAUGAUGAAACUUUUGACACAAUUUCUCUUUUAAGUUCACGUUUUUCUCUCCUUAAUUGCGAAAAAUUUAUUUCAUCAAAUUGACAAUCUGCAAAUCGAUUAGUAAAUAAAUCUCCCAUCAAUGGUUCAAGGUAGCGAAUUAUAGAGGGUGACUCAAACCCCACAUAUAUUCCUAACCUUCUCUGGGGGCCCAUCUUAGUACGUUGAGGUGGUGCAAUUGACACAUGUACAACACAUCCAAAAAUUCGUAAAUAAAAAAUAUUUGAUUCAUGGCGCAAAAUCAAUUGAAACGGGAGUAUUUAUUAUAAUGAGUUGGCCUGAGACGAACAAGUGAUGUUGUAUGUAAGAUAGCAUGACCCCAAACAAUAGUAGGCAAUUUUGUUUUCAUAAGCAGUGGUCUUACUAUCAAUUGUAGGCGCUUAAUAAAUGACUCAGCAAGGCCAUUUUGAGUAUGAACAUGAACAACAAGAUGUUCAACUUUUAUCCCAACUGACAUGCAAUAAUCAUCAAAAACUUGGGAUGUAAAUUCUCCAGUAUUAUCUAGGCGAAUAGCCUUAAUAGGAUAAUCUGAAAAUUGCGCCCUUAAUCUUAUUAUUUGUGCCAAUAAUUUCGCAAACGCUAGGUUGCGAGAUGAUAAGAGGCACACAUGCGACCAUCUUGAAGAUGCGUCUAUUAGGACCAUAAAAUAUUUGAAUGUCCCACUAGGUGGGUGAAUAGGUCCACAUAUAUCCCCAUGUAUACGUUCUAGAAACUGAGGGGAUUCGAUGCUAACUUUCAGUAGCGAUGACUUAGUUAUCAUUUUGCCUUGAUAACAAGCAGCACAUGAAAAUUCAUCUGGUGUAAGAAUUUUCAGGUUCUUUAACUGAUGCCCUUUUUAAUUUCAAUGAUUCGUCUCAUCAUUAUUGAGCCAGGAUGGCCUACUCGAUCAUGACAAAGCACAAAUGUAUCAGUAAACUUCCGGUUUAUGAUAGAGUGUGCUUCAAUUGUACUAAUUUUGGCAUAGUAUAAGCUGGAAGACAAAACUGGUAAUUUCUUCAACAUUUGUUUUUAACCUGAGACAUUCUUUGUAAUGCCAAGAUAUUUGGCAUUCAUUUCAUUUAUUGUCUUAACAUGAUAUCUAUUUCUGCGAAUAUCUUUAAAACUCAAUAAGUUUCUUAGGGAUUUAGAAGAGAACAAUGCAUCUUCUAUAACUAGUUUUGUCCCCUUAGGCAGAAAUAUAGUAGCUCUUCCGGAGCCUUCGAUCAAUUUUGAAUUACCAGCAAUUGUGUAACAUUUUCUCUUCUUCUGAGUAAGUGAAAAAAGUAUUUUUCAUCUUUAAAUAUUUCAUGUGUUAUCCCACUAUCAACUACACAAAUAUCGUCAUGAUCGAUUAUUGAUCCAAAUACGACUUGAGGAGUAUCCAUGAACAAAAUAAACAUUAUAAUAUAACUAGCACAUAAUAUCAUGCAUUUACACAUUAUUUUAUAUUUUAAUUGCAGUUGUGUUCUAAACAAUUAACAUCUCUAUUACAUAAUAGUUUUGCUAUUACUAACCAUGUGCAUCUAAAGUACACAUAUUUAAUAUUGUAUGUAAUAACAUGAUCUAUUGGCUACUCAUGUUAAUUUCAUAAUAUGUCUUCUAUGAAUAUUCAUUACUGCAAUAAAUAAUUCCAGUCAUAAUGUUAAAAUAAUUUAUGUACUAUAACAUUAUAUAAAUAGCUCACACUGUAAAAAUUUCAUGUGCGUACUACAAAACCAAAAUUACUUAGUGAUCAUAAUACUAUACUAUGGCACUAGCACAUAAUAUAUUAUAUAAACUUUAUAAGAUUAUUAAAAUAUUAAUAAUUGAAACGUAAAUUAAUUUUAACUUAAACAAACAAAAGAAAAUAAACUAAUACAAACUUAACAGAAAAUUAACAUAAUCGGAUUAUAUCAUUAUUAUCACCUACAAAGUGAUUUACUUGUUCUUCAGGAACUGCAAAGAAAUCUGACAUUUUCAAGUCCAUAGGCUCAACAUUAUCUUCUAGGAGGAAGUUUGUUUCAACAUCAUUUUCUGGCCUUUUCAGGGACGGCUGAUAUUGUUUUACCGGAUGCUUAGGCGUAUGACAGGCAUGCUCCCAGUGCCCCUUUCCUCCACAUCGAUAACAUCUACUUUCAGGGUUCGUCCUUGGUGCUACUUCAGGAGCUUUACCCCUCUUUUUGCACAGCUGGUGUUGAGGAUUGUUGUUUAUUGUAAGGCGAUUACCCUGAUUGAAAUACCUGUCACAACCACGACCAUGAUCAUGACCUCGACCUUAACCUCGACCACGACUAGGGUCAGGAUUUCUUUCACUCCAAGUUGGAUGAAAAUUUACAGCAUUCACUUCUGGAAAUGGAGCAGUACCAGGAGACCGAGUUUCAUUAUUUUUUAUUAAAAGGUCAUUAUAUUGUUCAGAAAAAGAAGAUGACCAAUUAAUUCAGAAUAUUUUUUUAAACCCAUUUCUCGAUACUGCUGCUGCAGGAUCAUACUCGAGGAGUGAAAAGUAGAAAGUGUUUUUUCUAUCAUGUCGUGAUCUGUGAUCUUUUCGCCGCAUAAGUCAUACUGCGAUUUAAUUCUAAACAUCGCAGAAUUAUAUUCAGUUACAUUACGAGCUUGUGGGAGUAUGACCAUCUUCAGGUGGUCAUAUCUUUCCUUUAAAUUGUUCUACAAUGUAAGGGGAUCUUUGAUCUUGAGUUACUCCAUUUUUAACCCUUCGUCAAGAUGCUGACGAAGAAAUAUCAUGGCCUUGGCCUUAUCUUGUUCUGACGCCUUAUUAUUAUUUUAAUGGUGUCUGUCAGACCCAUUGCAUUUAAAUAUAUUUCUGCGUCUAGGGCCCAGGACAUAUAAGUUUUGUCAGAUAUGUCUAGGGCAUUAAAAUCCCGUCUGAAAAUAUUAAUCAUUAUUUAAGAAAAUAAAAUACUAACCUUUAAAUACCCUCGGAAUGAUUUUAUAGAGGCUUGUGUUGAUAACGUGAUAUAAAAUUAUAAAAGGGAAGGAAUGAAACUAGAGAAAACUUGUAUUAAUCUUUUCUUCUUUUUUGUACCAAACUUUCAGCAAAUGUAAGGCUAUUUAUAGCCAUAAUAAUCAAUUAAAUAAGAUUAUCUAUUCCUUAGUGGUAGAGUAUGAAUUGGCACAAAUUGCUCACAAAUCAAUUAUUCACUUAAAUAAAAUUGUCCACUUAAAUAAAAGAUAGAUAAAAUGGCCUACAUGUCAUCCAUUUACAACAAUCUGGAGAUUUUUUAUGAACUUAAUAUGGUAUCAGAGCUUAGAAAUUGAAAAUGUUUUGCCGCAAUCUUCACAUGUUGUGAAGGAUUUGAGUAUUUCUCGCAUACAUUUUGCAAUUUGCAAUGUUUUUUUUGUGUGUGUAUUUUGAUUUGCAAUUUGUAAUUAAAUGAAAGAUAGUGUACUUUUUUCUGACACUUUUAAUAAGAUACAAAUAAUGCAACAUAAAAGAUAAAUUCUUUGAAUAAAUAAUUUUGUAAAAUGAUUAAAAUACCCUCAAUCUUUAAUUCAGUUCCUACAAGUUAACAUGUUGAAAGUAGCUUUGCUAACGGUCGUGUUAGCAUGGGCACAAUAUUUAAAAAUAAAAUUAAUAAUAUAUUUUUAUCAAAAUAAUAAUUUAAAUAAAUAUAAAUAAAAUAUGCAUCAUCUAUUUUGAUUUAAAUAUAUACAUAGCCUAUUGAUGUUCUAAAUAAAUUUAAAAUUCUCAAUUAUCUAUAGAUAUAGUAAUCACCGAGGAAAGGUGUUAUUUAGUUUUAUAGUUGAUUUUAGGGAUAUUACGAACUGAUAUAAUCAUACCAGAUUAGUUUUUAAGACUCUUUAAUUUAAAUCAUAAGUACGUUAGGUUUUUAAUUUAGAAAAAUGAAUUAAAAAAAUUGAAUUGAUCGAAUAAAUUUAUAUGAAUGUAAUGUGUUUUAUAUAUUAAGUUUAGCGUAAUGAAUAUUAAAAAUUUUAUUUUGGAUUUGAGGUAGUGAAAAUGAGUAGAAGCUACUGAAUAAUUAACAUUCAAAAUUUCAAUUGAAAAAUAACUCAUAAAAGUAGUAUAUUUAAUCAAAUUAAGUACAUCUAAAUUUCUAUCACCAUAUAUACACUCAUUUAAUUUCUGAGACCAUUUGGAAUUAGCAGUAAGAUAUAGGUUUCCUUAAUUUGAUUUUAUUAUUCGGUAUCUAAAGUUUACUGACUCUAAUUUAGGUUCAAACUUUAACUCAUAGAUAAUUAGGACUUGUCUAUUUUAGCAGUGGCGGAGCCACAGCCAACGAAGGGUGGUCAGAUGAACACCCUUCGUCGGAUAUUUUUUCGAAUAUAUAGGUUAAAUAUAGACAUUUAUAGUUAUAUACAUGUUGUUGCACACCCUUGACAAGCUAGAGAAGCAUAGUCCAGUGGUCAAGAGUGUGCAUUUCAGCAUUAACAACUCGGGUAUGAACCUAGACAGGUGCAACGGUGUUUUAUUUUCUUUAUUUUUUAAACAGUUCUUUGCCCAAGGGAAAAUAUGAAUACUCUUAAUCAAAAGUCUGGCUCCGCCACUGUAUUUUAGAGAUACUUGGUGAACUUUUGUUUAAUUAUUUUUUCUCGUCACUACUUGAAGUUGUGGGUUUCCUUAGUACAUAGCAAGACAAAGGAAACAGUUAUAAACAAUUGUUUAACAUUGCUAACGGUUGCAUUAACACUUUGCGCUUUGCCAUUUAAAAAAAAAAAGAAAUCCACAAUGCAUUGAUGUCUUCUACAAUGUAUUGACGUCUUCAAUUACAAAGAAGAGUUGCUUAGAUGGCCUUAAAUACCCUCCAUCUACAACUUGUUGGGUUCGAAAUCGUGAGGGCGUCAUGCGAAAGCUUAAAAUUUGUAAACUAAUAUGGUGAUAAUUCAGAUGACACAAAGCUAAACUAAAAAGCAUUAUAUUGUUGAUGUGAUUUGGCCAAUGAGCCUACAUAUUAUAAAACCUAAUAAUUAAAAAACACAAAAACUAAUGACAGAGAAAAUCUCCCCUAACCAAAACUCUUAAACACAUUGUGGAUUCUACUGUAUUUUUGUAUGAGAAGGAGACUCUUCUAUUUAUAGAGUUCCAAAAUCUUUCCUCUUUAGAACGAGUUUUUCCAAAUAUGAAAAAGUUUUAUAUUUUUCUUUUAGAAAAAGUAAAAGUAAUUAUGAUAUUACUUUUAUUUUCCUUCUAAGAAAAUAAAACUUAAAUUUGGUAAGAAAAUCAAGGCAAAAACCCUAAUAAAUCUCUCCUUUUUGGCUUAGUUUUCUUGACUUGUUUCUCCUUCUUCAUGUCAUAUGCAUAAUUUUGAUCCUUCACAUAAUCUUUAUUUAUCUCUGUAGUUUGUCAUGCUUAAAAAAUUGAGCCUUUUGGGGUUAAAAUAUAUCAGCUCUUUUUGAGUUAAAAGUAUUGGAACUCUUUUGCAGGGUUAAAAGUGAGCUUUCUUUUUAAAUAUGUGACAGCGGGAUUAUUGAAAUAUGAUUGACAAUUGUCUCCACGUGUAGUUAGACAAAAUCGUCAUUAUCGCCAAAUUGGUUGCAUCUUCAUUUGAAACUGCUUUGAACUUAUUUAAUCUCGUUUCACCAAACUUUUGGACCUUUAAAUCGUAGUCUCUGAUAUCACUUGUUGGGUUCAAAAUCGAGAGGGAGUUAUGCGGAAGCUUAAAGUUUGCAUCCUAAUAUGGUGAUAAUUCAGAUGACACAAAGCUAAACUAAAAAGCAUAAUAUUAUUGGUAUGGUUUGGCCAAUGAGCCUACAUAUUAUAAAACCUAAUAUUUAAAAAACAUAAAAACUAAUGAGAGAGAAAAUCUCCUCCUAACCAAAAAUCUUAAACGAUUACAUUGUACAUGUUGUUGUGUUAUGGUAUGAGAAGGAGGGUCUUCUAUAUUUAUAGAGUUCCAAAAUCUUUUCUCUUAGAACAAAGUUUGCCAAAUAUGAAAAAAAAUUUAUAUUUUUCUUCCAAGAAAAUAAAGAAAAAAUAAUUAUGGUAUUACUUUUGUUUUUCUUUAAAAAAAAAUAAAACUUAAAUUUGGUAAGAAAAUUAGGGAAAAAACCCUGACACAACUCUAAGAUUGUGGGUUCUAAGUCACUAGGAUACCUAACAAUCAGGAAUAUUACUUACUAAUAUUUGGUAUUAUUACAUAAAAUGUAAUAAGGAUCCAUGAAGAGAAUUAGGAUUUUUUUUACCUCUUCCUAGAAGUUUCUAUCAUUUUCGCUUUUGUAAUGAUCUAAUUUGUGAAAUUUUACUUUUUAUGUAUUAACUGUUUUACCUUUCCCGUAGUUGUUACAUGCUUAUUUUGGGGUGUAGAAAUGAUUGACACGGUUAUCAAUGGCUCCGAGUUGGUUUAGGGAGAGUUUGAGACUUUUAGAGGCUUUUAAAGCUACUAGUUUGACUUUGAUCAAUAUUUGAUAUUUAGAGUCCCGAAUGAUGAUUUGGAUAGUUACAUUAGAUCUGAAACGUCAAUUUUGGGCUAUUAGUGGAGUUGGUUCAGGUUCGGGACCUUUAGUUUACAUUUUGACCCUCCAUUUGGAAACUAGUUUAAACAAGCUUUUAGGGGUUUCAAAUGAUCCUUUUUCAAAAUUUUGACGUUGCUACUAAGUUCGUUUGAUUUUACAGGAUUUCAGAUGAAUCCCAAGGGGUCAAUCGCCAACUUUGCAAAAUAGAAAAGUUGUUGAUGCAAUUGCUUUAGUGGUAGUCGCUAUAGCGGCAAUGCAUCCCUUUAGCGAUCACUUUGACCAGCAAUGCUAAAACGGUUACUUUACCACUUUAGUGGGUGCCGCUUUAGUGAUGGAGGACCACUUCAGCAGAGCCAGCCCCGGUGGCUAGGCCGCUUUAGCGGAUCCAGCCAUGGUUGUUAAGCCGCUUAAGUGGUGACUACUUUAGCAAUCAUCUAGUUGCUUAAGCUGUCAAUGUUGGAAAAGUAUAUAUAAUUUAUUUUUGCAAUUUUUCUCCAUUUUUGGACCUCCAAGUCUCAAAAAAAGUGAUUUUCUUGGGUUUCUUCAUCACUUUUCAUGUGGGUAAUCUCUAAAAUCAUUUUUUUCAUUAUUUACUAUUGAUUAUGUCUUUGAAAACACCUUUUAACCUUGAUUUUGAAAUGAAUUUUUGAAAUUUUAUCGGUAAAGCUUGUAUUAAUUUUUCUUUGAAUCGAACAUCAUUUUUAACUCAUUUUCGCGUGGGUUUUCAGUUGUAGAUUCCUAUAACCUUAGGGAAUAUGUUUCUAAAAGAAAAUUUCAGUUUUACCCAUUUUCUUUUCUAACCUAUUUCUGAACCCUAUUUUGAACCCGUCUUAAAAAUAAGCAUUAUGGAUAUCAUUAGUUUUCUUUUGACCCGUAGGUGUUACCUUUGUAUGUUUUAGUUGUUUUUGAGAUCGUUUGAAAGAGAAAGGCUCCAUGCUGAAGAACCCUAGGUGAAAUAUCGAUGCUUCGAGGUAGGUUAUGACUGUUGACACCUAAUGUUUGCCCUCCACAACUAAGUUUAGUCCCGAGUUUCUUUGAAAUUUAAAUAAAAUCACAACAUUUAUUUUAUCCAGAUAAAAGCUCUCCAAAGUAUUUAUCUAGGUAAUUUUGUCAUUUUAAAGGACGAUUAUAUAUUUUUCAUAUUCAAUUAUACAAAAUCAUAUAAUUUUGUUACUUAAAUAUAUAUUCUAUGGAACACAGGAUUUUAAUCAAGUCUAUCAUGAUAAUUAGUUCAAAUGAUUAAGACCUUAGUUUAAUUGUAAUUUGUGCUUGAAAAUAAUUUAUUUUAAAAAAAAUAUUUGGUUGAUUUUAUUAAACCAGGAACUCAAAAUUAAAUUGGUUUAUAAUUCAUAUAAAAUUUUGAUUCAAUUUAGCCGAUUCAUUGAAUUGAGUAAUAUCCCAUGUAAUUGACUAUUUUUGUAAAAAUAAAUUCAAAUCCUAACCGCCACUCAAUUAAUUAGCUACUAGCCCACUCCAGCAGGCCCAAUCAACACCCGUCCUAAGCCCACUCCAUUCUACUGACCCAACCCACUUCAGCCCAACACCCUAUUUCCCCUCUUCUCCUUCAAACGAACAGCAACAAUACGCACAACAGAGAAACAACAAACAGUAACUCCAAAAACCCGAUCCCCACCUUCAAACCGCCCUCCCCCCAACAACCCAAACGUCGUUGCGACGUAAAGGGGUGUGCGUGGAAAAAGCUGGAAGCCACUAGAACCUUCUAGAAAGGUACUAGGUGGCAGCCAGGUCAUUGGUCAAAGAAUAUUCCGUAAAAAAUUCCCGCCAUGGAGUACAUAUAUUGCUCUAUUUCAAUUAGGGCUGGAUAUAUUUUGAUUUCGUUUUUUUGUUUUUUCGAAUCGAUUUCGAUUUCAAAUUUUAGAAAUGUAGUUAAAAGUUUCAACUUUUGUUUUUUUCAAUUUUUUUUUGAUUUAACUGAUAAAUUGAAAUUAUAUAAAUAAUAUAUAUAUUUAUUAUAUAUAUAAAUUAUAUGUAUAUUUUUUAUUUUAUAUAUUCAGUAUAAAUAUUAUUUUUUGGCUAUUUCAUGUUAUUUCAUCCUUGUUGAGUUGUUUAUAUUUGGAAAUGAAAAAAAGAUUUGAAAAAAAUAUUUUUUUUUAAAAAAAAAAUCACUAAAUUUUAAUUCCUAGUCAUGACAGAAAAAACUCACUACUUUAAUCUUCAAAACUGAAAUAAAAUUUUGAAAUAACCGAACCAAAUGUAUAGAAGCCGAACCAAACUAAAUUUAUUUUGGUUUGGUUACGGUUGUCAUUUUCGACAAUCAAAAAUAAAAAAACUAAAUCAAUACUAAAUAAUUAAAUCGAAUAAGCUGAAUGUCCAAUAUUCCUGAUUUCAAAUUUUCUUCCAGAAAUUCAAAAUUGAGUACAAGAAUGACGUUGCAAUUUGUCCAUAUCUAAAAAUUCAAAAUUUCCCUUUAAAUAAUUCUCAAAAUACUCCCGAUUUCCUUUUUGUCCACAUCGGUUGAGCUAAAAAAAUCGAUCCUAUUUUUUUAUUUUUUUGUUAUAAAUAGCUCACUUUAGAGCGAAAUUGGCAAGUCUGAAGAGAGUACGGAAAAGCUUUUUUUGAGAAAACAAGUAGUAAAUUUUUGAGUAAAGGCCCAAAAUCAUACAUUAUUUUUAUUUUAAACACAAAAUAAUACAUAUUCUUUCAACUGGUGCACUAAUAGUCCUUUUGUUUUAAAAGUGGUGCAUUUUUAGUCAUCACUCGAACACUGUUAAUUUUUUUUUAACAUCAACCAAUUACCUUUCUAUCACACUAUUUUUUUUCCUCCAAAGAAAAACUCACCUGCAAAAUGUUGCUGACAAGGGCUUGAAUCAAUUUGAGUCUUGAAGUGUCACUAGUCACUAUGAUUUUUAUUUAGUCAUAAGGGCAUAAGUUCUUGGGGUUCUCAUGAGUUCAUGGACUGAAUGCACAGUCAAUGAGGGAGGAAAAAAUAUAUUCCCAUAAACACAAGAACUUCGAGAUCAGCCUCUUCACCAACAGCUGGCCGACGAGGACGAACCAAGUAUAUUUGGGUUGCACACCAUAAGCAGUAUAAGAAAGCAAUUACCAACAUCAGCUUGACAGAGUUGAAACUCGUAACUUGAGCAGUUUCAGUGGCUUCACAUUGCAAGAUAGUUGCGACCCAAAAAUAACACGUUAACGACAGAGCAAGCAAUUGAAACGAAAGUAAAAUAUCAUUGACUAAUCCAUCAGUAAAACCUACUUUUUAUGAUGAUGUUCCUAUCUCAAAUUCUCUUCAAGUGGAACAUUUCACAAAUAUGACAUUUAAUCACCUCAAAGAAGUUAAAUUGGAAGGUUUUGUAGUCUAAGAGCCUGAUUUGCAGCGUAUAAAACUUCUCUUAGCCAAAAUCUUCGAUGCUGAUGAAAAUUCUAACUAACCUCUACUAACCUGCUGAAGAAUCUGGCAUCGCCUAACAUAAAAGUUGACGUCAUCUUUUAUCUUCAUGAGUCUUAUCAGACCAUGAAAUUAAUAGAUUGAAACAAUUGUUGAUGUAGUGAUACAGAGAAGUCUGAAUUGUUAAUGCAGUGUCGAUACCUCAAGGCUUAUUUGAUGUGUUUUUGCAUUGAUUUUCCUUGCCUAAUGGUGCUCGUGUUUACUUAAUAUGAACGUGAGGAGGCUGCUGUUAAAAAAAUUUACAGUGUUAGGGUGAUGACUAAAAAUGCACUCAGUUUUUAAACAAAAAAGAUUAAUAGUGCACUAAUUAAAAUAAUAUAUAUUAUUUUAUGUCUAAAGUAAACAUAAUGAAUGAUUUUGGGCCUUUACUCUAAAUUUUCUUUUAGUAAUUUAUUUAAAAAAAAAAAACAUCAGCUAAUCGAGAUUCUCAAAGUUUCAAAGCUUUCCAAUGGUGGCGGAUUCCAAUGAGGCUUGAAGUUCGGUUUUUCUGCCCUAAAAAAGAUAAACACACUUUUUUCCUUUUAAUUUUGUUAUCAUUUUCUUCUUCAUCUCUUUCUCUGUAGCAAUAGUUGUGUAGUCAUAAUCGUGAUAAUGCUGGGAUUGCUUGUUGUAGAUGGCUACAAUUGCCGUAGGAUUUGAUUGUAUUGGUUGUUAUUAUGUUGUUUGCUGAAUCAAUAUUUAUUUUGUUGCUUACGUUUCGGUUACUUUGAACGCACUGUUUCAUGUUAAUGGUGUUGAUUAGUUGCAGAUUUUUAAAGUAAUGAAUGAAUUCAAUGUCUCAUGUUACUGGUGAUAAUUAUUUGUAAGUUUAUAGUAUGAAGCUGCAUAUAUCAUGGAAUUUUUGUCUUUCCUUGUCUUGUUCACUAUCUUUGAUUUAAUAACUUUCGUUGCGAGAUAUUAUGUCACUGUCUAGCCUUAACGUUGUUUGAUGAAAGUUGAAUGUAUAGUUUCUUUUGAUUUAUUUUGAAUUGGAGUUGGAUAUAUUAAUUUCAUAAUUUUUGUUUUGCUUUCGAAACCACUAUUACACUAAGUUUUGUUGAUCCCCAGCAUGCUAUUUUUAUACUUAAAUAUUAUGAUCUGAUUUGCUAUCUGUUUAGGCUGAAUAUCCUUGUUUUAGUCUAGAUACAUCUUCCUAAGUUUAGUGUAAUUUUGGUUUGCUUUGAUUCCUCCCUUAAUUUUGUUCCUAUUUCAAGGUCACUGAUGGUGGUUUAAUUUACUGUGUUAACCAGAUACAAACUGCCUCCUAAUUCUUUUCUCCUUUAAAGCCAAUAGAGAUAGUGGUUGUAUGUCUGUAGUAAGGUCACGAUCUUAUGAACCCUCAAGGAUCUUUUCUUUGACCCUAGAAAGUUCAUUUCUAGUUCGUCAAAGAGAAUAUGAGGAUGAUUUUGUAGUGUACUCCUCUUGGGAUUAUAAGUUGUAUUUCUCUCUGUGUUAACUAUGUAAAAAAUGUCAUUGUAAAUAAGAUUACUUAUAUGUUCUGCACCUGCAUAACUAUAUUUUAUUUUAGAAAUUGUCUAGCUUCUCUUGCCUUUAUUUUCCUUCCCAAUUUGAUUACCGCACAUAUUCUUGAUCUGCCUGAAAGCGUGAUUUCCUCUUCUCUUGUUGAUUGCAUACUUGUUCCUUCAUUUGUCUUACUGGCCAUGUCGAACUUUGCCCCUUAAAUGUGAACUUUGAUUUUGUCUCGUUGACAAUAUGGUGGACUCAUGUCGUCUAAGUUUGAUGUUAGGCCCUUAUAUUGUCUAUUUGUAACUUGGUACAAAAGUAAGAUUUUCAAGUUCGUUUAUUUUGUGAUGAUUAUAGUGAUUGUUCAUUAGUAUUUUUAUCUUGAUUGGAUUUUGGCUCAUGGGCCUAAAGUUUUAAGGUUUCGUAAGGCUAUUUAUGUAAGAAAUGAUGUUCUAUCUUGUUUAAUGAGGUGGUAAAAUCAGUCAAUUUGAAUAUUAUUUUUUUAACCUAUGUUUCCUACCGAUUUGAAGUUUAUCUGCCUCUCCGUAAUGUUUUGCUAGUGUGUUGUAUUGAUAGUUGUUGAUUCCUUUAUCUGUGUUUGCUUUCGAUUAUCUAUUACUUGGCUUCAAGAAUCGUGUGAUAUAGCCGAUCACUUUCUAAUCCUUGAUGUCAUUUCUCAUUUUCAGAAGCAAAUACUGUAUUUUUCGCAUUUUCUGAGUUGCAUUUAGAUGCUCUACACUUAUGACACUAGAUGUUUGAGGCUUUAUGGUGUAUCAUUCAGACUUCCGUUUUACGUAUAUAAAUUGACUUGACUUCAUUCUAGAAGUCUCGUUUGUCUUAUUCUAAUUGCAAUUCUUGAUUUUCUUUCGAUUUUAGGAAAUCCGCUUACUCAUCAGGGCUGGGUCUCGGUGAGUAUCAUCAGGACCUCAACUUUUGAAUCUUGACAUCUUCACCGAUGAUUUUAAGUCAUUCUCAAAACUGAAGGUGGAGGGUACUUAUCAUCCGAGCAAUCCCCCUAUUAUCUUGAUGGGAUAUGAUUUAAAAACUAAGUUGUCCCGUCAAACUCACUACCUCAAAAUUGAAAGUCAGCGAUGCUUACCAUCCGAGCAACUCUCUCUUGGAAUGUUUUUCCUAUUCCCUUGGAUAUAAUCAUCUUUUUUGACCUGAGAAUUAGUGUCUGGAAGAGAGAAACCAAAGACGCCUGGCAAAUAUAUUUGAUUUUAGAUAUGGUUCAAUCUUUUAAUAGGUACAUUAUAUCCAUGACACUCAAGAGUGUCGGACUAAUUAUUGACCAAACAUAUUCUUUCUUCUUGAUACACAAUCAUUAAACUAAUUUUUAUAUAUUUUUCUUUUAACAACUAAAUGAAAUCUAACAGUUAAAUAUCAGUAUACACUGUACAUAUAUAUAACAACAUUCCACUAUAAUAAUCAUGAAAUUUUCAGACUAACCUCUAUUACUAUAUUUCUUGGUUUCAUGGUAUACUUUCAAUGUUUCUAUUGACUCGAUUAAUAGAUUUUAGUUUGAUCCAGAAUUUUAUAAUGUGAGUUUUCUCUACCCACAUGGAAUAUUGAGAGAUAUAUGUUAAAGUUGAUCUGACCUUCAUGAGGAAGUGAACUCCUGGGAAGCUAAGAUGCUUAUUUUAGAUGACUUGGAUCUUCAAAACAACAAUGAACAACAGAGAGAAGAGCUGAACAAAGGAUAUGCAGAAUAUGUAAGAUGGUUGGGUCUACAAGACAACUUGUUCAGACAAAAGACACAAAUAAAUUAGUUCAAAGAAGGUGACUAUAACUCAAAAUACUUUCAUAGUAUUCUGAGAAAUAGAAGAAGGAAUGUCCAUAUGUAUUCUAUUAAAAACCAUAGGAACAUUUGGAUCCAAGGAGAUGAUAAGAUAGCAAAGGCUGCUAUCAAUCACUACAAAGAUUUCUCUAACCUGAGGCAACAUACCUAUAACAGUUCCAUUCUGAAUUGUAUUCCUAAUAUUAUCAACAGAGAAGACAAUGAGUAUCUUUCAAAAAUGCCAGAUGAAGAGGAGAUUAAGGAUACUGUCUUCAGUAUGGGUACAGAAAGCAGUGCAGGGCCUGAUGGUUUUAAUGGCAUGCUCUUUUAGUAUUGUUGGGAUAUUAUAAAGCAUGACAUUGUUGCUUUUGUCACUGAUUUCUUCAAGGGUAAAGGACUUACCAAAUUCUAUACUCACACUUGCUUAACAUUAAUCCCUAAAGUGGAUUCUCCUUCUACUUUUAAUGAGUUUAGGCCUAUUAGUCUUAGCAAUUACACCAACAAGAUUAUCUCCAAAUUGGUAGCUAGAAGAUUGAACCCUCUUCUUAACAAAUUGGUCUCUGAUAAUCAAAGUGAUUUCGUGUCCGGGAGAUUAAUUACAGAAAAUGUUAUGCUUGCCCAAGAGAUCAUUCAUGAUAUUGCUAAACCUAAUCAGGGAGGAAAUAUGGUGAUCAAACUUGACAUGGCAAAGGCAUACGAUAGGUUAUCCUGGUCCUUUCUUUUUAAUAUCCUGCAUAAAUAUGGUUUCAGUAGUGACUGGAUAGACCUUAUCAAAAGGCUCAUUUCUAAUGCCUGGUACUCAAUCCUAAGAAGUGGUACCAGACAUGGAUUUUUCCGUUUCUCUCAAGGGCUCAAACAGGGGAUCCCAUAUCCCCUUCCUUAUUUAUCUUAGCAGCCGAGGUUCUUUCAAGAUCUCUGAACAACUUCAACAAUGAUAACAAGUUUAUCCCUUUCUCCAUGAACAAAAGAGGGCCUCAAAUUAAUCAUUUAGCUUACGUAGAUGACAUUGUCAUAUUCUCCAGUGGUAAUACAAAUUCAGUUAAGAUGAUUAUGAAGCAAAUUAAGAGAUACGAAAAGGUUUCUGGUUAAAAGGUCAACAAUGACAAGAGUUUCUUUUUAACAUACCCCAAGACUAGUCCAUAUAGAAUCAAUAGAUUGAGACAAUGCACUGGCUAUAUGGACAAGUCAUUUCCUUUUUUAUUUGGGUUGCCCUCUGAAUUAUAGUAGAAAAAAAGUAAAAUAUUUUGAUGGUAUGGUUUCGAAGGUAGUUAAGAGGAUGAACGGUUGGCAAGGUAAGAUGCUCACGUACGGGGGAAGAUCCGUACUUAUUAAGAGUGUCCUUCAAUCUCUUCCGACUUAUACUCUCUCUGCACUUAACCCUCCUAAAGCCACUCUAAAUAUGAUUGAGAAACACAUGGCCAGGUUUUACUGGGGUUCUACAACUGAGAGGAGAAAGUUUCACUGGAGCUCUUGGACUAAUUUAUGUCAUCCAAAAGAUGAAGGAGGUAUAGGUAUUAAAAGGCUGGUUGAUAUCUCCAAUACCCUGGCUAUCAAAAGGUGGUGGAGAUUGAGAACGAAAAACUCUAUUUGGGCUGAUUUUUUGAAAAACAAGUAUUGCGCUAAUAAACAUUUGGUUCAAAAGAAAUGGAUGUCGGGUAACUCUUAAGGAUGGAAAAGUCUUGUAUGGGCCAGGAAUAUUGCAGAAAACCAUGUCAAAUGGAACAUCAAUAGUGGAAAUUGCAAUUUUUGGUGGGAUAGAUGGACAAAUUUCGGCACUUUGGCUCUUAUUCCUUCUAUCUACUGUGAUGGGCUUUUUGCCAAAUUGUGUUAAAGAUUUCAUGUUGGAUAGAAAAUGGGGUGAAAGAAUUUUGUCUUGUGUUCUUCCUACAAACAUUGUUCAAAGUAUUAUGCACAUCAACAUUGGGCCAAAUGACCAGGAUGAUGAUCCUAUUUGGAUGUGUACUGCAGAUGGUCAUUACUCUAAUAAAACCGCUUGGAAUUUGGUGAGAAAUGUGAAGUCAAAAAAUGAUUUUAUGCAAAAUCUGUGGCAUAAGUCUAUACCAUUUAAGAUAUCUUUUCUUGCUUGGAGAUUAUGCCAAGGGAAACUUCCUUUUGGUGAGGUUGUAUCUAGAUCUGGACAACAUUCUAAUGUUGAAUGCUACUGCUGCACAAAUCCUGUAACUGAUUCCAUCCAACACACCUUUACUCAAGGGAAUGCUGCUAUGCAUAUUUGGAAAUAUAUUGGUGCUCCUCUGGGAAUAAUCCAUCGGCCAGGACCUAUAAGAAGAAUUUUCAAUAAUUGGUGGAGUGUUACGAACAAAAAUAGUGUACACAGCAUGAUCAUUCAUAUUGCCCCUAUAUUUAUAUGUUGGGAAAUCUAGAAACAAUAGACAAAUUGUAAAUUUGGGGAUCAAAACAAGAUGUACCACAAGAAGAUGGAGUAUCGAAUAAUAUGGAAUAUUACUGCUGCCCUCAACAUCACUUUCCCAUCAGUAACCGUAACAGGAAAUUGGCCCAACAUGUGUGACACUUUUGAAAGAUUGCAACCUAAGGUCAAUGUCAAACAAGUUAUUUGGCAAAAACCAGAAGUAGGGGACUACAAAAUUAAUGUCGAUGGUAGCUACAACAAGGACACAGGACAAGCAGGUAUCAGAGGCAUAGUUAGAGACAGCAAUGGAGACUUUGUGAUGGCUUUUUCAAAGGUAGUGCAUUGUACCAGUAAUAACCAAACGGAAGCUACAGCUGCUAGAUUUGGGACUCAAUGGUGUGUGCAGAAGGGUCUUAAUAGUUCCGUUAUAGAAAUGGAUUCGAUGGUGAUCAUCAACAUGCUGAAAAACAAAGGUAUCGCUAAUCUCAAUCUGAAGAAGAUCAUUUAUGAUACUAACAAUAGUGUUAAAAAUGCCAAUGUCGAUUUCAACCAUUGCUACCGAGAAGCUAAUGUGGUAGCAGAUUACUUUGCUAAAAUGGCCUCUACUAUUGGAAAUGAAACCUUUUUUUACUCUUGGCAAUCCCUUCACCAAGAGAUCAAAGGUUAAUUCAACUAGACAAGCGACAAUUACCUUAUAUGAGGAGAAAAUAUGAAAAAUGUAAUUUCUUUGUAAGUUGAUGUUUAUAUGCUUUGGUAGAGAAGGAGAUUGUAUAGGCUACUCCUUCCUCACUCUUUUUAGUGGAUCUUUUAAAGAUGGAAUCUGUUGGUUAGGGGUAAGGUCCAUGUCCCCCUUAACAAGCUUCUCGUUGAUUAAUAGACAUGGUAGGGGUCAAGCCUAACCCCCUCACCAAAGGCACCACAACCUGAGGUGAUGGCUUAUUUUAAAAAAAAAAAAAAUUACUUCUCCACUUCAUUGUUUUUACAUUAAAAAACAUGGAGGAAGACUGACCCCCCCGGGGGGGGGGGGGGGGAGGGGGUUGAACAACAAGCUCACCAUGCAUUUUGACUUGCUUUCUUGUGGGAAAAUAAAUACUCACAUAAAUUUGGUGGAGGAUUCAGAAUUCUCAUUAAGAAUGUUAGAAAAACAAAAAAAUAUACUUGACAUUUUAACUGGGAACCUCAAAUUGAAUUUCUAAUUCCCUAAAUCACUAAACCAACGUGUAGUCUUGUAUUGAGGGGAUUCGAUAUGUAUAUUUAUACACAAAAAAAAUUACCUUACAUACAAAAUGUUAUUUUUUGUCGAGGGGUCCAGGAUAACACCCCGAACCCCCUAGAUCCAACCCCUGUACACAGAAAGAUGUGUGUCUUCACUCCACUCCACCCCAUACUUCCAUCUAAUAAAAGUGGCUACUUUUCCUUUAUUCAUCUACUUGCUUCCUCACAGCAAUAGGAAUUCUAACAAAAUGUUUGCCAUCACUCCAUGCCAAACUUCCAAAGGUAAAUUUACCACUUCUUUGGUGAGUAGAUGUGAUCUUUACCUUAAAGGAGAUCUUCUUUGUCUUGGCAUUAAACUUCAAGACAUCUGGAGUUACUUUAAUAGCAACGUUUCUCGGAGGUUUAACCACUAAUUUGUAUAUAGAGUUAACAUUUCCAACAUUAGUAACAGUUCUCUUGAUAGUAACUGAAUCCUUGAGAUUUGGAAUUGAUAUUGAAGGGAGAUUCAUAUCCAACCUUGACGGUACUACUUUGGGACACACAAUGCCUGCUGAAGAAGUAGAAUUUUUCUUGUCUGAAUAAUACGUAGUUACAUUGUAAACCCUAUCAUAACUAUAGCCCAAACUGCAAAGAUAAUUCGAAUAAUCAUUUUUCUCCAUAUCAUAAAUUAAACCAGGAUCUGCUGCUCCAUUUGGAUUGCAUAUGCCACCUCCAAAGUCAAAUGGAUCAGCAAAAUCUCCUCCAGUUCCUUCUGAAAAAAUUUCAGCUUUAUAUGUAUCCUCGUUCCAUGCUACACAGUUCACAGAAAAUUUCAAUCAGUAAAUACAUAAACAAAAAUGUUGAAAAGAAGGAAAGACUAUAUAUUUUGCUCAAGAAUUUAGUUGAUGUACGAUAGCAUUGUAAAACCUUUUGAGCAUGAUGGGAUUAAUUAAUUAAAGUGAUGUAUAACAACAUGAAAUACUAAUUUAAGUUUAAUUUGGUAGUAAGCAACCUUGUUAUAACUUAUAAUAUGUUAAAAUAUAUUAGUAGUGUAUAAAUAAUAAAUGUAAGGUAAAUCAUUUUGUCAAUGUGUUGACAGUAUUUGUGUUCUUUUAUGUUAAAUUAAUGUAUAGCAAUGAGAACUUUUCAUAUAGAAUUCGCUAAGGUAAUUUAGUAUACUAUAAUAAGUCGAAUUGUGCUAUUAAUGUAUAGAAUUUAAAUUUAUAAGAUAUUACCUGUUGUCAUGAGUGCAGACUUAAUAGCUGUUGGAGAUCAAUUAGGAUGUGCAGCUUUGAGGAGUGCAACAAUUCCUGCGACAUGAGGGGCUGACAUGGAUGUUCCUGACGCGAGUUUGAAUCCAUUGUAUCCUCCAGCAGCAGGUGGAAAUGCUGCGAAUAUAUUAACACUAGGAGCUGCAAUAUCAGGUAAUAAUAUUUAAGUAAAAUUUAUAAAUCACUUAAAAAAAUAUAAUAAAAUAAUUCAAUGAGAGAAUAAAAAUUGUUAAAUCAUUUUAUAUUUACCUUUAGAAUUUCUGGAGCAAAGGAAUUAGGGCCUCUUGAGGAGAAUCUAGGCACUGUUAUGUAUGUCUUCUUGCCCUUAAGAAUUUUAGUUUGUCCAUAUUUAAUUAUUGGAUCUUGAUUGAUGUUAAAAAUGAUGAAUCAAUUUAGUGAUCUAUAAUAACGCAAGUAAAAAAUUAAAAGUAUUUUGACGUGAUAAAAGUUUUUUUUAAAAUAAAAAAUUCCUUGUUUCUCAGAAAAUAAAUAUUUUUCUCAAUUUAAAAAUUUCCUCUCGCGUUAGUCGGAGAGUGAAUAAUAUUUUUAAGAAAAAUGUUUAUAAAGAUUGAUAAUAAUAUUAGCACCGACUAAUGCUUAGUAAAAAUUAUAAUUACUACUGACUAUUACUAAUAAUAUUUAAGUGUUGGUUUAAAAUAGUGACAUGAAUAUAAGAGUUGAGACAAUUGCUCGUGAUUUCCAUCCAAGAGCAAGGAAAGUUGUUUUUCUUUUUUUCGUAAAAUAUCUUUUCCAUUUUUAAUGACUUGACUUCUAAAAAUAUUUUACCUCAUAUAAGAUAUGGCUUAAAAUAUUCAAAAAUAGAAAAAAAAAAAAAAAAAAAAAAAAAAAAAAAAAAAAAGUAAAAACAAGAAGUAUCAAAAUAGGAGAAAUAUAUGCUUACUUCGAUAUACAAUGUUGAAUAUAGUCAAAAAUUUGAUUUCCUUGCUCAAAAUCAACCAUAAAAAAUGACAUAUUAUUUUGAGAAAUUUGAUUAAAGCCAUUAAGUUGAUCAGCAGGGAGUGUAGCACAAAUAUAAGCCAAAAGUCCUGUUUACUUUAGAUGCAUUACAGACAUUUCUGCGUCGUCUUCCUUUUGAAAGAAAAGUAGUAGAACUUUUCCUUUUAAUCCACUGGCAAUAGACUUAAUGUCUUCAACUCUGCAAUUGGAAAAAAGCAAGCAUUAAUAUAUAUUUGAAAAAUGCCUUUGCUGAGAAGCUAAAAUCGCUUUACCUCUAAAGUGAAGAAUAGGUCUAUGACAUCCUAUCCUCCUCUGACCUCAUUUUUUGGAUUAUAUAGAGUAUGAUGUUGUUGUGCUUUAAGUAAGAAAUAAUUUAUUUUUAAUUAAUAAACUUUAAAAAGCAUUUUUAAGAAACAAUCGAUGUUUGACCAAUUUUUUCUAAGAGUACCUCUCAGUUGUUUUUGUCCAAAGUGUUUUUCAAAAAUAUAUUUUUGGAGAAAAGUAAUUUUUUUUUUUUAGCCUCUAAAAACAAUUUCUACUUAUCAAUCACCAUAAUAUUUAUUUUCUCCUAAAAAAAAUAACGAAACUCCUCUAUAUUUUUUGAAACAAAGAAUAAACUGUUGUAAAGUGCAUUAACUAGACGAUGCAAUAUACAUUUCACUUACUUCGUUACAUUCGCUAAAGUGACCAAAGGAGCAAAGCCGUGCCCCUUCCCUUUAAUAAGUCCCGAAGCCUACAAUCACUCCAAAGGUGUUAAAAUAUGUACUAGUAUAAAUGAUUAUUUGAAUAACAGUUGAUGCAUUUUGUUAUUAUUUAAUAAUUUUAAAAAUUAACUUUAUACAUAAAAUCGAUUUUUUUUAAAGAAGUAAAAUAAAAUUAAAAUCCCAACCUUUGGAGGUUUGUAUUUUUCAAAAUUAGUUUUCUUAAUUGACUGAAGUUUAUUGACCUUUGAUAUGUGAUCGAUUGGGUCUAUUGGGCAAAAAGAUACUCUGUCAAACCAUAUUUAACAUUUUACCACAAGUUUUAAAACUUUUAAUAAAUAUCAAUUAUUUAGGACACCAUCAAUCUCACUUCCAAAGUAACAACUUCUAGCCUCAAAUUUUUAAUACUGAUAUUUGAUAUGAGGCCAGUUUGUUGUUGAUUAUAUUUAAAAAUGUAACUGCAUUAAGUGAAUUAGCUAGAUAAAUUAUUGACAUAUUUUUCUUCAAAAUGAAGUUUUAAGAAAACAAAAGAAUUUACUCGUAUCGUCUUGUUGUUGCCAAGUGUUAAAGGAGUAACAAUUUCUCUAUUGAAACUGCUACUAGCAACACUUAUCACCCACGGAGAAGUAGCACCAACUGUGUAAGAGGUCGGUCCACUAUUUCCUCCACUAGCAAUAAAAGAUCUACCAUACGAUACUGCAUGAAAAGAUCCUAUCCCAAAUAAUGUAUCCUCAUUAAUGUCAGCAUAAUUGACUGCACCACCACCACCACCAAUAGAUAUUGAUAUUACGUCAACUCCAUCUUUUAUAGCAUCAUCAAUGGCGGCAAGAACAUCGAUAUUACUAAUCAUUUCACCAUUUAUACCGUUCCAGACUACCUGUUUAAAAUAUUAUAAAUAAGUAAAAGAAUUAUAUAGAUUCUCUAACAUCUAAAACUUUUAGAUAAGAGCAUCGGAGCUCAACAAAGAAGGUUUUUGGUUUAACUUUCACUAAUUAUCCAUUAUUUAGAUAUGGGGAUUAUUGAACAUUAUGGGUGUUAGGGUUCUACGGCAGUAAAUUUGAUCAUUGAAUUCAUAAUCGACUAUUUACAUUUAUCAUCGGAAGUUUUUAAACUCAAAUUCAAUAUUCAAGUUAAAAUUAUUGAAUUUAGAUGAAUCCAUAAAAUAUACGCUACAUCCAUCAAUAUAUUAUUUAAAAGCUAAGAAUAUUGAUUUGUUUGGUUAAUAAAAAUGGAUAAAAUCUAGAUGAGUUGAAACUAUGAUUAAAUACAUUUAUAAAAUUACUUUAAACUUUUAAUUGAGAAAGAUAACUACACAACCAAUUCAAAAAUGAUACCUUAUAAAUAGCUAACCGUGCAAGUGGUGCUCCUCCUCGUGUUGUUCCCAUAUUAACACCAUGGUAUUCCACAUUGUUAAUAUAAGAACCAGCAGUUGUAUAUGCAACAUGAGUACCAUGUCCGUCAUCAUCUAUUGGUGAUAAGUCAUUAAAUUUUUUAACAAUUGUUUGAUUUAUUUCGAGAUUUUCCAUUGAUCCUUUUACGUACCAACGAACUCCAAUGACUUUUCGAUUACAAUAUUUUGUUGCAGUAAAAUUGCCUUCAGAUUUGCAGCUACCUUUCCAUCGAGAUGGAAUUGGACCUAGGCCUUCAUCAUUAAAAGCUUUCGAAUCAUCUCCCCAUGCAAUCAAUACCUACAAAAUGUUGCUGUUUUUUUUUUUUUUAAUAUUUAACUUCUAUGCACAAAUCAUGUAAAACAUCAUGAUACUUGAAGAUAAUUUUCUAUAUGAUUGUAAGGAGGAAGAAAUAUUAAUAAUUAACUUAUUAUAACUAGAUAAAGUACAUCAAUAAUGUAAAAAUAUAUUUUUACAAUAUUAUUUGUGCAUAAUAUUUAAAUUCCCUUUUGAUAAGAUCAUUAGUUGUAAGACAUAUUUUAUUUAUUUAAGAAAAAAGAACCAAAAAAUGAAAAAAAGAAAAGAAAAGAAAGGGAGACACUAAACCUGAAUCUAUUAUGCCAAUAAUUAUUCCAUCACCUUGAUUUGUUUUGUUCACAAGACUAUUGGGGUCAUGCUUAGAAAGACCCAAAAAGUCCCAACUCCUUGAGGUAUGAGUCUUGUAAAAUUGAUUUGGUAUAACUUGAACCACAUCAGGUAAUUCUGAAGUAUAAUUACAAUACAUAUAUCAACGAAGAGUCAUAUAAUGAAUAAAAUCUUUAAUUUUUCAUAAAAUUAUUUUAUUUCCUUUUUUUAAUAAUUUUUCUGACUAUUAGUUAAGAUAAUUCAAAUACCUCCAAUUUGUUUGGCUUGAGAAUCAGUAAGCUUAGCAGCGAAGCCAGAGAAACCAUGUCUAUAACUAUACAUCAUCAGUUUUUUAGCUUCUUCCUUGCUGCAUGACAAGAAAAUACGAUUUUAAGUUUUAAAUAAUGAAAUAUAUGAAAUAAUAUUUUCGCAAUUUGUAGGGUCAUUAGAGGUAAAUAUUUCUAUGAUAGGCUUUAAUAAUUUUUUUGGUUAAAAUAGAUUCUACUACAUUUCAUUGGUUAAAUUUAUAAAUUUCAUUGCAGCCACUUGACCUAAAAGUUCAUGAUGUGAAUUGGUAAUAAGUUCAUAAUUAUUGUGAGGUUUGUGUCCCAAGUAAACCACGUAAAACUAUAGAUCAAAAGAAUAUCGUCAAAAAACAAAUUAAUCAAUGAGAGAUUAAUAUUCAUUAUGGUCAAUAAACAAAUAUAAGGAGAUUCUAAGCUAACUUCUUAAAUCACGCAUUCCAAUGGUCCAAAAUACUACUCCCUCUAUUCCACUUUAGUUAUUGUAUUUAUCUAAUUUUAAAGUCUAUUAUGGACAAAUGUGGAUUUUGGUUAAUUAUUAUUUUGACACUUAAUUUCAUUGAGUCAUUUAUUUAUCUCCAUAUUACUAUUUACUUGGCUUCUGCAAUGUUAUUAUGAUGAUUAUUGUGCUUUUGAGGUUGGGUUAAGGGGAUGAUCUUCGAUCUUGGUGGAUUAAAAAUUAUUAUUUAAAUAUAUUUGUUAUUUUAGAAAAUAUUUAAGGAAAUAUUGAUUAUCUUUUGCAUUUAUUUUCUCUCACUUUAUUAAUAUUGAUAGCAUUAUCUGCAUUUUUGCAAGUAAUAUUUUCUCUCAAGAAUAUCUAAAAUGUACCUUAGCAUCGGCAUUAUCUGCUUUUGUUGUUAUUUCACAUAAACACGUAAAAAUUAACAGAAGACAUAAAAUAACAAGGGAAAAAGUUGGGUUAUUCAUCAUUUUUGCUUCCCUCCUUUCAACAGAAAAUAUGAAAGGGAGAAGAUAACCCAACUUCAAAAUCAAAUUUGGUUAAUGAAAUUAGAAAAAUAAUUGCAAUGUAUUAAUCAUUAAAUAGCUUAAACUCACCACACAGAGUAGAAAAAUUAAUUUGUGGCUAGUAUAUUAAGCGUAAAUAGUAGCCACUCACUCGAAUACAAGUAGAUAAAUUAUUCUAUUUUUACUCCUUUAAAAAUGGUAUAUAUAUAUAUAUAUUUUGAAUUUUUUAGAACGUAUACUUUCUAUUUUCAUAUGAGUGAUUAAGAGCAUAAGAAAGGAUUUUGGAGUUCUAAUCACCAUUGUUUUUCCUCAUAAUGGCACUUAGGAUUUAUUUAUAUAUGAAGUUAAAUUUAUGGUCAAGUUGAGCCACGUUUGAGAAAUAGAAAAAGAAAUCUUUUAUAUGUUAUGCUAAGAAAUAUUCUACUUAAAAUUCAACUUAGUUUUUUUUUUUCGGCCAAAAAUAUGAGUUAUUAUUCUUUUUUAUACUAACAAACUAUUUCAAUAACUUUUAUAAAAUAGUAUAUAACUAGUUAUAUUGGAAAGGGUCAAAAUCAUUUACACCCUCGAACUUUGUUGUAAAAAUCAAACACCCCCUCAACUUUGAACAAUAAUCAUUCUCCCUCCUUUUUCUUAUUUGAUUUUUCAAAAUACCUACUUUACCCUUUUAUUUAUAUCAACAUUUGAAUAUUUAAAAACAAUUUUAUUUUUAUAAACACAAUUUUUAUUUUUAAUCUAUAUAACAUAUUUUCUAUAAAAAGCUAAAGGUUAUUUUUUAGAUGAAAAAAUAAAAGUGAGAAAUAUUAAUUGAGUAUAUAAGUUAAUGACAUUCUAUAAUGAAAUAAAUGAGCAAAAUAAUAAAAAUUAAUUUUAUUAAAAGUAAAAAUUCUAAUAUCUAUUUAUACGUGAAAAUAAUAGGUAAUUAUAUUUUUAUAAAUAUAUUUCAAUGCAGGUAAUACAAAUUAAUUAAUAGUCGAGGGUCCUUCGAAAACAACUUAUCUACCUCCCCACGGUAGUGGUAAGGUUUGNNNNNNNNNNNNNNNNNNNNNNNNNNNNNNNNNNNNNNNNNNNNNNNNNNNNNNNNNNNNNNNNNNNNNNNNNNNNNNNNNAAUCAAAAUAUGUAUCUAUAUACAUAAUUAUAUAUACACACAUACACACUUAAUACCUAUAAUAUAAAAAUAUUGAAUGUAAAAAAUACCAUUAGAUUUUGUAAUUAAUUUAUAAAAGAAUUUACUAAUAAUGUAAACAAAUUUAAAUAAAAAUAAUAAAUACAUCGGUUAUGAAAGAUAAAUAUAUAUAAUAUAAAAAAAUAUUAUAUAAACAUAAGUUUAAAAAUAUUAAGGGUAAAAUAGUAUUACAUAGUGAAAAGGGGGGAGAAUGAUUGUUACUCAAUACUAAGGGAGGUGUUUGAUUGAUUUUCACCUCAGUGAAAUCUCCUAAGUGAGGUAUGAGGAGGGUAGAGGUACGCAAACCUUACCACUACCUCAGAGAGGUCGAGAAGUUGUUUUCGAAGGAUCCUCUACUAUUAAUUAAUUUGUAUUACCUGCAUUGAAAUAUAUUUAUAAAAAUAUAAUUACCUAUUAUUUCGUUAUAGAAUGUCAUUAAUUUAUAUACUCAAUUAAUAUUUAUCACUUUUAUUUUUUCAUCUAAAAAAACCUUUUAGCUUUUUAUACAAAAUAUAUUAUAUAGAUUAAAAAAUAAAAAUUGUGUCUAUAAAAAAGUUUUUUUUUAAAAAAAAAUUCAAAAGUUGAUAUAAAUACAAGGGUAAAGUAGGUAUUUUAAAAAAUCAAAUAGAAAAAAGAAGUGAGAAUGAUUAUUAUUAAAAAUUAAGGGGGUGUUUGAUUUUUACAACAAGAUUGGGGGUGUAGAUGAUUUUAACCCUAUUUGGAAAUAUGGGAUCUCAUAAUUAUGAGUUCCUGCACAAUUGCUUAAGUGACCAAAUGGAUCACAACAACAAGAAGAUACCAAUAUAUUCACUUAAAAUGGGAUAUGGGGAGGGUAAUUUAAAAGUGAGAUAAAGAGAUUGUUUUCUAUAAACUUUCAAGUCAAGAAAAAAAAAACAGUACCAAUUUCUUAUAGUUUGGAUGAAGAUAAUAUUAUAUUAUUGAACUCAAAUCAAUACUUUGAAACCAGUACCUACAUGUAUAAUAUAUAUUCAACCUCCUUAAAUUUUAUCUUUUAAUCAUUUGUUAGUUAGUAACCAAAAUAAAAAAAAAUCGUUUCUCAGUUCUUAAUCAAUCUAUAAAACUUGGUGAAAAUUUCAGGAAUUGCCUUUCAAAAUGCAUAAUUCUUCAGCCAAUCACAAGACUUUUUACUUUACAUGCACGACGUUAUUCAUAGUGAGUAUAGCACUUCACAAGGCAAAUUCCAAAAUUAGUCACACAAUAUGUACUUUUUGCCCAACAUGUGUUUGAUUUUCCAAAAGUACAUGGAGGUUUGCGUGAAGAAUAUUUAAGGAAAAAUUUCAAAAAUAACAACUCUGUAGCUUUAAUUAUAACUUUUAUAAUAACAGUUUUAUAAUUACGAAAAAUAGUAAAUUGUAUUUAUAUUUAAGUAAAAUGUUGCUAUAUAAAUACAUAUACAAAUAUGUAUAUGUAUUACUCAUAAAUACAUAUGCAUGACUGAAAAAUACAUAUUCUUCUAUUACUAUGAAGUGGGUAAAAUAUUGCUACUUUUGCUAUAAGUUACAAUUUUGAAGAAGUGUUGCUAUUUAUUGUAAUUAUAGUCUUAAGGAUGCUAGUUUGUGUAAUUUUUUCAAUAUUUAAAGUGGAUUUUUUGAAUAACAUAGUAUUUCUUGUAAAAUUUCUAGCAUAUCUUAUGUAAAUUCUAGGAUAAUCAUCUUGAAGAAAUAUCUAGAUAUUCUAGGUAAUUAUUCUAGAGAGAGGAAUCUUGAAAAUAUAGUCUACUUGAUAUUUGUAUUUAGGAAAGAUCCAGAUCUUCUAGAGUGUUACAUAUUCAUGGAAGAUGAUAGAAUACUCUAGAUUUGUAGUAUCUAGAAUCAUUCCCACACAAGAAUAAAUAGAGGAUGACAUUAGACAUAUGUAACCAACCAAAAAAUAAAAUCAAUUCAAGUGUAGUCUUUUUCAUAUUAAAGUUCUUCCUUCUUUUUUAAAGCUUCCUCUUCUUAGUUGAAUCUUCCGGUCUUAGUUAACGAUCUUGGGCUAGCAAAAGGUCUUUAUAGCUACACCUUUCUUCUGCUAUUCUCUACAUGGUAUCAGAGCCAAACUCACAAAUUGACUUGUGUCUAUUUCAAAAUCGGGUUUGUGGUUGAUUCAACUGAUUUGUGCAAAUGGAUUUUAGCGGUCGCGUUAGUAGGCUGGGAAUGGAGUUGUUGAAUCAGUCCAAUUACAAGGUAUGCAAGACCUUUAUGGAAUCAUACCUUGUGGGCGAGGAUUUGUGGAAUGUUGUUAACGGGAUUAACACAAGUCUUCCGAAUGACAGACCGGAGAAUAGUAGUGCAUACAAGAAAUGGAAGCAGAUUAAUGCAAAGGCGGAGUUCAUUCUAAAGAGCUCCAUCUCCUCUAAUUUAUUCGACCAUAUUAUAAGGUGUACAUUAGCUCAUGAUAUUUGGAGGACCCUCGACUAGUUGUUCAACAAGAAGAAUUAAGCUCGGCUACAGAUAUUGGAAAAUGAAUUGGCUAACACCACUCAAGGUAAUUUUUCUCGUGCCGAGUACUUUUUAAAAAUUAAGAACUUAUGUUCUGAGAUUUCUUUAUUGAAUACAGACGGGACUAUCUUUGAAGCACGAAUGAGAAGAAUUAUCAUUAGUAGUUUGAAACCAGAAUAUAUUCCCUUUGUGACAUCAAUUCAGGGAUGGGCUCAACAACCAUCCCUGGAGGAAUUUGAGAAUUUGUUGUCAUCAAAGGAGUUACUAGCCAAACAAUUGACUUGUGAAUUUGUCAAAGCAAGGGAAGAAAAUAUUCUUGUAUCCGACAAGAAGAACGUUAAAGGAAAAGUAAGAGAUAUGCCUCACACUCAAUUUUCAAAUGGUUUAAGCUCGACUAGAAAGAAGGAAGAGACUUUUAACAAUUAUACUAAGAAGUCUCUCAGAUGUAUCGGUGUGGCAAAGCAGGACAUAUAAGAAGAUGUUGCCGAGUCAUGAAAAGCAACAUGGUUCAUACUGAAAAAAUUGUUGAAGAAUAAGAAGGUUGGGAAAGAUGCUUAGAAGCUGAGAGUCGAGCAAUAAAUGCAUUAUUUUCAUAAUUUUGGAAUGAGAUUGGAUCGGAUAUAAUACAAUGCAUUAUGUGGAGCAGGAAGGCACCUAUAAGAAGUAAGAUGAUAUUAAAUACGUUCAUACUGGAGAUGUGGUAGCUGCUAUCAAUGAAAUCAAAGAAGCAGAUCCUAAAAAUGACAAUAAAAGUCUAAACAUGGAGGAUAUUGAAGUAGACUCUGAGCAGACAAUUUUUGAAACUCUAUAUGCUAGUGAUGACUUUAUCGGAGUAAGCAUUAAGAGAGAUAUAGUUGAAGUCUCUGAUCAAUCAUCUAUGGUAUCAAGAUCAAUUAAUAACUCAAAACAAAUAUUGAAAGUUGAUGAGUAAACUAAAGGUCAAGAAAAAGAAGAAGUUGACCGUGUAGACUCAGAUGGAGAAAUGGAUGAUGAAGAGGUUGAUACUGAUGAAAUUUCUUUGUUCUUUGUAGUUGUAUCUGAAGAAGAGGGUUCUAAAAUAUUGAACCCAAGAUUUUCAGAUUUGUCCAUGAGAAAUGAUUCUUCAAAGAAUAUAGUUGUUAAGGAGUUCAGAGAAAGAGGGAACUCGAAAACUCAACAACAUGAAACUCGACAACGACUAUUUUUUGAGAAACAAUUAACUUUUUAAUAAAAAAAAGACUUCUAUCCCGUCAAGGUACUUUUAAUUUUUUACUUGCUUUAUUAUAGAUCACUGAAUUGAUUCAUCAUUUGUAACAACAAUCAAGAUCCAAUAAUUAAAUAUGGACAAACUGAAAUUCUUGAGGGCAAGGAGACAUACAUAAAAGUGCCUAGAUUCUCCUCAAGAGGCCCUAAUUCCUUUGCUCCAGAAAUUCUAAAGGUAAAUAUAAAAUAAUUAAAAAUUUAUAUCUUCUUUUAAUUUAAUAAUUUCUCUCAUUGAAUCAUUUAUUAUAUUUUUUUAAAGUGUUUUAUAAAUUUUACUUAAAUAUUAUUUCAGCUCGAUAUUGCAGCUUCUGGUGUUAAUAUACUCGCAACAUUUUCUCUUGCUGCUACUGAUGGAGGAUACAAUGAAUUCAAACUCAUGUCAGGAACAUCCAUGUCAGCUCCUCAUGUUGCAGGGAUUGUUGCACUCAUCAAAGCUGCGCAUCCUAGUUGGCUUCUGCUGCUAUUAAGUCUGCACUUAUGACUACAAGUAAUAUCUUAUGAAUUUAAAUUGUAUAUAUUGAUAACAGAAUAUAACUUAUUAUAGUAUAUUAAAUUACCAUAUCAAAUUUGAUAUGAAAAAUUUUCGUUGCUAUUCAUUAAUUUAACAUAAAAGAACACAAAUACUGUCAUUGCAUUGAGAAAAUGAUUUACCUUACAUUUAUUAUUUAUAACUACUUAAAUAUUAUAACAUAUUAGUAUAAGUUAUAACAUGUUGCUUACUACCAAAUUAGACUUAAAUUAGUAUUUCAUGUUGUUAUACAUCAGUUUAAUUAAUCCCAUCAUGCACAAAAGGUUUACACUGUUAUCAUACAUCAAUUAAACUCGUGAGCAAAAUAUAUAGUCUUUCCUUCUUUUCAGCAUUUUUGUUUAUGUAUUUACUGAUUGAAAUUUUCUGUGAACUGUGUAGCAUGGAACGAGGAUACAUAUAGAGCUGAUAUUUUUUCAGAAGGAACUGGAAUAAAACUUGCUGAUCCAUUUGACUUUGGCGGUGGCAUAUGUAAUCCAAAUGGAGCAGCAGAUCCUGACUUAGUCUAUGAUAUGGAUAGAAAUGAUUAUUCGAAUUAUCUUUGCAGUUUGGGCUAUAGUAAUGAUAGGAUUUACAAUGUAACUAUGUAUCAUUCGGACAAGAAAAAUUCUACUUCUUCAGCAGGCAUUGUGUGUCCCAAAGAAGUACCUUCAAGGUUGGAUAUGAAUCUCCGAGAAAUGUUGCUAUUAAAGUAACUCCAAAUGUAUUGAAGUUUAAUGCCAAAACCAAGAGGAUCUCCUUUGAGGUAAAGAUCACAUCUACUUACCAAAGAAGUGGUAAAUUUACCUUUGGAAGUUUGGCAUGGAGUGAUGGCAAACAUUUUGUUAGAAUUCCUAUUGUUGUGAGGAAGCAAGUGGAUAAAUAAAGAAAAUGUACCAACUUAACUUUGGAGGUAUGAGGUGGAGUGAUGACACAUAUCUUGCUGUGUACGGGGGUGGAUCUAGGGGGCUCGGGGUGUUAUCCUGAACCCCUCGACAAAAAAUUACAUUUUGUAUGUAGGGUAACUUUUUAUGUGUAAAUAGAAAUAUCAAAUUCUCUCAACACAAGACUACAUGUUGGUUUAGUGAUUUACGGAAUUAGAAAUUCAAUUUGAGGUUCCCAUUUCAAAUAUCUAAUUAUGCAUUUUUGUUUUCCGAACGUUCUUAAUGAAAAUUCUGAAUCCCGCACCAAAUUUAUGUGUGAGUACUUUUUUAUUUCCACAAGAAAGCAAGUGGAUGUUCAAACAACUUGAAAAAAAUGCAUGAUGAGCCUGCUGUUCAACCCCCCUCCCCCCUUCCCCUACUUCAGUUCGACUUUAACAUAUAUGACUUUCAAUAUUCCAUGUGGGUAGAGAAACCUCACAGUUCCAUGUGUCUACAAGCUCACAUAUAUAAUGAUAAUUCUGGCUCAAACUAUCUGUUAAUCGAGUCAAUAGAAAUAUUAGAUGUAUAUCAUGAAACCUCGUAAUAUAGUAGCAGAGGUAGUCUGAAAAUUUCAUAAUUGCUAUAAUGGAGUGCUGUUAUAUAUACACGUUAUUGUAUAUUGACAUUUAAUGGUUAAAUUUCAUUUAAUUAUUAUAAAGAAAAUUAUGCAAAAAUUAGUUUAAUGAUUGGGUAUCAAGACGAACGAAUAUAUUUGGUCAAUAAUUAAUCUGUGUCAUGGAUAUAAAACACCUAUUAAAAUAUUGAACCAUAUAUAGAAUCAAAUGUAUUUGCCAGGCGGCUUUGAUUUCUCACUUCCAGACACUAAUGUUCAAGUCAAAAAAAAUGAUUAUGUCCAAGGGAAUAGGGAAAACAUUCGAAGAGAUUUGUUCGGAUGGUAAACAUGCUCACUUUUAAUUUUGAGGUAAUGAUCAGUUUGAAGGGACAACAUAAUUUUUAAAUCGUAUCCCAUCAAGAUAAUAGGAAGAUUGCUCAGAUGAUAAGUACCCUCCAUCUUUAAUUUUGAGGUUGACUUAAAAUCACCAAUGAAGCUGUCAAGAUCCUAAAGUUGAGGUCAUGAAUCAUGAAGAUACUCACCGAGACCCAACGCUGAUGAGUAAGUCGAUUCACUAAAGAAAAAAUCAAGAACUGAAAUUAAAGCAAGACAAAUGAGAAUUCUAGAAUGAAAUCAAGGAUAAAUUACACAAAUCCCAUACUUAAGAGAGACUAUAUUACCUAAUAUCUCUUACUUUUUAAAAUAUUUUUAAAAAUUUACAUAAAAUCCCCUUUUUCAACUUUACUUUGAUAUAUAUAUAAAAAAAAGAGUAAAUACAUAAUUACACCACUGAUCUUGUCCGAGAUUUUCGAAAAGACACCUAAACUUUGACAUCAACCUAUUACCCCACGAUUUUUCUUUAUUUCAUUGCAAACGCACCAUUUUUCGCUGAAUCUCAGUCACAACAAAGUGAGUGAAGACACACGCCAAUCAGGUGCUUCCACGUGUCAACUACGUUUAAUUUCAUAUUUUUUUAAUAAAAUUUUUCUUUUUAUUUAAUUUAACACCCCACCCACCCCCUUUUCCCCCCAAUCCAGCACCUCUCCUCUCUCCCCCUGCAUCAACAGCUCCCCUCAACCCCCACCCCAAUUNNNNNNNNNNNNNNNNNNNNNNNNNNNNNNNNNNNNNNNNNNNNNNNNNNNNNNNNNNNNNNNNNNNNNNNNNNNNNNNNNNNNNNNNGUUUUUUUUUUUUAAAAAAAAAAGCUUCAAUGGAGGAGCUUUAAUGGUGACAUUGUGUUGAAGAGCUUUAAUGGUGUUGAAGAAGACAUUGUGUUGAGAAAGAAAUGGUGGGUAGUUAAAUGAUAUGAUUUAAUUGUAAAAUAGAGCUUUAAUGAAUGAUUUCAAAAAAAAAAAAAAAACUUCAAUGGAAGCUUUAAUGGUGAAUUGAGUUGGAGAAGAAAGAGUGGGUGGGUUGGGGGGAGAGGGGUAGGGAUAAUUUUAUAAAAUAAAUAGAUAUUAUUUAAAAAAAAAUAUAAAUUAUAUAUCAAUUAUUUUACACGUGGCAGAUUUUGAUUGGUCCAAAAAGUCAAAUUCGAUCCCUUUCAAGCGCCUGUGGCGCGUGUAUAUACGCAGAGGAUCAAAAUGAUGUGUUUGCAACGGAUUAAGUAAGAAUCGUGGGGUAAUAAGUCGAAUUCAAAGUUUAGGUGUCUUUUUUGAAAAUCUCGGCCAACAUUAGUGGGUAAUUAUGUAUUUACUCUAUAAAAAAUCCCAUAUCCUAUUUAUACUCCACCAUUAACUUAUUCAAGAUUUCCUCCCCUAAAAUAUCUCCCUAAUUAUCAACAAUUAAAUCAUCUUCCUUCAUGAUUUUUUCUCUUCCAUUGAUGCUUAAAUAAUCUUCCUUCCUGAUUUUUUCUCCUCCAUUAAUGUGUGCAACUUUUUUUUUCUCUCCUAAAAUCUCUCCCAUCUUUUUUAAAAAAAAUCUAUUGAUACAUAUAUAAAUCUAUUUAGUUAUUCAUACAUGUUUAUUUUUUUAAUGGUGAUUCAUAUGAAUGAUAAAUAUGAUAUCAUUAUAUAGGUAUUAUGGUGAAUCAUACGAUAGAUACAUUUUGUAUGAUUUUAAUGGGUGAUACAUAUUGUAUUAUGGUGAUUCAUAUGGUAGAUACAAUUAUUUAUUUUAAUUAUUGGGUGAUUCAUAUGGUAUUAAUGGGUGAUAUAUAUGGUAUUAUGGUGAUUCCUAUGGGUGAUACAUAUUGUAUUAUGGUGAUUCAUAUGAUAGAUACAAUUAUUUAUUUCAAUUAUUGGGUAAUUCAUAUAUAUGAUAUUAUGGUGAUUCAUAUGGUAGAUAAAAUUAUUUAUUUUAAUUAUUAGGUGAUUCAUAUGAUAUUAAUGGGUGAUAUAUAUGGUGUUAUGGGUGAUUCAUAUGUUAUUAAUGAAAGGUAAUGGUGUAGUCAGUGUAGGAAACAAAAGUAACAAUAUUUUUUUAAAAAAAGACUAAAAGCAGAAUUGAAACAUAAUUAAAAUUAUAUCUAAAAAAGUAGACUAAAAUUAAAGACGAAAAAAAAGAGAAAAAAGACCCCAAAAAUAUAUCUUUCAUAAUUAAAGACGAAAAAAGAGAAACAUAAUUAAAACACCCAAAUUAAAUUUAAAAAAACAACAGAAAAAUUAGAUAACUUUUCUUAAAUAAAAGAAUACAAUGAAUAAAAGAGAAUCUAUUAUUUUCUUAAAUAAAUAUCUUGUUAAUUUAAAAUGUAUCACUUUUUUAUAUGUAUCCCCAUAUAACACAUGUAUCACAUUUCAAAAAAUCGAGAUAAAAUGUGAUUAACAAAAUAGUCAGGAUUUUAUGUAAUAGCACUUAAAGAUUCAGGAAUUUAUGUAAGUUACCCAUCAAGUAAACCCAUAUACCUAAAACUGAAGUCUGAAUGAUAUACAUAAAUCCUCCAACAUCUAGUGUCAUAAGUGUAGAGCAUCUAAAUACAAUUCAGGAAAUAUAGAAAAUAUUAUAUCUGCUUCUGAAAAUGAGAAAAGAUAUCUAGAUAGAUAAGAAGAGGUUAGGAGUCAACUCUGAAAUCCUAGAGCAUGCCAGUACCUCUACCACUAACUCUAAUAAGCACGAACUCGGCUACUGCACCUCAUACUUGUUGAUACAAGUAUGAUCAUGAUCAUGACACUUUUGAGUAUUUUUGAAGACUAGUCACUAAAGGGCUCUUUUGUCAUUUCUCUGUUAUUUGUAAUGUUGUAUAAAUAGAACCUUGUAGGGUUUAUUUUCUUAGUUUAUGUUUGAGAUUGUAAGAACACUCCUUUUGUGAGAGAGAACUCCAAAACCGAAAUUAGGGCAUAGCAUAGGCCUCAGUUAAGUGCCGAGUUUGGCGUAGUAUUCAUUUACACUUCAGGUCCUCAUGUUUUAACCCUUUAGUGAACUCUCCUUAUGAAAUGAUGUAGUGAUAAACGAUUGCUUAGAUGGAAUAGAGUAAAUAUUUCAUGAUAAGGAAAGAUUUUUUUUGCAUGCUUAUUUUACACGAGGCUGUGGUUAUGAAAAUAGGCUUGAAUAUCAGGUUAGUGUGCUAAGUAAAUGGCAAGCAAGAAGUUGUAUUUAGUUGUUGAAGGGAGAGAAAUCAAAAUUUUUCUUGAGAUGAUAAGUUGAGAAAAUGCCGAGUGUGAGUGUCUAUUCUGAUCCUCAAUUUAUGUCAGUAUCUAUCACGCAGUUAUCAUAACCUAGUAUUCAGUUCCACUACAGUCUCAGUUACCUUCAUAGUUACAACCUCAGUCCCAGUCUUAGUUCAGUAAUCAGAUCAGUAACUCAGUUCAGUUUCAAGUUUGCUUGACCAUAGCGUACAGUUAUCAACUAUUCAGUUAUCAGUAUUUCUGUAACACCCCACAUUUUGGACUAGAAUGAAAAUCCAUCAUUCAUAUACGCAGAUGUUCCAAAAGCCUCGAAUCCUAUGUAAAUUUAGUGUGUUAAUCAAUUAUGUAGUGUGGGAAUCUAUUUGAGCAUGAAUUAAGAUCAUAGAGGUCCCCUAACUCAAGGACAAGUUGAAAGCUUUCCUAUCGUUCAAGUUUUAGUGAGCAUCAAAACUUGGAUCAACAUCAAUCGACUAUAAAUCCUUGUAUAUAUUAAAUUAGAGGACCUACUAUAUAUCAAAUAAAAGCUCUUUGAAUUAUCUUUCCAAUGAUACCAAUUUUUCCCAAAUCCGAUAUCGGCGCAAAGAGUUAUGCCCAUUUUACUCCAGCAUGUUAGGCUGGGAAAUGGAGUGAUGACAUUCGUGAUAAGUUAUCACAAGCGUGACGACUUAUCACCAAUGUCGUCAGCCUUAGGCAGAUUUCCACCCCCAGUGAAGAUAUUUUGUGAUAAUUUAUCACGAGUGUGAUGACUUAUCACCAAUGUCAUCAACCUUAAGCAGAAAAUCACAAAUUUCACCCUUUUGUGACGAUAUUUCGUGACGACUUAUCACCAGUCUGAUGACUUGUCAUGAAUGUCGUCAGCUAUUUUUUUCAUCAAUUAAGGGACAUUUUUGCAAGGGUAUUUUGGUCUUUUCCCAUCUUUUGGAGGCCUCUAUAAAUAUGAGAAUUCCCAUCCAAACCCUAAUUUCUUCAUUUUCUCUUCCAAUUCUCUUAAGAGAAUAUAUCUAGGAUUUUAUUCAAGAAUAUUAAUCUUUCAAAAAUCAUCCAUAAAUCUUCAAGAUUUCUUUAAGAACUCAAGAAUUCCUCCGUCAAGUUUCUCCAAAUCAAGAAACUAAGGUAUGCAAAUGUUCAUUUUGGGUCCCUUCCACCCAAGAAGUUCAAAAAUCUCUUUUUAAAGUUCCAAGAUUAUAUUUUUAUGAAUUCUCAUGAGUUAUGUGGUUUGAAGAUGAUUUUCAUGUUGAUAUUGGGUUUUCGUUCAUGUUUUGAUCAUAAAAAUGCAAGUAUUGACUUUAGUGUGUGUGGAUUAUGUGAUGUUCAUGACAAGGUCCCUUCAAGAAGCAUGUUGAAUUAUGUAGGCAUGUUAAUUAUGGGUAAUGAAUUGUUGUAUGACCAAAUUGUGCCUCACAUGUGUAUGCUAGAAUGCUUAUAUGAAGAAAAUAGUACCAUUGUAGUAUACUAAGUAUAAAAUCCCCAAUGUGGUGACAAAUAAAGCAUGCCAAGUGUUUGUUGUUUUGCCAAGAUGAGUGAAGUAUGAUAUGUUGCAUGUACUCCCUAUUCAUGUGUCCUUGUGGAAUAAUUUAUGAGACAAUAGCAUGCCUCUAUAUACAAUCUACAUGGUUGAAUGUUCCCAAGUGCUUGAAGUGAUACGUCCUUGAUCAUGUUCCAAAUUAUAGACUAUUGUUAUGACAUUGGUGGUGAUAGAUUAUUGUUAUGAUGUGAUGUUGGUCAUAUAUUCAAGAGUCAAGUCCUGUCAUUUUACUUCCAUAGAGUCCUGGGGGUACUUAUACCCAAAAUAUAGCUGUGUGCCUAGAGCCAAGUCAGUCUCACGAUAAUCUUUGUCGUGCUAUGAUCAGUAGAACUCAGUCAAUGACUGAACAGUAAGAAAACUCAGUAAUCUCAGUAUUCAAGUUAAUCAAGUUUAGUACACAGUCCAGACCCUAGUAGUGUUCAGUAUUCAGUACAGGUUCUAGUAAAGCUCAGUAAGUUACAAAACUCAGUUGUAUUCAGACAGAAAGUAGAAUUUAGAAGUAUUUCGUCAGAGCACGGAACCAAGCCAACUCAUUUAGAUCAGUCAAGUAAGAUAAUCAAUAACAAUAUUUAACUUAGUCUAAGUUCAGUUAAGAAUCAGUUCAGAGUUUUUCAGUUGGAAGUAGGAGCUAGCACCGAGCGAGUGCAGGAUGGUGGCUUCUCCGUUAGAGAGAUGGAGUCGUUAGCAGCAAUCCCUGUACUCCAGAACUACGUAGCCAGCGCAGGAUGAGGAUUCACCCAUUAGAUAAAGGCUUUACUACCUGCAGGAGUACUCAUAGCCUUAGGCUUGACUUCCUCUUGAGGGUCACCCAUUAGAGAGGCUUGACCAGAGAGGUCUUUACCCAUGGCACGGUAUUGAAAUCCUUCCAGUUGGGGUUACAGGUUGGACUCCACCAAAUUUGGGGCAUUUCAUUUAAGCGAGAACUCCCAUAGUUGUAGUUUCAGUAUUAGUCUUCAGAGUAGAACUCAGAAAUCAGGACUGUCAGAUACAGUCAUCUAUCUCAGUAAGGAACUUAGAUAAUUUCACUGAUUCAUGGACUACCCGUUAGAUAGGCCUGGUCUCACAUAAAGUUAUUUAGUGUCAGUACUUACAAAGAUCACCCGUUAGAUAGGCUUAUCUCAGUCUCAGAUUCAGUUGAGUAUUCUCAUUACCAGUCCCAGAGAUCACCCGUUAGAUAGGUCUAAUCUCAAGUUCAGUUAAUGUUAAUCAUUAUCAGAAGAUUCAGAGAUCACCCGCUAGGUAGGCUUGAUCUCAAAUUCAGAUUCUUAUCUUUCCUUAUCAUUAUUAGAAGACAUAGAGAUUAUCCACUAGAUAGGUUUGAUCUCAGAUUUAGCUAGUCAAUAUCAGCAAGCUCAGAACUCAGUUGUCGAUAUUAGUUGAUUCAGCUCUUCAGUAUUCUAGAGCUAGCAAACUUAAAUAUCAAUUAUCAGUAGACUCAUCCAUCUAGUUCUUAGUAUUAAUAAGUACAGAUAUCAGUUUCAGUAGCUUUAGAUACUCAAAAUCUCAGUAUGUUCAGAGAUUUCAGAAUUAACAGUAUAUUCAAUAUCAGUUAUCAUAUUUAGUCCUAGUAUGCUCAGUGUCAGUAUGUGCGGUAUGUUCAGUAGUUCCAGAUUCUCUAUGUAUGCUAAUCCAGCUCUUACAUAUCAUUUAAUUAAGUAAUUAUGCAUGCAUAAGCCCUUAUAUUUAGCCUUACCUCAUUUACAUACUCAGUACAAUCCAAUAUACUGACAUAUUUGCACUAUGGUGUUGCUAUUUUACCUUCACCAUAGGUUCAGGAGCACGAGAUCCAGAGUACCCUUAGCAGUUCCAGACUCAGUCAGCAGCAGUAGACGUAUUAGUGAGUCCUCAUCUUUUGAGGACGAUUAUCAUUUCAGUACUUUAUUUUAUUAGACGGGGUUAGUUGGGGACAUGUCCCAUCAACUCUGUAGUUUAGACAGUUAGAGGCUUUUCGGACAGAUGUAUAAGUUUUCAGUUUAAAGACUUUGAUCAUUUCAUAUGUUUUGAACUUUAUGGCAAGUUUUCGCCAGUUUUCCGCAUGUAUUUUAUAAUAUUAUACAGUGACCAGGUACAAAUAUCAAAAGAGGGUUAGCUUAUGGUCCUUUGGGAUCAUGAGCACCGUGUGGCGUUCCGGUUAUACCAAAAUUGGGGUGUUACAAUUUCAGUACUUCAGAUUACUAAUUAUUUUAGAAUCAAGUUAUACGUUUUGUCUUGCAUUCUUAGAUAAUACAGAGUUCAUGAAUUCAUGCUCAGUUAUCUCAUGUUACUCAGACAGUCCUUACCUCAUACGUAUAAUACUCUAUAGUUUCAGUCCAGUUAUUCAGACUAAGUACGGUUCAGUCUUACAUGCCCUGUAUUCAGCUAUCAGCCUUUCAGUUAAUCAGAUAAGUUAGUAUGCUUAUGCAUUUGUGCUCAACGCCCAUGUGAAUGUUUCAGUAGUCUCAGGUGAAGCGUCGUACUUGGGUCGAGAGUAUAGUAUAGUUGAGAGAGUAUUCGAGGAAUAUAUCUAAGCUUGAAAAUUAUUAGUUGCAGUGUAUGAGGCUUAGUAACUCCAUAUUAGAUGAUAUUCUGUAGGCCUUGCUCUAUAUUAUAGAAUUGUAGCCAUGUAGUGAUUUCUUAUUCAGAUGUUUUAUUCAGACUAUGCCAAGAUUUCCUUGCUCCCUAAAGUUAGUAGAAAUCUAUAGAAAGGGUGUCAAGAAUUGCUACAGUUUAGUAUAAGUUUUCAGUAUGAGUAGUCUGUGUCACACCCCUUUUUUAAAUCCCAAAAGAUUUUAUUUUUAAGGUUCGAAAGGGUUUUUAUUAUCAAAGUUACAAAAGAUGAAAAUUUAUUUAGAAAAGGACCUUUUAUAUUCAAAACUCAGAGUCGCCACUUGGAAUAAUUCGGUGUGCCAAGGUACCUUUGAAAAAUCCUUUUCAAAACGUUUUGACUCUUUAAAACUGGUUUGCGAACAGAAAUUUCGGUUAAGGAAUUCUAUUGACCGAGGGAAAGGUGUUAGGCACUCCUCGAUCCCGUGGUUCGACCACAGUCUCUUGGUGGAGCGUAUCGGCUAAUUUGACAUUACAAAUGUAUAAACCGCACAAAACACAUAAAACAAUCAACUAAACACACGAAACAAAACAAAUCCAAAAUAUAAUGUUCAGUCCAAUUAUACAGUCCAAAAAUAAGAAAAAUGGAAAAAUAAAUCCUAUUGUAACCUCACUAGUACUAAACUAUGCUCCGAUGAUUUACUCCAUCCGAUGUUUCGGGUCUUGACCGUGCGCCGUCUUCAAGUACAACUUUCUCAGGGCAUUCCCCGGAUAAAGCAAUACAGAUACCUCGGGGUAUUCCCUGGUCAAAUGAGUACAUUUUUUCAAUUGUGAUAAAAAAAAUCCAUUCAACACAUAUUUCAAACAUUUCACUAAUUUCGCAAUCCCUAAGUGUGCCUACCCCUAUCGUUUGCCUAACAAUUCAUGGUCUAAAGCAUGAUACUAUCAAACUUAACAAAGUCGACGUUUAUUCCGAAUCUAGCAAUCGUUACUAAACCAAAAUAAAUCAAUAUUCACUUUUAACAAUUUUUGAUCUUUUUUCCCAAAAUCCAACUUAACCCUAAAUCAACUACGUGAUAAACAUACUUCACACCAGGAUUAACAAUCAAAUAACUACGAGCAAAAUCACCUCAAUUAAAUUCAACCAAAAAUCACACCAUUCAAAAACAUACACAAAAGAGGAGAUAAGAGAUAUAGAAUUGGACCUCAAUCGCUCAUUUUAUUCCAAAAUCAGUGAUGGAUUAGAAUUCACGGGUAACAGAACCUCGACUCAACUGGAACCUCAACGUCGAACCCGCAACUUGAACAAAUACCAAAGAGCACAACCCAACUCAAGUUUUUUGACUAAAAAUCUGUAAACAUCGUCAAUCCAAAAUGGACUACUAGGAACCAAACGAGACAACAGUAUCUAAAACCUGAACCCAUUCCAACGCUGAACCUUUUUUUGAACCAAUUUUUGAAGAAGAAUCUGGAGUCAUUUUUUUUCAUCUAUUUUCGGCGGGUAACGUUAGUGAUCCUCAGUUUUUGGUUGGAAAAAGGGAAACGAUAGAGAGCUGGUGGAUUUUUCGAUGGGGGGAAAUAAAUUUCGGCAAUAAUCUCGCUAGAAAAUUCAAAAUAUUAGCCUUUUCCGGUGACUUCCCCACUCCAUUUCCCUUUUCUCGUCUCUCUGUCUCCGAUCUACCUAUCAAUCGCCCAAUCUCUACUCUAAUUCCUCAACCCUCGAUUUCUCUCUCUGCUUGUAAUCCUCACACUCUCGAUCUCACUAUUCCUCUUUUGAUUCACCUCGCGUCUCACUAUUUUUCACCAUUUAUGUGUGAUUUGGGUAUGGAUGUGUAUGUAUGUGGCUGUGCUUGAGAGGGGAAUUGCGAGUUGGUGCGUGGUUUUUGUGUAUUAUCGAUCUAAGAAGAGAAAAAGAAAAAUAGAUCCCCCCUGGUAUGCCUGAUCUCUGAGGUAUAUGGUGUAUGUAGUAUAUGUGAGAUGGUGUUCUGUGGGUUGGAAGAAGAAGAACUAUUGUGUGUAUAUCUCUUGUGAAAAAAAUCCCCAAAAUACAUGGGGCCCUUUCCUUUUUAUUGUUAGUGUAUUGAACAUAUUAGGAAUAUUCUCCCGUGGGGCCCACUUUUUUUUUGUUUUCUUUUCAAAAUGGUUUCAAAUUGGAUAAAAAAACGUAAGGGAUAGGGAAAUUGGGGUGUGACGUGUCCUAAUUUCAUAGGAUACGGUUGUUAGGAUAAGGUGUAAAGUUGGUUUGGAUAAGGUUGUUAAUUUGUUAGGGAGUUUGUUAUUUUUGUAUUUUUGUGGGGUAUGAUCACAUGGAUGAGGACACGUGGUAAGGUGAGCUAAAAAUGGAUAAAAUCAACGUCGAGAGGGACAAAAUUAGGUGUCUACAGCUUGCCCCCUUUGAAUGUAAACAUGAAGUGUUUUUAGACAAAGAAGUAGACAACGAGACAAAAUUUUGUCCCGACCAUUAUUCAAAAAGAAUGAAACAGAAGGAAGGAGGGAAACCAAUUCUUGACAUUGGACGUCAUAUUAAUCCCUAGUUAUGAGGGAAUUAAGUCACAUAUAUCCCUAAGGACUGAAAGAAGAGGGGCUAUACCGAGUUGGAGAGUCGAGCGAGGUUCUGGUCCGCAGCUCUGUUAUUACAUCAAAAAUAAAAAUUAUAAGUUAAAACAAAAUUAAAAUUAUAAAAAUCCUAUCUAUGCAGCUUCUUUUGGACUCUUGACUUGAGUUUCAUUACCCUAUUCUUCAGGCGGGCUCCUGACUUGCAAUUUCUUCAACUUGUUGUUUGGCUUUCAAUUUCUUCAACUUGUUGUUUGACUUUCAACUUCUUCGCCUUGUUGUUUGACUUUCAACUUCUUGACCUUGUUGCUUGACUUUUAAUCUCUUAACCUUGUUACUUGACUUUCAAUUUCAUUACCCUAUUCUUCAGGCGGGCUCCUGACUUUCAAUUUUAUCACCCUAUACUUCAGAUGGGAUCCUGAUACCAAAAUCAAAGCUAAAAUGAAAAUUAUCCCAAACAAAUAUUAUGAUAAAAAAAGGUUUCAUUUUUUGAAAGUAUGGUCCUAUUUUCCAGGAGGCUCCUGAACAGAAAGUAAAAUCUCAUUUUCUAGGAGGGUCCUGAACAUAAAGUGAAUCCCAUUUUUCAGGAGGGUCCUGAACAGAAAGUAAAAUCCUAUUUUUCAGGAGGGUCCUGAACAGAAAGUAAAAUCCCAUUUUGCAGGAGGGUCUUGAAUAGAAAGUAAAAUCUCAUUUUGCUGGAGGGUCCUGAACAGAAAGUAAAAUCCCAUUUUGCAAGAUGGUCCUGAACAGAAAGUAAAGUCCCAUUUUUCAGGUGGGUCCUGAACAGAAAGUAAAGUCCCAUUUUCCAGGUGGGUCCUGAACAGAAAGUAAGAUCCCAUUUUCUAGGAGUGUCCUGAAAAAAAAAUCCCAUUUUCCAAGAGAGUCCUAAGCAGAAAGUAAAUUCCUAUUUUCCAGAAAGGUCCUGAACAGAAAGUAAAAUCCUAUUUUCUAGGAGGGUCCUGAACAGAAAGUAAAAUUCCAUUUUUCAGGAGGGUCCUGAACAUAAAGUAAAUCCCAUUUCCAGGAGGGUCCUGAAUAUAAAUUAAAAUCUCAUUUCGCAGGAGGGUCCUGAACAUAAAGUAAAUCCCAUUUCCAGGAGGGUCCUGAACAUAAAGUAAAAUCCCACUAUCUAGGAGGGUCCUGAACAGAAAGUAAAAUCCCAUUUUUCAGGAUUGUCCUGAACAGAAAGUAAAAUCCUAUUGUCCAGGAGGGUUCUGAACAGAAAGUAAAAUCCCAUUUUCCAGGAGGGUCCUGAACAGAAAGUAAAAUCCCAUUUUUCAGGAGGAUUCUGAACAUAAAGUAAAAUCCCAUUUUCCACGAGGGUCCUGAAUAGAAAGUAAAGUUCCAUUUUUCAGGAGGGUCCUGAACAAUAAGUAAAAGCCCACGAAAGUGCUUUUCCAAUGGUCGCUAAAUUAAGUGAAUCGAAUUUGUCCCCAUUUCAACAAAGAAAAUUUAUCAGUUAAAAACUUAGUGAUGGUUUGCAACACUUGGAUUUCCUGACACCUGCUCCAAUGUCCAUUCCCUUCAUUUUGUUUCAUAUUGCUGGCACUUUCCCCUACUUUAUCGUGUCAUUCACCCAAACACAGAUUAAGGGAAAUGACUCUAAAAUAAACAUAGUAUCUUUGCUUUGCCAUGCUCCUCAGAUAAACCCUUUGAACCUCGGUAUUUUCAUGAGUUCCCAGACUUGUCUAUUGACAAAACUUUCUGCAUGCCUUGUUUUGACUUGCAAUCUUAUUUCUUUUUUGUGCUGGCCCUUGGUUUUGCUUUGUGUAAUUGAAGAAGCUGGUAGACAGUUUUAAAAUCUUUUCUCACUUGUUUUGACAUGGACUUGACUCAAAGACAAGAGAAAAAUGACAACAAAUUUUAUUUUAUUUGGAUAACUGAUUCAAGAAAGAUAAAACAAAAAUAAAGAGAAGAAAGAAAAGAUAAUGAAUGACCCUUUUUGAAACAAAAAAACAAAGAUUUAUCUAAAAAUGACAAUCAACUCUAAUGAUCAUUCCAUGCAUUUUGGAUCAAACUGCCUAAUCAUUCUAUCCAAACUUUCUGCCGAAUGUUGUUAAGUUAACGACCUCGAAAUUGAGUUGCCUCCUUAGGUCAAUUGUAUUUAAGACCUCAUUCGAUUAAUGACGCCUUAAAGGGUUUUUGCCAACAAGCCUCUCUCAUUUUUUUUUCCUAGCUCACCAUUUUCUUAUGGUGUCCGUGGGGUUUUCACCAAUAAGACUCUCUUAUUUUUAUCUCUCUCAGCUUACCAUGAGGGUUUUCACUGGUAAGACUCUCUCAUUUUAUUUCUCUCUUGAUUCCUUAUGUUGGGGAAGACAAGUAGUUCCCUAAAUGCAUCCUCAUAUCUAUUGCAUGCUUAGCCUUAAUAUCCUCAAAGAUUGAUCUGAAGGUCUUUCUUUGGUUGUAACUCGACUUUUGGAUAGGGUUAGAAAGAAAGGAUGGCAUGGGGCCCAAACGACACUUGAUGUGGGAUAGAACUUACAACUUUUGGAAUCGACUCAAACAAUGAGGAUUAACUCAUUCCCCAGUUUUUUUUGACUGGGCAAUUCUAAAUUGUUUAUUUGGUUGGACCGAGCCUAAGAUAGGGCAGCCUACGUAUCUCACCUUCGAGAGAGGAGAAUCAGGCCAUGGUAGUUCUGGCAACUUGUUUUGCUUGAUUCUAAUUUAUUUUUCUUCUAUGUUUCUUUUAUUGACUCUUUCUCUUUUGGAAUUUUCUGACUCUAUUUAUCUUGACACUCUUUUUUUUUCUUUUUGGACACAUUUUUUUUUCUCUUCUUCUUUUUGAAGACUUUUCUGACUCUAGUCUUUUACUCGACACUUUUCUUUUGAGCUUUGUUGAAUCUAUCUUGAUUCCAAAAGAGGGGUAUGAAAGAAAAUAAUACUAAAGCUCAAGUGGGGUAAACAAAGGAUGACAUAAUAUUUAGAUAGCAGAAUGAAAUGCCUUCAUCAUAUCAAUCCCUGAAAAUGCAAGUACAUAUCAUGCAAUAUGAAAUAAAAAAUGAAGAUCAUUUGUGAUACUUUAACAACACUAACUUUAACUGAGUAUGUGUGCCACUUCUUUUUCUAAACUUGUCAAACUUACAAACUCCACCUUUGUUGUAUAUCCAUCACCUUGAAUGAUUCAUGCCUUCGUGGAGUUGAUUUUCUUUCUGUUCCUUUUGAUAGGAUCACGCAGACACUGUUUGACCUAAUUAAGACAUGUCUUUCAAUUGAUGACCAAGUUAUCCUUGUGAUUCUCAAAAUAAAAGUCUAAAUUUUCAAAGAAGGCUUCAACUUGAUCACCAAAUUCCCUAACACUCUAUCUAUUUUCUCAGAUGCUCUAUUUUCCUAACUUUAACUCUCUGAUUCAAUGCUUCAUAAUUAAGCUGGAUUUUAAGAUCUGACUGAAAAUUCUACAAAUAUGUCAUAUCACUAGAAUCAACAUAAAAUGUACUAUAUAGAGAAAACAAACAAACAACACAUAUUUGAAACAUAAAAGGAAAGGGACACUUCAGUUAGUCGAAAUGAAAGAUAAAAAGGUUUGAACAUAAAUGAAAAAGGGACAAAAUAAGAUAGAUCCCGCACUACAACCCUGAAAUACUUCAGAAAAUAGAAAAGAAAAUAAAACAAACUACCAGAUCUUUUCCUAGUAGGGAGAGAGGUGACUUCUCAAUUGCUCAGCCUGACAAUUUAGCCACUGGUUUGCAUAUAAACAUGACUAGAGCUUCCCUCACUGUCAAUGUUCUGUACCAUAAUUGAUCCAUCUUGAAUCAUUUUUUCAAUUUCCCUUUUCAAAUCUUGACAAUCUUUAAUACUAUGACCCUGAGCACCAGAAUGAUACGCACAUCGUACAUUAGGGUCAAAAUUUCUUGAAUGUCGAUUAAGAGUGCACCCAAGGAGAGGAGUGAUCAUGUCCCAUUAUACCAAUCUCUAAAAUAAAUUGGCAUACGGCUCUCCAAUUAGUGUAAAGCUAUCUCUCAACUUCUGCCUCAUUUCAUCGUUUGGCUUGGAUCGAAAAUCAGGCUUAGAAGGGUUUUGGUAUAUUUGUGGAGUUAGAGGAUGACUCUGAGGAGUUGAUGUGUUCCACUAUGGGUAAGAUGGGGGUCGAACAUGUGGUUGUGCAUUAUACACUGGAUAUGGAUGUGGAGGAACAGAGUAUAAUGACUUUUGGGAGUGAUUAUGUAAAGCUUGGGAAUGAACUUGGGUUUGAGCCUGAGAGUGACGAUGACGAGGUCUUCUUGACCUUUUUUGCUGUCCAACUACAGUAGCAGAUGCAUCUUCCCCAUUCUUUUUCUCCCCAACACUUUUUGAACCCUUUUGAAUUGCUUGAGUAGUCGCUUUCAAUAUUGCAAAACUCACAAUACGACCAGUCUUAAUUCCCUCUUCUAUCAUCUUCCCCAUUUUAAGGACCUCAAUGAACGGCUUGCCUAAUGCAGGUAGCAAGUGUUGAUAAUAUGUUUUGUCCUGUGCCUGAAUAAAUACUUCCACUAUUUUGCUUUCUUUCAUUGGUGGUUUUACUCUAGCAGCUUGUUCGCACCAUCUGAUCGCAUACUCCCUGAAACUCUUAGUAUUCUUCUUUUUUAUACUAGUUAGGGAUUUUUCGUCAAGGAUCAGCUCCACAUUGUAUUGUAAUUUUUUCAUAAAUUCAUUAGCUAGGCCAUCCCAAAUAAUCCACUUGUCAAUGUCUUGGUCAACAAACCAUUCUGAAGCUAGGCCUAAAAGACUCUCAUCGAAAUAUGCCAUGAGUAAUUCUUCCUUCCCUCCAGCGCCCCUUAGCUGGUUGCAAUAGCAUCUCAAAUAUGCUACAGGAUCGCCAUGUCUAUCAUACGUCUCAAGCUUCAGUAUUUUAAAACCAAGAGGAAGAUAUACACCUGGAAACAUGCACAGAUCUUUAUAUGAGACACUUUUGUACCCCCCAAGUCCUUGCAAGUUAUUCAUAGUCAGUUCUAAACUUCUUAAUUUCUUGGCCAUUUCCUUUUGUUCUUCUGCAUAACAGGCUUCUUAGUGUAAGAAGAAAAUUCAUAAGGUUAAGUGCAGUCGUAAGGACCAGUCGACUUAAAUGUGGACUUGGGAGCAUAAUGCUGAUCACUAAAAUAUUCAAUACAGGGUCGCUUGUAGAGUGAGGAAUCACAACCUUUGGAUUGACAUUAAAAGUAGGAGCUUCAGACGAGAGUGGGACUGCAAAAGCAUGAAUAGCAGGCGGAGCCGAGCAUGUGGUAAUUUUGUAUUGAAGAGCGAGCAAAUGAAUAUUAGAAGUGUUUGGAUACUGUUUCCCCGGAGUAGGUCCUGAUGUAUGUUGUGGCGUGUCGACCAAAAUAGGGAAUUGUGCAUGUGACACUGGAGGCAAACUAGAAAGAUAUUCCAGAUUAUCAGUGGGAAAUGGAGAAGCCGGCUACCCAUUAGCCCAAGCUUGAUGCAUUUCUAUCAUUUGCUGCCUUAAUUUCCGAAUCUCUUCAUUAGCUCCUACAACCUUAAUUUCCGAAUCUCAUCAUUAGCUCCUACAUUCUCAUUCCACGAACUCCCUAUCUGAUUAGUGACAACUAACUCAGUAUCCUUGUUGGCCAUAACUUUCUCUGUGAGUUGGAGCAAUAUGGAGGACCAGCUAAAAUGCGACAAACCAACCACCUUAAACUAACUGGACAAGAGAUAGAAAAUGCGUUAGAGUUCAACAAUUUUUCAAAACCUCUUUUUUUUUUCUUGAAAAGAUCACCGAACCCUAAAAGGGCGCCUACGUAUCUCGCCCCAAAAAGGGGAGAAUCGGGUGUGCGUAGUUCGUGAAGUCUUGCUAAAAUGACUAAUUAAACUCUUUUUCUUUUUAUUUUUCUUGAAAUUUUAAGAAGAAAAGAAAAAUAACAAAUUGUCAAAAGAAUAGACGAAAAUCUUUUUGAAUUUUUUAGCUUCCUAUACCAAAUGAAACUUAUGAUUACCAAAGAAAAAUCUUUUUGGAUUUUCGACUUUGAAUUUCAUAUGAAAAUGAAACUUGAACCUAUUAAAGAAAAAUUUGUUUAGUGUUUUUCUUUUAAAGGUGUAUAUGAAACACCUACUCUAAGUGAAGAGUGAAGAAAAUCUUUUUGGAUUUUUAUGAAAUAAGAUCCCCAAACCAACAAUAGGUUGCCUACGUAUCUCACUCCCGAGAGAGGAGAAUCAGGGGUACGUAGUUCGUCCUGAUUGGAUAAUUAAGGAUUAAAUAACAAACUAAGACUUGACCUGAGAGACAGACAAUGAAAGACGUCAAUAAAAUCUUUUUGAGUUUUUUUAAUUUGACACUUCACAUAAAACUGACACCAACAAUUAUGAAAGAAAUUUUUUUUUGGGUAUUUUAGUUAGAUGAAAUGUACAAAACAUCUACCAUCUUUUUGCAUUUUUUCCUUUAUAAAAAGCUCCAAUUAAAAAAGCAUUUUCGAAUUUUUUGAAUUAUGAAUGCAUGGUAAAGGAACAAAAGGAAAAUCUUUUUGAUGUUUUUGAGAAAAUGAGUGAGAAAGGUAAAAAAAUCUUUUCGAAUUUUUGGAUUGUGAAAAACAAAAGCCAUAAAAAACUCUAAAAACUACAAAACUCUUUUUUCCUUUUUGACUUAAUUUUUCAAUUUUUCCUCUUUUUUUUCAAUUUUUUCUUGCCUACACACUUUACUUCUAACACAUGCUUUCCCCAAAUCAGUCCGUCAAAUGACCACGUUAUCCUCAGAGAUGCAACAUUUAGCACGUAGGGAUGCUUUAAAGGUGAGUCUCCUACAAAGGACCGUGUGAGUCCUGCUAGGUCUCAAUAUGAUGCACAUAAGAAUGACCUAAAGGCUGACUUACGUUGUGGUUUACUAACAAGGCCGUUCGGGGGAGCAUAUGGUCAAUAGUGGCUGCUUUGCUUUUCACCUACUCCAUAUAUCCAACAGCUCCCCCCCCCCUAAAAUAAGGGUGACUCAACUAGAGUUCGUGCAUACGACGUGCACUCCAAGACGUUGCAGAAAGAAUUGACUCGGGUUAUGCAAAUGAUGUCAGAUAUAUAAUGGUAACACAUAAAGAAAAAUUGUAAAUAAAGAGUACAGAAAUGCACAACAGUGAUAACAAUAACACAAACAAUAAUCACAAACAAUGUUUAUACACCCAUAAUGCCAAACAAAGCCGAUACGACUCCCCAAAAAAAAAAGCUCGAAUUCUUAAAGAUUCUCCAGCAGAGUCGCCAGAGCUGUCACACCCAUUUUUUAGCUCCCAAAAGAUUCUAUUUUUAAGGUUCGAAAGGAUUUUUAUUAUCAAAGUGACAAAAGAUGAAAAUUUAUUUCGAAAAGGACCUUUUAUAUUCAAAACUCAAAGUCGCCACUUGGCAUAAUUCAGUGUGCCAAGGUACCUUUGAAAAAUCCUUUCCAAAAUGCUUUGACUCUUUAAAACUGGUUUGCGAACAGAGAUUUUGGUUAAGAAAUUCUAUUGAUCGAGGGGAAGGGGUUAGGCACCCCUCGAUCCCGUGGUUUGACCACGGUCUCUUGGUGGAGAGUAUCGGCUAAUUUGACAUUACAAAUGUAUAAACCACACAAAACACAUAAAACAAUCAACUAAACACACGAAACAAAACAAAACAAAUCCAAAAUAUAGUGUUUAGUCCAAUUAUACAGUCCAAAAAUAAGAAAAAUGCAAAAAAUAAAUCAUAUUCUAACCUACAAUAGUACUAAACUAUGCUCCGAUGAUUUACUCCAUCCGAUGUUUUGGGCCUUGGCCAUGCGCCGCCUUCAAGUACAAAUUUCUAGGGGCAUUCCCCGGAUAAAGCAAUACAGAUACCUCAGGGUAUUCCCCGAUCAAAUGAGUAUAUUUUUCAAUUGCGAUAAAACAAAUUCAUUCAACACAUAUUUCAAAAAUUUUACCAAUUUUGCAAUCCCUAAGUGUGCCUACCCCUAUCGUUUGCCUAACAAUUCAUGGCCUAAAGCAUGAUACUAUCGAACUUAACAAAGUCGACGUUUAUUUCAAAUCAAGCAAUCGUUACUAAACUAAUAUAAAUCAAUAUUCACUUUUAACAAUUUUUUAUCUUUUCCCCCAAAAUCCAACUUAACCUCAAAUCAACUACGUGAUAAACAUACUUCACACCAGGAUUAACAAUCAAAUAACGACGAGUAAAAUCACCUCAACCAAAUUCAAUCAAAAAUUACGCCAUUCAAAAAUAUUCACAAAAAGAGAGAUAAAAGAUAUAGAAUUGGACCUCAAUCGCUCAUUUUAUUCCAAAAUUAGUGAUGGAUUGGAAUUCACGAGCAACAAAACCUCGACCCAACUGGAACCUCAAUGUCGAACCCGCAACUUAAAAAAAUACCAAAGAGCACAACCCAACUCGAGUUUUAUGAAUAAAAAUCUAUGAAAAUCAUCAAUCCAAAACGAACUACUAGGAACCAAACGAGACAAUAGUAUCCAAAACCCGAACCCAUUCCAACGCUAAACCUUUUUUUGAACCAAUUUUGGAAGAAGAAUCUGGAGUCGUUACUGUUCACCUAUUUUCGGUGGGUAACGUUAGUGAUCCUCAGUUUUUGGUCGAAAAAAGGGGAACGAUAGAGAGCUGGUGGAUUUUUUGAUAGGAGAAAAUGAAUUUUGGCGAUAAUCUCGCCAGAAAAUUCAGAAUAUUAGUUGUUUCCGGUGACUUCCCCACUCCAUUUUCCGUUUCUCGUCUUUCUGUCUCCGAUCUACCUCUCAAUCUCCCAAUCUCUACUCUAAUUCCUCAACCCUCGAUCUCUCUCUGCUUGUGAUCCUCACUCUCUCGAUCUCACUAUUCCCCCUUCGAUUCACCUCGCAUCUCACUAUUUUUUCACCAUUUAUAUGUAAUUUGGGUAUAGGUGUGCGUGUAUAUGGUUGUGCUUAAGAGUGGAAUUAUGAGUUGGUGCGUGGUUUUUGUGUAUUGUCGAUCCAAGAAGAGAAAAAGAAAAAUGGAUCCCCCCUGGUGUGCCUGAUCUUUGAGGUAUAUGGUGUAUGGAGUAUAUGUGAGAUGGUGUUCUGUGGGUUGGAAGAAGAAGAACUUUUGUGUAUAUAUCUCUUGUGAAAAAAAAUCCCCAAAAUUCGUGGGGCCCUCUCCUUUUUGUUGUUAGUGUAUUUAACAAUAUUAGGAAUAUUCUCCCAUGGGGCCCACUUCUUUUUUUGUUUUCUUUUCGAAAUAGUUUCAACUUGGAUAAAAAAAAGUGAGGGGUAGGAAAAUUGGGGUGUGACGUGUCCUAAUUUCAUAGGAUAUGGUUGUUAGGAUAAGGUGUAAAGUUGGUUAAGAUAAGGUUGUUAAUUUGUUAGGGAGUUUGUUAUUUUUGUAUUUUUGUGGGGUAUGAUCACAUGGAUGAGGACACGUGGUAAGGUGAGCUAAAAAUGGAUAAAAUCAAUGUUGGGACGAAUAAAAUUAGGUGUCUAUAGUCCGUAAAGCCAACAAUUCAAUUUAGCAGUCAGGCGGACAGGUUCAUAUGGUUUCCUAUCUUUUCAUCUAAUCGCACUACCUGAAGUCUCAUGAAUAUAACCAUUCCAAGCUGGGGCAACCAGGUAGUUGCGAGUUUAGCUCAGUUCAUGUAUUAUGCCUCAGUUUCAGAUCCUCGAUAUGCAGUCAAGAUUCAGUUAAUAGGUGCCCUGUGCAUCGUCUCAGUUUUUCCUCAGUAUCUCAGCCAAGUCAGCAUUCUUCAGGGGAUAUAAUGUCCCAAGGGGGAGAUGCGCUAUAAUCCCUCGAGCUUUUAUGACCUAAACCUUCCAUCUUCUCUUUAUGUAAUGAAUCCAAUUUGGAGUAGUGGGUGCUCAUAGGUGGACCCUCAAGUACCAAUAUCAGUCGUAAGCCAUGCAUCCAGGGGCUCAGUUUAGUUUAUGAUAUUCAGUUCACGUAUCACAUUUCAGGCUUAGUCAUGUUCUCAUGUUCCCGUUCAUGCAUGUUUAGUAAAUGAUCUCAGGUUCAUUAGUAUUCUCAGUUUAAGGCAACAGGUUUCCUUAGAUUGGCUUAGUUCCAUGUUCAGGUUCAGCUACCGUUGCACAUUCAGUCAUACAUUUAUGAAUCAGUUCAGUCAUGUACUCAUUCAUCAGAUAUGCAUGUACAGAUUGAAAACUCAACUUAUUAGUAGUUUCAGUCAGGUGUUUGUCACGACCCGAACAAGGCCCUGGCCGUGACGAGCAUCCUGAGCUGUAAAGGCCCGAGCUCCCCUUUAUUAAUAGGCAAUCAUACACACGUUCAUACAAUCAUAAAGAGAAUGCGGAAUGGAUUCAUACGGAAACAUGGUCAAUAACAUCAUACGACUGAAAAGUCAAAGAUUUCAAUAAGACCUUCAACAUCAUCUAACAUCUAUCUGCAAAAUCUCUAGUAUAUCAAAACCAGUCAUCACAACUAAAACUGGGAUAAGGUCCCCAGUGGACCUAAACCAAAAUAAAUAAUAUAUGACAGAAAGAAAUAGACCUUUCGGAAUAAAGAAGGCUCACCAAUUGCAACACACUUCACUUCUGCCCGAAAACUCUACGGCUUUUCAGGAUCUCUAGACUGAGCCUCAGAUACUGGAAUAUAGGGGGUCAAAUCAAUUGUAAUGUAGCAGAGUAAUCCAAAAAUAAAAUACAACUUUUAUAUAACAUAGGUGAGAGCUAUUAUAAAACACUUUAACGUAAAAUCGUUUGAAAACACAUUGGCAUAGUAUAAUGAUUUUUCAACAAAAAUGCAGCACUAUUUAGCUAGAUGGUACACCCUACAAUUUCACAUUUUCACCAACUUCCAAGUCUCGAUUGCCACCAAGAUUGGAGUAUUAGUGAGGAAAGGACACACAAGAUCAUACAGCAGGGUGCCACAAUCCCAAUCAAUUCAAUAUGUCGUGGUUGGGCUCAAGAUCAUAAAGCAGGGCUCCUAACCAUUGGUCCCAAUUUGGGAUGAUAUAGUACUAGGUACACAAGAUCACAUAGUAGGGUACCAAGUUCCCGUGUUGGCAAUUCACGGUUCCCAGCAUAGAGUCAUCUGACUCAUGCUUUCUUCAGGUAACCAUCUAACUCAUAUCAAUUUAAUAUUUAAGUUUGAUAUAAGACAAAACAUGCAUCAUACUCACAACAUUCUCUUCCUCUUUUUAUUCGAGGAAAUUCCUUCACACGUUUUAUGCAAGUCAUUAUAUGAACACCAACAAGACUCCCAUACACCAACAUAAGCAUAUCGAUUCCCCAACACGAAAUAGUCAAGAAACUUCAACAUUUACCAAGAAACCAUCAGGAUAGCCUAGUUGCUUUGGAGGGCGGUUACCCACCCGGGUGACCAGGGAUCGAUUCCCCCCUCAAUGCCUUCUGGGUUUGAGCCUGUCGCACAGGGCUUGCCUAGUGCGGUUUAUAUCCCCAUGUGGUUUGUAGGCUAUUGCAUCGGGGGGUUUACCCAGUGCGCAUACAGUGCUCACCCGAAGGGAAGAGGCUGUGGCAGAGGGUGUAGCGGCUGCGGGUUUUUCUGGAAAGUUUCCAAAAAAAAUACAUUAUCCAAACACACUUUUCCAUGAUAAAAAAGGGGUUUUAAAAACACAUGCUCUCAAUACUUUAACAAUAGCAUUAUGUGGGGUUCAUAAACAUCAUCAUGAGAAAUAAAGAAUUCACAACUCAUGUUCAUAACACUUUUUAAAAUUCAAAUCACAUGUCCACAAAUCCAAAAAUUGAGAUACAUAAGCAAACAACCCCAUAUUCUUUCAAUAUUCUUCUCAAAACCAUAUCACAAUGCAUGCUUUUUGUGUUAAAACGAAACCCCACUUAUAAUGGCAUACAUACAUACAUACAUAAUUAUUAAAAAAUCUUAUUUAAAUUCAUAUCAAAAUCAUGUCCAUGAGAUUUAGGAUAACCCCACAUACUUUAGAUUAAUUAGUUUAGAGAGAAGAACCUGAAUCUCCAUUCAUUCUUUGGAAAUCUUGAACUUAGAGGUUGGUUCUUGAUUCCUUGUUCUUGGGAGAAACCCUAAUUUUGAUGUUAUGAAUGAAUAAGGAGUUAUGUCCUUUGAUUUGAUGUAAUAAGGUGUUAAAAAAGUGAAAAAGACCCAAAAAUUUCUUUAAAAACGGCUUUAGAUCACUAAACGGAGGUUCGAGACGGUUUGGGCGACGAACCGUCACCCCAGGGAUGGACCGUCCCUCAAACCAUCACUUUUUGGCCAGAAAAUGGACUUACUACCUCAGUUGCGAUGGUUUGGCUGGCGGUCCAUCGCUGGCGCGAUGGUCCGUUGGCCUUCUCGUCGCACUUUGGCAGUUCGUAUAGCUCCAAAUAAGUUUUUCUAAUAGUAAAAAGCACCUUAAAACCACUCAUAAGUUGGAGAUGAGGAUGAUGAGUUGGGAUCCGGCCAUAACUUUUUACCCCGAUAUCGGAUUUAGGAAAAAUUGGUGGUGUUGGAAAGAGGACUCAAAGAACUUUCAUUUUAUAUAGAGUAGGCCCUCUAAUUCUAUAUAUACAAAAAGUUAUGGUCAAUUGAAAUUAACCUGAGUUUAAAUGCUCACCAAAACUAAAUCGAUAGGAAGGCUUUCAACUCAUCCUUGAGUUAAGGGAUCUCUAUGAUCUUAAUUCAUGCUCAACUAGAUUUCCACACUAUUAGUUGAUUAACACACUACAUUUACAUUAGAUUUAUGAUUUUUGGAUUAUUUACGCGUGGAAAUAACGGUUUAUAUUGUUUAAUUAUAUUGUUUUUAUAUCUCUAUUUUGAGAUUUUUUAUUGUGUUAAUGUUAAGUUUAAUUGUAUUUUUUGAUAUCUCUAUUAUAUAGUAUUAUUUUGUUGUAGUUUACAAGUGGUAGAUGGGUGUCAGAUGGCUUUGACAAAUUUUUUGUGUAAAGGUUAGAUUUAAUUAUACUGUUUUGACUAAAAAAAAUAACUACUCCCUCCGUUUAAAAAAGAAUGACCUACUUUCCUUUUUUGUUGGUUUCAAAAGAAUGACCCCUUUUCUUUUUUAGCAAUACUUUAAUUUCAACUUUCCAUAUGACAUGUUUAGAACCAUGAGAUUAAAGGACAUUUUGGUACAUUUAACCUAAUUUUAAUUUAAGGCCACAAGAUUCAAAAAUCUUCUUUAUUUUCUUAAACUUUGUGCCAAUUCAAAGUAGGUCAUUCUUUUUUAAUGGAGGGAGUAUCAUUCUUUUUUGAACUUGAAAUAUCAAGGUGAAUUUUUUAUGGAGAGGAUUCGGAUGAACACCUUCGCCCCUAAAUCCAACCUUGUACAUAAUGACCAAGUUUUUUUUUCCUUCUAGCAUGCAUCAUGUGUGUCAUCACUUCACCUGAUACUUCUAAAUCUAGCUUGGUACUCUUCUUUUAAUCAUCUACUUGCUUUCUUACAACAAUUGGAAUUCUAACAAAAUAUUUGCCAUCACUCCAUGACAAACUUCUGAAGGUAAAUUUACCACUUUUUGGGCAAGUGGAUGUGAUCUUUACCUCAAAGGAAAUCUUGGUUAUCUUGGAAGUAAACUUCAACACAUCUGGAGUUACUUUAAUAGCAGUAUUUCUCGGAGGUUUAACCACUAAUCUAUAUAUAGAGUUAGCAUUUCCAACAUUGAAAAUUUAUUCGGGUUGUGGAUCGAAGAUAAUAUUUAAGCUCUUCCCAAUAAUUUGAUGUGUAAGCUCUCUCAUCAACACUGUUCCAACAAGGUAAAUCAUAAAAGGAAUCAGGAAAACUAUUAUGUGUCGGCCUUUUAGAAGAUGAUAGCUCCUCGGGAGGAUGAGGAGCGAUAGUUGGAGUGAUAUUUGUAGGUACUACUAAAUCAACUAAAUCAGCAUAGUGAUUAUAUAAUUUUUCUAUAUAUUCAUUAGCAUCACCCAUAGUCGUCCACAAAUCAGAUUGUACUUGUUCAGAAUCGUUGUUAGUAUUUAUUUCUAAGUUAGCAUAAAUAAGAGUACUAAGUGGCACAUAGUAUUAUAUUUCAUGCACGAAUUUAGCAUAGCACCAACCAAGUAAAUAAGGGGAAUCAGAAAAAAAUAUUUUUUAAAUUUAGUAAACAUGGUACCAACAACUUCUUUAUAACCUUCUUUAUUUUUAUAUUCUUUGAGCAAACCAAAAAUAUUGACUAUAUAUACCAAAAUAUUACAAACAGUAGGAUAAUAAGCACCGAAAAAUUCAACCGUAGUUAUAUAAUUUUUUUCUAAAAACUUAACAAGAUCAUUAAUUACAACCUAAUCAGAAUCAUGUAGCAUGCAAUCAACAGAAUCAGCAAAUGAACCACAAUGUUGGUUAAAAGUUAGUGUAAUAGGAACUCUAUAUUUAUAACAAGUUUUAAAAAAUCAUACGUACAAUUCCAUCUAAUAUCCUCAGGCAUCAAUAUCGGUGCAAGUCCAUUUUCUUGACAUUUAACUUUAAAUUAUCUAAUUCUUUUUCUUCGAUUAUUGCCUUGAAUAAAACAAACAGCAAAACGAAUUUUUUCAAUAUAAAGCUCAAAAAACUCGAGAUCAUCUUUUAAUUUAAAUUAUAUAUAUGACAAGCACACUUAAUAUGAAAAAUUUCAGGUAACAGCGUAGAUAGGUCAGAUUUUAACUUUGUUAUAACAGUCUUGUUGUUAGAAGCAUUAUCAAAAGCAAUACAUAAGAUUUUAUUUUCGAUACCAUAAAAUUCUGCAACUUUAGCAAUCGAAUCAGUAAUAAAAUCUCCAGUAUGUUUACGAUCUUCAUCAUAUAAAAAAGCAAGAAUACGUUUUUGCAUCACAAAAUUACUAUCCAUCCAGUGACAAGUAACGGUUAAAUAAUCAUUUUUAUUUACAGUACGACCAAGAUCAGAAGUUAGGGACAAUCUACAUUGAAUAGUUUUUGACAAUGUUGAUAAAUAAAAAUAAUAUUGUGAAUGAAGUCUAAAAAUAUCAGACCGACAAGUACUUCUACGAAUACCAUUAAACAUAGGAUUAUAAAUUACUCGUAUAUAAUGAAUAAAGGCAUCAGAAGAAGGAAAACUAAAAGACAAACAAUCCAUAACUACCAUUUUAGUUAUUUUUUACCGGUCCCUCAAUUUAUUAUACUUCUUCAUUACCUGACCAGUUGCUGGGUUCAUUCUAGUUUGCGUUGGCCCACCAACAUCCCCACCACCUCGUGCAAUAUUUAACUCUCUUUCAUGAGCAUUACCUAUAUGUCUCAAUAAUGUACCCGUACCCCCUUGCUUGCCUCCGUUUUUAUACUUAUAUAUUUAUUGACAAAUAUUGCAUUGCACCUCAGUAUUUGAUAUACGUUCAAAAAAUUGUCAUGCAAUGCUAGUUGUUUUACGAGCUCUUGGGGCACGAGGAGGACGGGGAGGGAGAUUAAUUGAUUCAGAUCUAACUUUAGCAUUUCCUAUUGUGGGUGUCUCACCAAUAUUUUCAUCAUCUUCGUCCAAAUUAACCGUUUCUACUUUAUUUUCUUCUUCUAUACCGUAAAUUUUCUGAGCUUCUACAUAAUCCAUAUCGUGAGCACCUACACCUAUUUCUUCCUCAAAAGAUGUACCAAGCGGUACCGGAGGUGAAGGCACACGGGUAUAUCUACUACUUGAAGUACCUCUACCGCUAGUAAUUCACUUUUUACUACCACUACCGCUUCAGGGAUAAAAUUUUUUAACACUUUUAGUAGCGAGGUUUCUUAAUUUAUAUAUAAUAUAAAUUAAACAAAAAAAUUCAAAAUACACAAAUAUAAUAAAAUUAAAUAUUCAACAAUUAAUACACUAAAUAAAAAUUAAACGUAAGAGAUGGAACGACAAUACCAAAUUUUGAAAGUAUCCGAAGAUUGUGACUUUAGAAACUUUCACUCGUACUUUGUAAUCACAAAAUUAAAAAAUUAAAGUGAGCACUUUAGAAAAUUAAAUAUAUAGAAUAUUUGAGAAUUGAGAAUUGAGAUUUGAGAGAAUAAAAAAUUGUGUGAAAAAUGAUUUGAAGGUGUAGGGUAGUUAUAGAAUUUUUUUUGGAUUAAAAAAAUAAUUAAAAUGAAAAAAAAAUUAAUAAAAGGUCCCAAACUAGUUGUUUGGACCCAAAAACGGUUAUAUAGCCGUUGGGCCAACGGCUAAUUUGGCCCAAAUCUCCAAUUUUUUUUUUUUAAAAAAAGUUAACCGGGUCGGGCCGGUUAACCGGCGGACCUGAACCAGUUUUGGUCUGGGUUGGGUUAACCGGACCCAAUUUCAAAAUUAAACCGGUCCGGGACCUGGUACGCUACAGCUUGUGGGUUGAUCGGGCCGAUUUUUUUAAGUGGGCCGGGUUGACAGCCUUAACUUAUUGACAAAAUGGACCAGAAGCAAUUGCUAACCUCUUGAAUACAGGUUCGAUUCUCCUUGGGAAUUAAUAAACGUUCUUAAAGUAAUGUGAGAUUUUUGAGGUUUCAUAAAACUCAAAUCUUAAAUUUGUUUAUGAUGAGUAUAUGCUUUUAUACUCAAUUGCGGAGCUGGACACAUUGGGCGGACAGCACUCUGAUCAUGCAGCUUCUUCGUGCUAACCUCACUUUAUGGACCUCCGAUAUGCGGAAUGAUGGAACCGACGAGAUCAAAGAAGCAGCACCGAAACCAGAUAAUGAAUGAGAAGGCAGUAAAAACUGGUGAAAUUUCUUUUAAGAUUCAAACAUGCCAUGUUGUAACUUCGUUAUUUGUCUGGGCUCAGCUCUUUGUUAGUUCUAGAUCUUGUGAUUUGUAAUACCUAAAAAUCAACCCGUUGUUAUUUCUUGUUUUUCGUUUGUUUCUCUGUGGAUUUCUCUUGUAUUUGGAUUAUUUCCUUUUUCUCAAAGGAAUGACUUAUGGGAAGUUGGAUCUAUCUUUUAAUCCAAAAAUAAAAUAAAAUAUAUAUAUGUUGUAGUAUUGAGUGAUAUUAUAUCCCCUUUCUCAAACAUCGAUAUCCAUAGCUCUUUCUUUAUUUUUUUUAUUUUUGAAAACCAAGACUUCCUAGGACUCUAUUGAAUCUUAGACUAUGAUACUAAUUUUGUAAUAACCCAAUUUGCUAAACUAGAAUGCUACACAGUGCUUAUGACCCCGAAAUAUCACAAGCUAACCCAUGACUGAUAUCUGUACCUGUACACUGCAUAAUAUACAUGUAAAAUGUGGAAAACAUGAACAAUAGGCCAUAAGGUUCAACUAAAUAGAAUAUCUGAUAAAUAAUAACAUCCAUAUGGGGUAACAAAUAACCAAAACAACUGAAGCCUGGAUCAAAAAUUAAAAGCCUCUAAAUACUGUCUGAAAUAAGGAGUUGAGGGAAUAUGUCUCCAACUAACUCCGUCUAGCAAAACUGAACUAAAAUAAUGAAUAAAAUAAAAUAAAGUCAUCCUCAGAUGGAUGAGGACUCACUGCCACUCUGCAUACUGGAAUGCUACUGGUACUGCUGAUCUGUAACUCGUGACUCUGAACCUAUGGUGUAACAUAAAAGAAAGCACCAUAGCGAAAAUGCGUCAGUACAACUGAAAGUACUGAGUAUAUGAGUGGGGUAGGCUAAAUUCAAAAAGGUUUACAUGCAUGGCCAAUGCUUAUUGACUGACUAAUAUGAAUGUGAGAGUGUAAACAUGCAUACAUAGUAACUGAGAUCGUUAAUAUGUGAUAUCUGAAUCUGUACGCUAAUACAUAGUUUACUGUUAUCUAACAUGACUGAUACUGGAAUUUUGAUAACAUGGAUGACUGUGUCUGACAGUCUUAAAUCUAAUGGUACUACCUGAGUUCUGUACUGUAACUGAAUUGACUGUAACUGAUAGUCCUGGUAUACUAAAAUUUGAAGGAAUAUCUGAGUUCUUUUACUGAGAUUGGAACUAAAACUAUGGGAGGUAGUUGCUUAACCAAAAUGCCCCAAUAAUGCAUAUAGCUAAGUUGGGGUCCAAUCUCUGCCCCGACUGAAAGGUGUCAAUACCGCGCCACUGGUAAGGACAGCUGUGAGUGACCCUUAGCUGGCAGGUACUCGAAUAAGAAUGGUGGGAACCCUAAACUAACAGAUUAAGCCACCUCAUCAACCCUAAUCUGGUAGGUUAAGAUGUCUCAACCUACGCUGGCUACGUAGUUCUAGAACACAAGGAUUACUACUAAGAAUCACACCCUAAACUGGCAGGUGAUUUUCCAUCCUUGGGUUCACUCGGUGAUAACUUAUACUCCCAUCUAAAGAGACUGAACAUUAUUUAACUGGCUGUACAUGGACUGAGUAACUGACUUCCGUUGACUGACGAAAUAGAACUACUAUCUGAGAAUUCAUUGAGAUCAUGAGAUUUCUGAGAUUUCCUGAGUCACAUGACUGACUGAGUUCUAUAGAUCAUGCCUUGAUUGAGAUUAUUGUGAUAACGUGACAUGGUUCUGGGCACACAGCUAUAUUUUUUGAGUACAAGUAUCCCGAGGAAUCGAUGGAAGGAAACUGACACACAUAAUUGACUUGAUCAUAAAAAUAGAGUCCACAAUUCACCAUAUCAUAAGUAGGGGAUUUCACACUAAGCAUAGUUCUCAACACCUUGCGUAUGGAAGGGACACUUGCAUACCUUCAAUAUCAUACUCAAUCCAUAUCACAACAACGACGCAUAUCCAUCACGUGGAAUUCAUGUGUAAUCAUAAAGCAUAAAGCAUGGACUUGUCAUUUAAGCACUAUUAAAUUAUGGGACAUGAAUCUUAUCACCUUAAGCAUUUUAUCAAACACUUUGCAUGCAUUCUUUUAGCUUAGGUGUGUUUUCAUGAAUUUCCCCAUUUUAAACCACAUAAAGUUCAUGGAUUUCAACUAACGAACACAUAUACUUCUUGAAAACACCUUUAGAUAUCAUCUUGAAACUUAAACAACAAUCAUCAAUAUGUACAUGGUCAUAUCACAACAAGACAAUCACAAAAUAACAUUUAAAACAUGGUUCUUGAGCUCUAUGAACGAAAUGGAUCCAUAGAUGAACACUACGCAUACCUUAGAUGGAAGAUCCGUGAAAAUUAACGGUGAAAUCCUUUGAAUCUUAAAGCUUCUAUGAAAAACCUAAGGGAUUCUUCAGAGAAUUUUGAGUAAAGAGAGUAUAAUGUGGUUGUAUUGGGGCUAAAUUUCGUGUUUAUGGAAUAUAUAGGGGUGGAAAGAUGACCCAAAUACCCUUCUAGAUGCGUCAUUUAAUAUCUGUGAAAAUUACUCAAUUUGGGCCCCUGGUGCGAUGCAGAGAUAUCGUAUUGCAACCCGUUUGUCAUUUGGAAACUCACCGCGAUGUGGUGGAAUCGUGGAGAGACACUGUAAAUUGACGAACAUCAUUUUGGCUUAUGGUGCGAUGCGCCACUGACUGAAAUGACGCUGCUGAAACUUUAAAUAGCUAUAACUUCUUCACCGAGUGUUCGUUUUAGGCGAAUUUGGUAUCGAUGGAAAGCUUAUUCAAUUAUCUACGGGUAUAAAUCUACCAAAAUACCACCUAUUAAAAAGUUAUUCUUUUUAAAUAUGACCUAUGUUAAAUCACACACAAAAACUUGAUGGAUUUAAAAGUUCUUAGCUUGGCUUACUCUAAGUGACUCUUAUGAACAUGCUUAACACAUCAUAAGCUCUAUUAUCACUAGGAUACUCAUCCUAAUUCAUGUACUCAUAUAUGAAUCACAGGAUAGAAGGUUUCAUGUGUAGGAACAACGGUUCAUCUUCUAGCUUAGAAAUAUAUGGGGUAUUACAUAAUGACCUCAAAAUUGAGUUUCUUCCUUAGGUCAAUUGCAUUUAAGACCUUAUUCAGCUUGUGACGCCUUGAAGGGUUUUUGACAACAAGCCUCUCCCAUUUUCUUUUCCUCAGCUCACCAUUGCCUUAUGGUGUCCGUGAUGGUUUUUCACUAAUGAGACUCUCUUAUUUUCAUUUGUCUCAACUCACCGUCGUCUUACAGUGCCUGUGAGGGUUCUCACUGAUAAAACUCUCUUAUUUUAUCUCUCUCAGCUUACUAUCAUCUUAUGAUACCCGUGAGGAUUUUCACUGAUAAGACACUCUCAUUUUCAUUUCUCUCCUGAUUCCUUAUGCUGAGGAAGACAAGUAGUUCCCAAAAUGCGUCAUCACAUCCAUAUCAUGCUUAGCCUUAAAAUUCUCAAAUAUUGAUUUGAAGGUCUUUCUUUGGUUGUAACUUGGCUUUUGGAUAGAAUUAGAAAGAAAGGAUGGCAUGGGGCCCAAACGACACUUGUAGUGGGGGUGACUUACAACUUUUGGAAUCGAUUCAAAUAAUGAGGAUCAACUCAUGCCCCAGUUUAUUUUGACUGGGAAAUUCUAAAUUAUUUGUUUGGUUGAUCGAGCCCCGUAUAGGGAAGCCUACGUAUCUCACUCCCAAGGAAGGAGAAUCAGGUCACACGUAGUUCCGGCAACUUGUUCUUUAUCUUGAUUCUGACUUCUUCUUCUUUUUAUUGACUCUUGAGCUAUGAUUUUCAAUUGAUGACCAAGUUAUUCUUGGGAUUCUCAAAAUAAUUGCCUUAAUUUUCAAAGAAGGCUUCAACUUGUCACCAAAUGUCUCAACACUCUACCUAUUUUUUCAGAUAUUUUUCUGACUUUAGAACUAUGAUUCAAUGUGUCGUGAUUAAAUUGGAUUUUAAGAUCUGACUGAAAAUUUUGCAAGCAUUUGAUAUCACUAGAAUCAACAUAAAAUGAACUUUAUAAAGAAAAUAAAUUAACAAAUAACACCUAUUUAAAACAUAAAGGGAAAUGGACACUCCAUUUAGUUGAAAUGAAAGAUAGAAGGAUUUGAACAUAACGACAAAGGGACAAAACAAGAUAGAUCCAGAACUACAACCCUAAAAUAAUUUGAAUAACAAAAAAUAAAAUAAAACACACUACCAGACCUCUUCCUAGUAGGGAGGUAGGUGACUUCUCAAUUGCUCAUCCGUACAUCUUAGCCAUUGGUUUGCAUAUCAGCAUGACUAGAGCUUUUCCCACUGUCAAUGGUUUGCCCCAUAAUUGAUUUAUCUUGAAUCAUCUUUUCAAUUUCUCUUUUCAAAGCAUGACAAUCUUCAAUACUAUGAUCCUGAACAUCAGAAUAAUAGGCACAUCGUACAUUAGGAUUAAAGCUUUUUGAAUGCGGGUCAGAGUAUACCCAAAGAGAGAAGUGAUCAUGCCCCGUUGUACCAAUCUCUAGAAUAAACUGGCAUAUAACUCUCCUAUUGGUUUGAAGCUAUCUCUCAACUUUUGCCUCGUUUCAUUUUUUGUCUUGGACCAAAAAUCUGGCCAAGAAGGGAUUUGGUAUGUUUGUGGAGUUGGAGGAUGACUCUGAGGAGUUAGUGCAUGCCAUUGUGAAUAAGAAGGGAGUUGAACAUAUGGUUGUGCGCAGUAUACUAGAUAUGGAGGUAGGGAAAUGGAGUAUAAUGGAUUUUGGAAGGGAUUAUAAAGAGCUUACGUAUGAACUUGGGCUUAAGACUAAUGGCAACGACAACGACAUCUUCUUGGAUGUGACCGUUCUCCAACUACAAUAGCAGUUGUAUCUUUCUUAUCCUUUUUCUCUCCAGUUUCCCUUAAUUGAUUGCAAUAUUAUCCCAAAUGUUUCAUGGAUUUCUCCUGUCCAUCUUGCUCCUUAAAUUUCGAUGUCUCGAGGCUUGAAGGAGGGUUAACACUUGAAGAUAUGCCCCAGUUUUUGUAUGUAACAUCUUCUUUACCCGCAUGUCCUAGGAAACUUUUCCUAGCAUUUUCUGCACUCUUCAUUUUUUCAACCAUUUUCUCCGGCUCUCAUGGAAAGCUAGACUUCUUGUUAAGAAAUUUUUGUGGUCCAAUUAACAUUGAUGUGGGCUUGGGAGUAUAGCAAUGAUUAUCAAGAGUAUUGAACAUGGGUCCACUAGCAGAUUGGGGCAGCAUAACCGUUGAAUUGUUAUCCAAAGUGGAAGCCUCAACAGAAGGUUUAGCAAUAAAAGCAUAGGCAGUCAGUGGUGCGUUCAAUGUAGUAGGUUUAUACUGAGAAGCUAGAGGAAGAGAGGGGGAAGUAUUGGGAUGCUUUUGUCUUAGAAGAAAUUCUGAAUCAUGUUGCAAUGCAUCAACAAUAAUAGGAAACUUCCUUUGCAAUUUUGGUAGAAAACUCGAGGUAUUUGUAGAUCAGUAGCGGGAAAUAGAGGAAGAGGCAACCCACUGGCCCAAGCUUGGUGCAUUUUUGCCAUUUGUUUCCUUAGUAUCCUAAUCUCUUGCCUUAAACUCUCAUUUUCCUGAGUCUUGGUUUGAUCCGUAAUGUCAAUCCAUAUAUUCUAGUUGGAAACAACUAACCCUUUGGAAUUGGUGUGAUGUGAAGAAUCAACUACAAUGUCAAAAUGACACAAACCAACCACCUUAAACUAACUCAAAAGAAGAUAACAAACAUGUUAGAGUUCAACACUUUUCAAAAGCCUUUUUCAUUUUUUUCCUCCUUUUUUUUUUGAAAAAUAUCACCGAACCCAAGAAGGACGCCUACGUAUCUCACUCCUGAAAGAGGAGAAUCAGGUGUGCGUAGUUCAUGAAGUUUUGCCAAAAUGGCCGGUAAAACUCUCUUUCUUUUUUUUGUUGACACUUUAAGAAGAAAAGAAAAUAAUAAAUUGUCAAAAGAAUUGACGAGAAAUCUUUUUUUUGCGUUUUUCAAUUUUAACACCCCUAUACAAAAUGAAACCUACGAUUACCAAAGAAACUCUUUUAAGGUUUUCAAUUUUGAAUUUCAUACGAAAAUGAAACAUGAACCUAUUAAAGGAAAAUUUUUUUAUAUUUUUCGUUUAAAGAUGUAUAUGAAACACCUACUCUAAAUGAAGAGUUAAGAAAAUCUUUUAUGAAUUUUUUUUCUAUAUUCAUAUACAAAAUGAAACCUAUGAUUAUCAAAGAAAAUCGUUUGGAGUUUUCAAUUUUGAAUUUCAAAUGAAAAUGAAAAUUGGAACUAUAAAAAAAAAUCUUUUUGUAGUUUUCUUUUAAAGAAGUAUAUGACACUUACUCUAAUAAAGAGUGAAGAAAAUCUUUUUGGAUUUUUCAAAUAGGAUCCGAGAACCAACAAUAGGCUGCCUACGUAUAUCACUCCCAAGAGAGGAGAAUCAGAGGUGUGUAGUUCAUCCAGACAGGACAAUUAAGGAUUAAAUAACCGAUUGGACCCUGACUUGAGAGAUGCGACCACAAACAGAAGAUGAAAAAUAUCAAUAAAAUCUUUUUGAGUUUUGAAUUUGACACUUAACAUAAAACUGACACCAACAAACUAUGAAAGAAAAAUCUUUUUGGUAUUUUCGUUAUAUGAAAUGUACAAAACUUCUACCAUCUUUUUUUGCAUUUUUCCUUUAUAAAAAGCUCCAAUUAAAAAUAAUCUUUUUGAAAAUUUUGAAUUAUGAGUGCAUGGUAAAGGAGCAAAAGGAAUUUUUUUUUUAAUUUUUUUUGAGAAAAUGAGUGCAAAAAGUAAAAAAAAUCUUUUUGAAUUUUUAGAUUGUGAAAAAAAAAUCAAAAGUCAUAAAGAACUCUAAAAACUAUGAACUCUCUUUUUUCUUUUCGACUCACUUUUUGUUUCUUUUUUUUUUUCUUUUUUUUUAAUUUUUCAUUGCCUACACACUUUACUUCUAACAUAUGCUUUCCCCAAAUCAGUCUGUCAAAUGACCACGUUACCCUCAAAGAUGCAACAAUUAGCACGUAGGGAUGCUUUAGAGGUGAGUCUCCUACAAAGGGUCACGUGGGUCCCUCUAGGUCUCAAUAUGAUAAAGAUAAGCAUGACCUAAAGACUGACCUACAUUGGGGUCCACUAACAAGGUUGUUCAGGGGAGCGUAUGGUCGAUAAUGGCUUGCUUUAGCUGUCCACCUACUCUAUACAACCCAACGGCUCCCCCUCCUAAAAUAAGGGUGACUCAACUAUAGGUCGUGUACACACGUGUACUACGGACUUGUUGCAGGAAGAAAAACUCGGAUUAUGCAUGCGAUGUCAGCUAUAAAGCGGUAACAUAUAAAGUAAAAAUUGUAAAGAAAGAGCAUGUAGGCACUCAACAAUGAUAAACAAUAACUCAAAACACAAACAAAAUGUCUAUACACCUGUAGUGCCAAACAAAGCCAAUACAAAUCCAAAAUAAGCUCGAAUUCUGAAAAAUCCCCAGCAGAGUCGCCAGAGCUGUCACACCCCCCUUUUAACCAAAAAAUUAUUUUUAAAAUUUGAAACUGUUUUUAUUAUUAAGUGACAAAAGAAAAUGAUUUAUUCUGUAAUGGAUUAUUUAUAUUCAAAACUCAGAGUCGCCACUUGACAUAAUCCGGUGUGCCAAGUCACCUUUGGAAAAUUCUAUUCAAAAUGAUUUGACUCUUUAAAACUAGUUUGUGACAAGAGAUUCCGGCUAAGGAAUUCUGUUGACCGAGGGGAAGGUGUUAGGCACCCCUCGAUCCCGUGGUUCGACCACGGUCGCUUGGUGGAGCAUAUCGGCUUAUUUAAACACUAUGAAUGUAUAAACCACACAAAAGCACAUAAAACAGUCAAUCAAAACAAACCUAAAAUAUAAUGUCCAGUCUAAUUAUACAGUUUGAAAUAGAAAAGUGCGAAAAAUAUAAACCUGCUCUAUUCUAACCCUAUACUAUGCUUUACCCGACGCCUUGGGCCUUCAUCACGAACAUCCUCUGGGUACAGGAUACUUUGGGGCAUUGUCCGAUAAAUAAAUACAGAUGGACUCGGGGCAUUCCUUGGCUAAAUAAAUACAUUUUUAGUGCAAGAAAAUCAAACCACUCGACGAAAUUUCAAACAUUCAACAAAACCACAAGUCUUAAACUUUUUCUACCCAAAACCUAUGAUUUGCCUACCAAUCCUCGGUCUAAACAGGAUACUAUCGACAUUCAACAUCAACAAUGACUCAAAAAUACCAUAAUAUCCACUUUUUAUUAAUUUUCUAUUUCCACCCCCAAAUCCAUUCUCAAUAUGAUUAAACCAAUUCCAUACUCAAUCCACCAAUCAAGUUUUAAAUCCAACAUAAAACACCACACAACAAAGAUUUGAACACACAAAUCAUUCACGAUUAUGUAAAAAUUAAAGGGAGAGAAGAUAGAAUUGGACCUAAAGAGCUUUUGAUUGACGUAAGAAGAGAAAUAAGAGCCAUCUAUCCCGAGAACCUUAAAGAAUACCAACAAAAUCUUGACUCUCCAAAUCAGUCUAGAAACAGUCCCAAAAACAUGAUAACUCGAAUUUCGAUUUGAACGAAAAAUCUACUAAGCACGGAUGAAUACUAGAGACCAAAAUGAUGAGAAAACUAAUAGAAAUUGUGUGGUCAAAACUCCAGUGAACGCAAACUGUGGCACAAAUAGCCGGAAAGAGGAUCAAAUAUUUGGCAGAUUUGAAGGUUUUCUAGAUAGAAUCACUUGAAAACAACUAGAAACAGACAGUUUCGGUGAAGAGGUCGCCGGAAAACUAAAACCCACCAGAUUCUACUCGAUCUCCUCUCUUUCUCUCUCUCUCUCUUCAUUACUCUCUCUGUUACUCAUCUCUCCCUCGUGAUCUCCCUCUCAAUUUCUCCAUGAGUGUGAUUUUUGUAGGUGACGGUGUGUGCGAUGAAGCUCUGUUAUGUGGAGAAGACAGUGGUUCAUUUAUUUAGUGAGGAUUAGUGUAUAUUCAUAUCUGGAGAGAUUAUAUUCGUGAGUUGUCCUCUCAAAAAGAUGAUGGUUGUCCCUCCCUUUGUAUCUGUAUGGAGUAUAAAAAAAUGGAGAGCUUUUCUGUGGGUGUCCUUCUCAUGUGUGUGAGAAUAUGAUGAAUGUAAAAAUGGAAAUUAUAUCCCCCCCCCCCAAAUGGAAAAUUACUGUGGGUACCUUUAUGUGAAUUUUUAUUCUCUUUUUUGUCCAUUCUAUUAUGGAAAAAGGAUGAGGAAAAUGUCAGUAAGUAAGAAGUGAGCGUGGAGAACACAUGGCAGGGUAGGGGUAGGGGUAAGAUAGGUGAGGGUAAGGGUGUGGGUGAUAGGAGGAUUAAAAAAAGAUAAAAUUUAUUAGGAAUUUUGGUAAGGGUUAUUAUUUUUUGUAUUUUUGUGAGAUAUAAUCACAUAGGUGAGAGUGUAUGAUAACAAGAGGUAAUAAAAUGGAUAAAUUGAGUUUUGCGAGGGACAAAACUAUGUGUCUACUGGUAGUACAUAUCUCAAGGCUUGUGAUGUGUGGAUGGGUAUUAAAUAAAGAUUUGAUAAAACAGAUGGAUCAAGAACUUACAAUUUGUAUCAAGAAAUUACAACUAUGUCCCAAGGUGUUCAAUAUGUUUCAUCUAUUUCACUAAGUUGAAAGUUUUAACGGAUGAGUUUGAGUCAUUAGUCACAUCACCUUCUUGUAACUAUGAAAAAUCAAGAGAUUUUUAGCUUUUCUUCAAAGGCAAAAGUUGUAUUAGUUUCUAAUGGGCUUGAAUGAUUCAUACUCACAAGAAAAAGCCAAAUCUUGUUAAUGACACUACUACCUACUGUUAACAUGGCCUACUCCAUGAUCAUAAGUGAUGAGAAUCAAAAUUCUAUAGCUCAGUCAGUACAGGAAACAAGUCUUCUUAGUGUGCACCUAUUACAAUUGAUGAUGUUGCAAUGUACUCUAAAACUGGAUAUCAAGGUGGUUAUCAAAAUUGAAAAAGGAACUAUGUUUCAACUUAUAACUCAAAUGAUGUUUGUGAUCAUUGUAAGAUGAAAGGUCACUAUAAUAUGGAUAUCUACAAGUUAGUUGGAUAUCCACCAGGUCAACCAAAACAUGGAGAUCAAAGAGUUAACAAUGACUUCAGAAGUGGCUUUGAUGACAAAAUUAACCAGAGAAAGGUUGCUUCUAGUGCUCAUAAUGUUAUGGUUGAAGACUGGCAGCUACAACCUCAACAGAGUCAAUCACAUGGUGCUUAUCUGGCUUCAAAAAAUUUACCAAAGGAUGGGAUGAUUACACCAAUGUUUACACCUAGCAGUAUGAUCAAAUUUGCAAAAUACUGGAACAACAGAAUCAAGUUUCAGCAUUUAUGCCCUCUACUAUUGUAGCAAAUAUGACAGGUAUUGGUAGGGCCCUGUUGGUCCACAAUAAACCACAUGAGUGGAUUAUUUAUAUAGGUGCUACAAAUCACAUGACAAUAGACAUUGAACUUCUAAAUAAAGGUUCAAUAUCUGAGUCAAUACAUCCACAAAAAGUAACAUUACCAAAUGGUGAUAAGUCAAUUGUUACACACACUGGAUCUAGAAGUAUCUCUAAUAGGAAUACUAUAUAAAAAGUGUUCCAUUUACCUCAAUUCAAAUAUAACUUAUUGUCGGUAUCACAGGCUACUAAAAAACUUAAUUGUUCUGUAACUUUCUUUCUUACCUUUUGUGUGUUUCAAGAACUUUGGCAUGGGAAGGCAAAGGAGAUUGGAAAAGAGAAAAAUGGACUAUACUUCUUAUUGAGAAAAAAACUUCUAGGGCAUGGCAAAGUAGCAGGUUGUGUGUUCAAUACUCAGAAUAUAAAUAAAUUUGAUCUAAGGCUUUGGAAUAAGACACUUGGACAUGUUCCUUUUAGGACACUAUCUCACAUGUUUUAUAUGUCAAAAACUCAUGUAGAUGACAAUAUAUAUAAGUGUGAAGUCUGUCCAUUUUCUAAACAAACUAGGCUAACCUUUCCUUCUAGCAGUACAUCUAGUGUUAAAGCUUUUGACUUAGUGCAUAUGGAUCUCUGGGGUCCUUAUAAGGUUUCUACUUAUGAUGGACAUAGGUCCUUCUUAAUUGUUGUGGAUGAUUUUACUAGAAUGACAUGUAUAUUUUUACUUGAAUUGAAAUCUGAUGUUGUAGCUAUUUUGAAGCAUUUCUUAUCUUAUGUUCAUACUCAGUUUAAAACAUGUGUAAAAGUCAUCAUGAUAGACAAUGGAACUGAGUUUGUUAACAACUCAUGCACUAAUUUGUUUGCAAACUUAGGGAUAAAGCAUCAAACCUCCUGAUCUUAUAAAUCCCAACAAAAUGGUGUGGCUGAAAUAAAGCACAAGCAUUUGUUGGAAGUGACCAUGGAUUUAAGGUUUCAAGCUAAUAUACCUUUAAAGUUUUAGGGAUAUUGUGUACAAGCAGCAACAUACUUGAUUAAUAGGCUUUCAUCUGUUAUGUUAGGUUAUAUGAUACCUAAUGAGAGGAUGCAUAAUAGAAAACCUUCCUUAGAUCAUCUAAAGGUAUUAGGAUGUCUAUGUUAUGCAAAAACUGUCAAUGAGUCGGAUAAACUAAUGCCUAGAUCUAGAAAAGCAAUUUAUAUGGGAUAUUCAAAAACAAAGAAGGGCUACAUUCUCUAUGAUCUUACUAACAAAAUUUUCUUUGUAAAUAGGGAUGUGGUGUUCAGAGAGGACAUAUUUCCAUUUAACACCGAUCUAGAUCAAUCUCUAUAACAUGUGUUUGCUCCAUAUGAUCUAGAAGCGAAAUCACCUAAUACCACUGGAUUGACUAGACCUCAACCUGAUGUUGAUCUUUAACAGUGAACCAUAAGUGACUUUACUACAGAUUAACCAAGUACUACACAUAGUCAACCAGUACAACUCACUGCACAGGAUCACCAUGUACAACCUGUUCCAACAAGAAGAAUAACAAGAUUUAUUACUAGACAGCAGGUUGCAGAACAGACUGUCACAACAAGGAUCACAACUAGACCACAACCAACUACUCAACAAGACCAAAUAAAAUCUACUAGGGGUUCAAAUCCGCCUGCAUGGAUGAAAUAUUUUGUGUCAUUGACUAUUAAUGACAAUGUUUUAUACCCUUUAUCUAAUUAUAUUUCUUAUGAUAAUAUAUCUACUAAGUAUCAAUGCUACCUAUCCAAUUUUUCUAACAUUAUGAAGCCUACCUCUUAUGCAGAAGUAGUAAAGGAUCCAAGAUGGGUAGAUGCUAUACAAACUGAAGUGGCUGUACUUCAAAACAACAAUACCUAGUAAGUAGUUGAUCUUCCAGCAGGCAAGCAACCUAUAAGGUGCAAAUGGAUCUACAAGAUCAAGUGUAAGCAUUAGGAAAAGUAGAAAAAUUUUAGGAAAUACCAGUUGCAAAAGGUUUUAGUCAGAAAGAAGGCAUAAACUACCAAGAAACAUUUUGUCCAGAGGUAAAAAUGAUCAUAUUGAGAAUAGUUUUGGCAAUAGCUACUACUAGACACUGGCACAUUCAUCAAAUAUAUGUGUUCAAUUCUUUCCCACAAGGAUAUUUAGAGGAUGAUCUACAUGAAGCUCCCACAAGGAUUUAGAGGUCAGGGGGAGAAUAAACAAGUACAUAGACUUACUAAAUUCUUGUAUGGAUUGAAACAAGCACUAAGACAGUGAAAUGCAAAGCUUCUCAGGCAUUAAUCAACUGCAAAUUUAGGUAAAGAAAAUAUGAUCAUUCAUUAUACAUUAAGGAAAUCAAUGAUGAAAUGAUUGUUGUACUAGUAUAUGUUUAUGAUAUACUAGUAACUGGGGAUAAGAUAGAUCAGGUAAUGGAGACAAAGGAAACUCUUCAUAAGGCCGUCAAGAUGAAAGGCUUAGGAGAAUUGAAAUACUUUCUAGGUAUUGAGUUUGCAAGGUCUAAACAAGGGAUUGUGAUGUACCAAAGGAAGUGUACCCUUGAGUAGUAACUAUGAUCAACAUGUUUCAUCAGUUGUAAGGCUUAAUGAUGAAAAACUGUAUGACCAAAGAAUGUAUCAAAGAAUAAUAGGGAAGCUUCUAUAUAUUAUAGUAACAAGACCAGACAUAGCUUAUAGUGUUCAAACUCUAAACCAAUUCUUGUAGAAUCCAAAAUAAUCUCACAUGAAUGUAGCACUCAGAGUUAUCAGAUAUAUAAAAGGAAAUCCAGGACACGGACUUCUGAUGUAUAGUGCAAGAAGAUGUUCUUGUUAAAUCUCUUAUUUUUUAAUAAGUGGUUUCAUAUUUUAUAAAACAGUCCUCCGGCCAAAAAGUCAAAACUUCUAAAAUAAUAUUAUUACUAGUUUGUUAUGAUAUUGAUGUAUAUUAGUUGUAGUAAAUGUCUAUCAAGAAUAUAGAUAAUAUCUGUCAAGAUUUAGCUGAUAUCUUCAGUAUUUGAAGUAGCCAUCUUUUAGAGGGAAACUGGGAGUAAAUUUCUCCUAUAUAAGGGCUUCCUUUAUUGUAAAUCGUCCCUCAAGAGAAAAAAUAAUUACUCUCUCUAAUCUUGUUUUUCUGUACUUUAUUUUUUAUAACAUGUUAUCAGCAUGAUACUCUACAAGUGAAGAUAUUUAUUUGAUUGAUUCUGGCACUACACAUGCGAUAUUCAAAGACGAUAAAUAUUUCUCUCAUCUAAACAUGAGCUAUAUUAAUGUUACUAUAAUUUCUGGUAGCACUAAUUUGAUUGAAGGCUUCAGAAAAGCCAUUAGAAUCUUGCUCAAGGGAGCUAAACUCAUCAUAAAUUAUGCUAUGUUUUCUCUUAAGUUUGGGAGAAACUUGUUGAGUUUUAAAGAUAUCUGUGAAAAUGGUAUCAUAUCAAGACAAUUGAUGAGAUGAAUCUUGAAUAUCUUGAUAUCACCAAGAAUGUCUCUGGGAAGACAUGUGUUAUAGAAAAGUUCUCUGCUUUAUCUUCUGGCAUGUAUUGAACAAAGAUUUGUACAAUUGAGGUACAUUUUAUAGUAAACCAGAAGUUUACUAAUUCCAGUACUUUUGGACUUUGGCAUGCUCGUCUGGAACAUUCCAAGAGGUGGGUGACAAUAGGCAUGAAUGCAUACAUGGGGAUAUUUGUGAACCCGUUCACCCACCUAAUGGGUCGUUUAGAUACUUUAUGCUCCUAAUAGAUACUUCUUUUAAAUGGUCUCGUGUGUGCCUAUUGUCAUCUCGCAACUUGGCAUUUGCAAAAUUAUUGGCACAAAUAAUAUGAUCAAGGGCACAGUUUUCUAAUAAUCAUAUUAAAUCUAUUCGCCUUGAUAAUGUUGCAAGACUUUCAUCCCAAGCAUUUAAUGACUAUUUCUUAUAGAUUAGGAUAAGAGUGAAACAUCUUGUAGCUCGUGUUCACACUCAAAAUGGCCUUGUCGAGUUAUUAAUUAAACAUUUUCACUUGAUAGCAAGACCAUUACUUAUGAGAACUAAGUUUUCCACUUCUAAUUGGGCUUAUGUGUAACACCCCGUAUUUUUCUAGUAUAAUUUAAGUCCUAAUAUAUGAGUAUUCAUAUAUAUAUAUAUAUAUAAAUAUAUAUAUAUAUUAACACUCAUUAUUUUUCAGUUUAGAGUCUGCCAUUGUGUAGAAAAUUAAAGUAGCUUUCCAAAGAUAUAAAAUUUGCCAAAAUUUGAUAAUCGGAUAAGAAGUUAUGGCGAUUUAAAGUUUCAGUCAUUAAACACCGUUAUUUUAACCCUUAGCGCGUUGUGUAGGCAGCCCAAAUGACAAUUGUCGAUUUCCAGUGUGACUCCGCGAUUAUGGUGCGUCGUGGAGAAGGCUAAUUUCCCAUUUGUCAAUUUUCAAUGAACCUCCGUGAUCAUGGAGCACCGCGGAGAUGGAAAAAUUGGCAUCCAUAGGCUUACCGUGAUAUAUAGUGGCGUAUUGCGGCAUUUGUUCAGGUCCCAAUUGUCCUUUUUUCAGUGGCUUGAUGCGAUAGUGACGCAUCACGCCAAGGCCAAAAAUCAGUAUUUCAAUUUCCAGCUUGUGUUUUAAAUUUGUUUAAGAGUAUUUGAGUCUUUUUCCUAAGACUUAAACUAGUCCUAAACAUAAAAUUUAACCCCUAAUUGACCUAAAUACUCAUCAUUAUUCACUUUCUCUCAAAUUAAAAAUCCCCUUUUUCAAGAACAAGAAACCCUAGCUCUCAAGAAUCAAGGCCAAAUCUCAAGAACACACCAUCAACCAAUUCAUCCAUUAAGGUAUGUUGGAUGUUCAUACAUGGAUACCUUUCAUCCAUGGAGUCCAAGUAUCCAUUUUAAUGACAAAUCUAUCAUAUUUUCAGGUUUAUUUGAUUUUAAAUUAUGAUUUCAUCCAUGAAUCUCCAUGUACUAGUGAUUUCAUACCAUGUCACCAUGAAAUUAUUGUUAUUAUUCAAUCCUCCAUGUUUUAAUAUUGUUAUUUACUGAACAAAACCAUGAUUUAACUCUAUUAUGUCGGAUUUAUGCUAUUUCUAUAUGUUUUAGGACAUUCCUAUGAUUGUUUUGAACCAUGAACUAUAAGUGUUUGAUAAAAUGCUACAAGAGUAAAUGUUUUAUGGAAGCCUUCAUGUUAUGUCCUGCAAUGUUUUAUUGUCAUGAUAAUAUUAUUGUUUUGAGUCCUGGGGGUAUUAAAUACCUGAAACCAUAGUUGUUUACUUAGUGUUGUUUUAGUAUCUUAAGAAUAACUUUAAAUUAAAUCAUGAGUAUUAUCAGAACAGUCAGUUAAACUCAGAACGAUUAGUUGGGAGUAGGAUUUAGCAUCGAGCGAGUGUAGGCAUGGAGGCUUCCCCAUCAGAUAGGCAGAGUCUUUAGUAGCAGUCCUUAUACUCCAGAACUACGUAGCCAGCAUAGGAUAUGAGAAGUCACCCAUCAUAAUAGGCUUGACUAUCUCGCAGGGUCACCCGUCAGUUCAGGCAUGACACCCUUAGUCCUUUGGACAUUAUAUCAGUUUAGUGGAUCCACACAACCAAUGUUAGUACCCGUGACACGGUAUUAACACCCAUCUAAUUGGGGUUAUAGGUUGGACUCUGAUUAGCUCAGAUUAGUGCAUGUCGGUUAGAUGAUACCUUCCACAGUCUCAGAUAUAGUCCUAGUUCAGUUAUGCAGUCUUAGAGUUGUUUGACCAAAGCAUACUGAUAUCAGUAUUUUGUCAGUAAUUUAGUUUAAAGAUUUUACUCAGUCUAUGUUAUAUGCUUGGUCAUGCAUCCUCAGGGUCUACAUAUUUUCAUGUAUUUUCAGUAUUUAGAGACUCUCAUGCAUAUAUAGUAUUUACUGAUUUACAUAUCUCCGGUAUCUAUAGAUUUCAUGUCCUAUACUCAGUACUCUAUGCUUACAUAUAUAUUCAGAUAGUUUAUUACUCCUAUUCAUAAAACCUUGCAUGUCAGCCUACCUCAUUUAGCAUACUAGUAUAUUCAAAGUACUUAUCGCAUACUUUUUAUUUUGCACUAUGAUGUCUCAUAUCAUAGAUGUUGACGCUCAGUUCCUGGAUCAAACCUAAAUUCUUAGAUUAUGAGCAGUACAAUAGCAGUGGUGAGUCCUCAUCAUCCGAGGACAAAUUAUAUUACUUCAUGUCCUUAUCCUAGUAGUUAGUAGAGUUAGUUGGGGGCCUGCUUUAUCAACUCACAGUAUUCAGUUUAGAGGCUUUCCAGACACUACAGUUAGCUAUUCAGAUUAUUCAGAUUUAAGUAUUAUACCAGAUUCAUAAUUUAGUAGUCGUUUCAUUAUUAAAACCUUAUGGCAUUUUAGUUAUUCUUCCACAUUCAUGAUUAUAUUAUUCAGUGCUCAUAGCAGGUACCAGCUGAUGGGUUAGCUUGUGGUCCCUCAGGAUCAUAAGCACCGUGUAAUGACUAAGGGUAGUCUCAGAUCGUUACAUCAUGCGAUUUUUCAUACUGCAAUACUUGUUCAUCUUAGACUGACAAAUCAUCAUAAAUUUUAUCUAUUGCAAUUGGUUGGCUCAAGAGCCUAAUACAUCUCAUCUGAGAAUUCUUGGGUGUGUUGUAUAUGUGCCUAUAGCACCACCAAAUUGCACCAAGAUAGGCCCCCAAAGAAGGUUAGGAAUUUAUAUUGGGUUUGAAUCACCCUCCAUUAUUUGCUAUCUUAAACCAUUAAUGGGAGAUAUGUUCACUUCUCGAUUUGCAAAUUUUUAGUUUGAUGAGACAGUUUUCCCAAAAAUUAGGGGGAAAAGAUAGUGACAUCAAAAGAGAAAUUUUAUGAAAAAAUUCAUCACUGUCUCAUCUUGAUCCACACAUUUUUAAUUAUGAGCAAGAAAUACAAAAGAUUAUUUAUCUGUAGAAAAUUACAAAUCAAAUGUCAGACAUAUUUACAGAUUUAAAAAGGAUCACCAAAUCAUAUAUUCUUGCAGAGAAUGUACUAAUUCGAAAUGAUAUUCCUAAAGGGCCAUCCACCAGUGUCAUACCUAAUGAGUCCAAAGUACGCUUGAAGUGUGGUAGAUCAUUGGAUUCUAAGGAUCGAAAUCCUAGAAAAAAAUAAAUUAUCAAGAUGACACUAUGAAAGAUCCUCAUAUGGAAAUUCAAGAUUUGGACAAUGUUGAUAUCCUUAAAGGAAUCAUUGGGCCUGAGACUCAAGAAAAUGAGGAACUAUCCAUAAAUUCAAGUGAUGUUGGAACUAAUUUGAACCGAUCCAAAAUAGUAGUGGAUUAUGUCUUUGCAUAUAAUGUUGCAACAAAAAUCAUACAAGAUAGUGAAGAUCUUGAAUCUCAAUCUAUCACAGAAUGUCGACAAAGAAAUGAUUGGCCAAAAUGGAAAGAAGUAAUUCAAUUUUAAUUGAAUUCACUUGUCAAACAUGAAGUUUUUAGACCUAAUGGUGUUAAGCCUAUUGGCUACAAAUGGGUCUUUGUACAAAAAAGAAAUGAGAAAAAUAAAAUACUAAGGUAUAAGGCACGUCUUGUUGCAUAAGUAUUUUCACAACGGCCUGGUGUCGAUUAUGACAAGGCAUAUUCACCAGUUAUGGAUGCAAUAACAUUGCGUUAUCUUAUUAGUUUCACUGUUCAUGGGAGACUUGAAAUGCAUUUGAUGGAUGUGGUAACAACCCAUCUAUAUGGAUCACUUGAUAAUUAGAUAUACAUGAAAAUUUCUGAAGAAUUUAAAAUUUCGGAAGCAUAUAGUUCAAAACCUCAAAAAAUGUAUUCCAUUAGAUUGCAAAGAUCAUUGCAUGUUUUGAAGCAAUCUAGAUGCAUGUGGUAUAACCGUCUUAGUGAAUAUUUAUCUAAGGAAGGUUAUACAAAUGAUGAAAUUUGUCCAUGUAUUUUUAUAAAGAAAACAACGUCGGAGUUUGUUAUACUUAUUGUCUAUUCGGUGACAUAAACCUUAUUGGAACUCUAAUAGAGCUUCAAAGGUUCAUUGAUUAUCUAAAGAAAGAAUUUGAGAUGAAAGAUCUCAAAAAGACCUAAUUAUGUCUUGGUUUGCAAAUUGAGCAUUUGACAAAUGGUAUCUUUGUCCAUCACUCUCUCUACUCCUUUUUCCUUCCAUACACGAUUGAAGUACCCCUUCAUUACUGAUUGUAGAGGAUUCAAACCCAUCACAUAGCAUAUUACCGCUGACUCCCAAAAAUUUACCUCCUUUUGAACAUCUUGCAUCGUUAUUUUAACUGUAGUACUCGGCUCCUUAAGAUUAUCCAAUUCAAAUUCCUCUAUAUUUCUCCCAACACUUACAAUUCACUUCAUUUGUUCUCACUAGAUUUCAGUGCCCAUGAGUCAUUAUGGUGUAUGACUGGGUCUUCCUCAACCAUAUCUACCCAGCUUGUUUUGCCUUAACUCUUUGAUUGCGAAGUCAUCGUAUCCUCCAAAUUUGAGGUUUUGGUCAUAGGUGUACUGUGUGGUAACUGGAAUGGCACUAUCCUUUGUAAUUCAUUCACAUUCUGUAUUUUUUUUGUAUCUCCCGAUUGUGGUACUGGCUUUGUAUUAUUGUUGGUGGACCGAUUUACUAUUUGGCUCUGUGAAUUUGUCCCUCCGAGCUUCGAUUUCCUUGCCAUUUUCGAUUUUCACUAAGAGAGAUCGCCAUCUCUACAAAGAGAAUUUUUUUGCAACUUAAAGCAGUACUUUCUUGAUUAACGAAUAGGAAAGGAUUUUGGAGUUCUAACUUCUAACCAUCACGAAGUUUUUUCUCCUCAUAUAUAACUGGUGUAACUACCUCUAUUAUAUUUUUCUUCCCUUUAUUUUUCAUAAAAGGACUAGUCAUAGUUACUCGAGAAAAUUGAAGAAUAGGUGUCUUUUAAGUCUUGAAUGAAGGAUUGGUGACAUUGACCAUCAGAUAGGGGUCAAAUAUUAUUAGGAAACUUGAUCAAGUUAAUUGUGGACUUGAUUAAUAUUUUCAAAACUUUCUAAUUUUUUCAAAAAUACAAAUCAACUCAACCCACACCCUCUUCAAUCCAAAUCAACCACUCUCUUCUCUCUCUCGACAGCUUCUCUCAACUAACAGUUCUGCAAAAUUUCUCCCUUCAACCCCCGACGAUAAAUAGUUGGGCUUCGAGUACCCCUCUUCAAUUCAAUCAACCUGUCUCUCAUCCCUCAGCUUCUCUCAACUCUCUCCCAACCAACUAUUUUGCAAAUUUCUCAUUUCAAUCCUUGGCGACUUUAACAUUUGACUAUAAAUAGUUGGGCUUCGAGUUCCUUUUCGACUUCAAUCAAUGUGACAGCCUUGCUCUCCAACACAACAACUUCGAAUUCUUCAUCGGUCCUUUUCUUCUUUCACAGGUAAAAAUUUAUGGCCUUUUUAGUUUUGAAGAAAAUGAGGAACUUGAGCCAACUUCUUUUACAGUAUUGGUUAACAAUUUCAAUAUUUGUUGUACUAAUUUAAAAUGUGGUCUGAAUAAAAUCCUAAUUUCCAGUAUUUCUUCUCUUCUCUUUUUGAAGUGAAUUAUGAUAUUUUGUUGUUUGUUACAUUUUUUUGAAGUUUGAUUUUUAUUGUUUGUGUUUAUAAAAACAAAAGGAAAAUUUUAUUUGAUUUGUUCUGUUCUUGUUCUUCGUAAAAAUGGUGAAAUUGCUGUUUUUUGUUUAACAAAAUUGUGCUACUGUUUCCCCCGAUAGAUUACCCAUCUGGUGCAACAUAUUAACCAUCUGAUGUAAUAGAUUUAUUAUAUGAUGCAAUAGAUCAACCAUCUGAUGCAUCAGAGGAACCAUCAAAUUAUAAUUCUGAUGCAACAGAUUAAUAAUCUGACGCAACAACUUUACCAUAUGUUGCAACAGAUUAAGCUUCGGCUAAAAAAUCUGAUGCAACUAAUUAACCAUCUGGUGCAAUGGAAGAACUAUCAGAUUAAUGAUCUGAUGCAAUAGAUGAACCUCCUAUUGGAUAAAAUCCUACCAACUCUUCCUACAGGAAAAGUUCAAGACUUGAUUUUUCCAACGCGAUAAACGACCCUACGUUGGAAGAAAUUUAAACAAUAUUGAUCGUUGAUAACUGUUCCAACGGAUCACUUAUGUGUUGCAAUAGAUGUCUGGCCUGUUGCACAGACCAUUCAUCUUUCUCAACAGAUGAGUGAUAUGUUUUGUAUUAUUGCAACAGAUUACUCAGCCAUUGCUACAGAUUAUUUAACUGUUCCAAUAGAUCACUCAUAUGUUGCAAUAGAUGAUGUCACAACAGUUGUGUGAUCUGUUGAACAGAACAUUCAUCUAGCUUAAAAGAUGAGUGUAUGUUUUGUAUUAUUGCAACAGAAUACUCAUCCGCUGCAACAAUUUAGUUAUAUGCUGCAACAGAUAUACUACCUAGUGUAACAGAUCGGUGAUCUGUUGCUACUGUUAUUUUACUAUUUUGCUUGUUUGAUUUACUAUUAUCCUUUUUUAACGAUACAUUAAUCAACAAUAAUAUAUUAUUUUAUGUUCCUGUUAAUUUUAGAUAAUAUGAUUCUCAAAAGAACAAAAACCGAAUCAAGUCCAAGUAAAGGAACAAGUGAAGCAGCUAGGCUAUAUCCACCACUCUAUGAGCUUGCUUUACAAGCGUUAUCUAAAUCUGGAAUAGAAUAUGAUGAACACGGGGAGGAGGAAUGUUUCAAAAGAGAUGAUGCAGAUGCUAAUAGCCCUUCCACCGAAGAGCUGGUCAAAGCCUUCAACAUUGAUCGUUAUCCUAUGAGAAUGCAGUGCGAUGGUGCCGCAGAUUUAAUGGGUGAUUUCAUGGUUAAGUUAGCCAUGGGAAAAUCUUUCGACGCCUUCAGAAAAAUACUUCAAGAAGAAAAAUUGGAUGCUUAUUUGGACAGCUGCUUUGGGAAAUAUCUUGAUUUGCCGAAGGAUAACAAUGUUCGUUUCCAAAUGAAAAUGGUAUAUGAACUUCUUAAGCUUAGGUUUAUGUAUGAAAACAAAGAUAAGAUGGCUGAGGUAUGGAUAAAUUACUGUGGCAUGCCUGUUUGUUUUGGUUGGAAGGAGUUUGCCAUAGUUACUAGACUAAAAUGUUAUCCUCCUUCUCAAGUUAUACCUAUUCUAACCCCAAAAAAGAGCACCUCGCACACUCAAAAAAGGCAAAGGCAAGUCGUGUGAUCGUAAUGACCUGGUGUCCAUUGUUGGUCCAAGCUUCAAAAAUAAAAAUUUGAUAGAAGGGUUGAAAGCUAAAGGACUUUCAAAGAAGCAAAAGCAGUCAUUGUGCUUGGUUUGGUUUGUACAUAAUAUUCUUUGGGCGAGAGACAUUAACAACAACAUAAGCAUCAGUUUAAUAAAUCUCUCUGAGGAUCUUGAGGCAUUUAACAGCUAUCCAUGGGGGUAUGAAAGCUUCAAAAUGACUGUCAAAUAUUUAUUGACUCCGUUAGCGCCAAAGACAGUCAACUUAUAUGGCUUCCCAUGGGCUUUCAUGGUAAAUGUUUCUUUCUUUCAAUAAUGGUUUUGAUUUAUUUACGUUAUUUUAUAGGCUUGGGAGUUUUAAGCUAUUCCUUAUUUGAGACAGCAAGUGAACUACCAGGAAGGAGUUUCCUGUCCAAGAAUCUUGAGAUAGUUGUCGGCCAAAACUGAUAAAAAUGUAAAAUUUCUUGAUCUCUUCAACCCUCGAAGGAUGCAGUAAGCAUAAUUAUAAUUAAUUUUUUAUUUUAAUUAAUGUCUUUUUUUGAAUAAUCUAAUCAUCAUUCUAAUAUAUGUAAUGAUUUGUGUUAGAAUGUGCAUCCGUCGCUAGUUCCGACCAAUUGAGAGUUGAAGAUGCCAUUUUUUCUUACUUUACGGUCUGUGCAAACUUUAUCGGACCCUAAGGUCAUUGAAGAAUAAAAAUGGAAUUGUUUGGAGCAACAACCAUUACAAGAAAAAUAAUUUUGGAGGGUGGGAUUGUUGUUGUUGAUGGAGCUGUUGGUGGUGGUAGUGGUGUUGCUGUUGGUGCUAAUGAUGCUCCUCUUACAGUAUUCAAAGCAAAUCAUUAUAAGUAUGAUCAUACUGGUUAUACAGAUUUUGCCUCUCCCAGCCAAUGUUUUGCAUGCAAAUGUCAAGACUGCAGGGCGAAACAUGAUAUAGUGAUUAAUACUAUUAAUGCAUUAACUCCUUCUGUAAAGAAAUUGACAUCUAAGAGGGGUCUUAUUCCAUAAAAGAGGAUUUUAUUUCCAUCCUCUAGAUUAGAUAUUAGGGCUAAGAGGAGAGGGAGAGUGAUUUUUAGGGCAUUUCAGGCAUCCAAAAAAGCAAAAUUGUAACUCCUCUGUCUGUGUGUUGCACUGAGCAACGUACAAUGUCCAAAGGAGAGCAGCACGAGCUGAAGAAAGUAAAUAUAUUAUAUGUCUUCCAACUGACAAAACAAACAGACACAUAUCUGUUUCAACAAAUGACACAUCUGCUGAAAAUUAUCAAAUCGAUAUCUAUAUUUGUUGCAACAGUUGACUAACCUGUUGCACCAAAUACUUUAUCCGGUGCAACAUAUGUCUCGUCUAUUUUAGUAAAUCAAACAGCUCUUUGUACAGCUUUUAUUUGUACUAACAGGUGACUUAUCUACUGCAACAGAUGAUUCAUAUGUUGCAAAGGAUGGUUCAUCCGUUGAAAAUUAUCACAAAGGGUUUUCCUCAUGUAAAAAUUUGUUCCAACAAUUGAUUCAUUGUUCCAACAGAAAUUUAAUAUGUUUGGGACAAUUUAAAAUGGGAGGAAGACUUGUUUGAUUUGCUAAAAGAGAUGAGUUAUCCUAUUCCAUUUUGUUAUAUCUCCGUGAUUAGCAUUGACCAAUUCUAGAUCACCAGGCGGAUGUAGAAGAAGCUACUGCUGAACAAUAUUGACAAUAUGCUACUCUUUUUAUGGAAAUAUAGAGAACAGAAAGCGCAGAAACCGUACGCAAGCGACAAUGAAGAUCCACGACGAGCAAAGCCAAAUUCCAUAGCACCGGAUGAAGAACAACUUGUCCAUACUGAGUAGAUCUUUAUAGCUUGAGCCAGUCAAAGUAAUCCUUGGCAGUAUACUUAAAUUGUUGUUGAUGUAUUUGUUAAUAUCUGUACCCAUAACAAUUUUUUUACAUUUCAUUUAUUUGUUGACUUAUUUCAGCUAAUUUAUGAAGGCUUCGAUUUAUUUUAUUUUGUCUAUGAAUUUUAUUUAUUCCUUAGAUUUGAACUUAUUAAUUGAAAAGGAAUACUAGAUUCAGAUAUUGCAAUAGAUAAUGUAUCUGUUACAAUAGACGACACAUCUAUUGGAAAAUUCGAACAAAUUUAGACAUAUGUUGCAACAGGUAGGUGGUCUAUUGAAAUUUAUCAAACAGGUCUUCCCACUGUUGCAACAGAUGGACUUUAGAUAAAAACAUCGAGAUAAUGCAACAGAUAACACAUCUAUUGGAAAAAAGAACAGAUUUAGACAUAUGUUGCAACAGAUGGACUUUAUCUGUUGCAACAGACGACACAUCUAUUGGAAUAAUCAAAUAAAUUUAUACAUAUGUCAUAACAGGUAGGUUAUAUUGGAAUUUAUCAAACAAGUCUUCCUACUGUUGCAACAGAUGGACUUUAGAUAAAAACAUCGAGAUAAUGCAACAGAUAACCAACCUAUUGCAACAGAUAAACUAUAUGUCAGAAUAGGUAGGAUAACUGUUACAACGGAUGGAGAAUCUGUUGCAUUAUAAAAAUUCAACUUUUGUUAGACAUAAAAAAUUGUCACUACGUAUAAAAAGGUUAAAGUGAAUUGAAAUAAAAAAGGCNNNNNNNNNNNNNNNNNNNNNNNNNNNNNNNNNNNNNNNNNNNNNNNNNNNNNNNNNNNNNNNNNNNNNNNNNNNNNNNNNNNNAUUGUCUUAUAUAUUCAUCUUCCUCCUAAAAUUUAACCCUAAAUUUCCAAAUCUUCUUCUUUAUUGUCAUCUUCUUUUAUCUAUCCAAAUUCUUCAAAUUAUUACUUUUAUUUUUUCCAACUGACCUUGACAAUGUCAAGCGCAUCUUCCACUGUUUUUUGUGAUAAAGAUUUUUGAUAUUGUAAUUGCGGUCAUGAAGCUCUGUUAAAGAUUUAUUAGACUCAACAAAAUCCAGGUCGUAGGUUUUUACUUAUAAAAAAUUUUAAAGGUAAUAUUUUUUAUUUAAUUAAUUAAUUAAUUAUUGACUUGUAAUUAUUUUAUAAUUGUGUUCUCUUUUUUAUAGAAAUUGGGUGGAUGCGAUUACUUUGAUUGGUAUGAAGAACAAAUUCCUUCAAAAGCAAAUCGUUUAAUCUGGGUUUGUUGAACAAAGUCAAGGAUUCUGAAGAGAAAUAAAAUCGAGUAAGAAGAUACCACAUUGUUGUCAUUAUUGCUACUGGUUUGGUGUUGUUGGGAACAUAGAUAUUGAAGCCUAAUUGCUGAAAUUUUCAUGGUGGUGUGUGUAUUUUCUACUGGUUUGUUGUCGACGAGCACAUGGAUAUUCAAGUGUAGCUGUUGAAAAAUAUCAAAAAGAUUUAGGCAUAUGUUGUAAAAUUUAGGUCAUCUGUGGAAAUUAUCAAACAGGUCUUCCCACUGUUGCAACAGAUUAGACUUAGAUUAUUAGAUUAUUCAUAGAAAUUAUCAAAUAGGUCUUCCCACUAUUGCAACAAAUUAGAAUUAGAUUAUUAGAUUAUUCAAACAGGUCUUUCCACUGUUGCAACAGAUUGAUAAUCUAAUCUAUUGCGUUAUAAAAAACUCAACUUUCAUCAGAAAAAAUUAUUACCACUACAUGUACAUGUAAUAAAGUGAAGGGUGACUUGAAAUUAAAAUUUUCUAUUUCACAGGAUCUUCUAUAUACACAGGCUUCAAGCAUCCAGUUAGUACCCCAUAAGCCCAGACCUCUUGCAGGUUUGCCACAGUGUUGUCGCAUAGAAAAGUCAUUGGCUCGGCCAUUUCUAUGCUGGUCAGCAAAUAUUUGAUGUGUGCAAGAGCAUACGAGCCGCUCGCUUUAGCAGCAUCAUCUUUUGGAAGGAUCAUUCCCCUGUUUCGACCUUCAAAAUCCCAUGAUUUCUUCAUCAACACUUCCUUUGGCAAAUGAUUCAUCAGUUUACUUUUCCUCAACAAGAUGGGUAACAGCACCAUCAGUGGCUCCACGAGGAGAAAAAGAUCAAAAUCAUCGAUGAGAGGUACGUUGGAGUCAUAAACAUUGAUCUUUCCCUCCUCGAGUAGUAUCUCAAUAGCCCGAUAAUGCAUGUCGUUCAUGCUAAUAACUGCAAGAAUCCUUUUUGUCUCGGUCCAGCUCUUUCCGUAUGGAUUUGGCCUGUCCCCUCUAACAUAUCUUAAUGUUUCUUCUUCAUCCAAGACCAAUGUAGGAACUAAGAAAUCAAGUCCCACGCCAAGGCCUGACACCUCUCAAUUGAGUUGAUCAUACCUAUAUUUGAGCUUCUUGCAGAAGUCGAGGUCCAUUAUUCUAUCAGCAGCAUCAUAAACUUUCCGGUACAUUAAUUUCCUUUUCCUCAUGAGGUAGAGAAUUAUGUCAACAUGCUGUGAGAUAAGAAGUCAAUUUUUAAAGAAGUCAAUUUUUAAAUAGGUUAGUAAUUGUAAAAAUGCAAUGGAUGGUCUAUCUGUUGCAUAGGGUUCUCUGAAUCAAUAAUCCAACGCAACUUAUGCAACAAAUGGAUAAUGAGUUGCAACAAAACCACAACCAGUUGCACCAAUAUACCCAGCUGUUGCAAUAGAUGUGAAAUCUAUUGCGUAGCUUCUUAUUCAUGGGGUCGAUUAGAAGGGCUAGGUUAGGAAAAGUAAACUUGCCUUGUCCUCGUACGGCAUACGCAUAUCAGUCAAUGUCUGGAAGUCUUAGGGGGAAAGGGAGGCCUGGGGUAAUCUGGUGCGCGUGGCUUGGAAUUCUUGGCCUGUCGCAGAUCCCUCUUCUCUUUGGCGCCAAGUUCCACAUAUAUGUCCACCUUCUUGACUAGCCCCUAAACUUCAAUAGCUUUUGGAGAGGGAGGAAUUGCAAUUUCUUUUGAUUUUCGAGCGGAGAGUACGUCUCUAAUUGCUCAUUUCUUUCUCCUAACCAACGCUAUAGAAGUGUGUGGUUCCUUCACCUUCUUGGAUGGUAUGACACAACUCUUGGAUUUGAAUUCCUCUAUAUCUUUAGAGAUAGCCUCUACUUUUUCAAAGAUUUUAUCCUUUCUGUUCUUGUACUCAUCACAUUCGCAACGAGAACACGAGGGUGAAGAGGGCUGAGAGGGACCUAUGUAAGGGUGAAAAGGGGUUUUUCAAACAUAUUUAUUCUUUCUUGAGCAUCAACAUGCUCAUCAUCAUGAGUGGUAGCAGCAUCAGCAUGCCUACCACCAACACCAACAACUCCACCAGAAGAAGCACCCGGAUCUACCUUAGUAAAAGGUUGGUCAUGAAAAGCCUCAACAUUAGGCUGACCUUGCCUAACUGCUCUUCUUAUGGUUGUUGCUCCAACCAAUUUCUUAUUUAUUAACUCCACCGUUGGGUCCGCAAUAGUAUCAACAUGACCUAGAGUAAUAUAAAAAGUCAUCACGACUCCUCCUCGGUAGGCACAAUCCAUGGAUGCACAACCUAUAAAAAAGAAAAAAAAGAUAGAUGCAUUUAAAUCAUAUAAUAUAAUAAUUUUCACAAUUGGGCUAUAUUUUAAAAAAAUAAAGAUCCAUCUGUUGCAUAGUUUGCAGUAUAUGGUUAAAAUUUGUUUGAGUCUGGUUCAGAGAAACAGAGCAACACAUGGAUAAUCUGAUGCAAAAUAUCAAUCAUCUAUUGCAACAGCUGCACAAGACGAGUAAUAUUUUAUGCAACAGAUGAUCUGUACGUCGCAAUAGAUGAACGAUAUGUUAUCAGAUUAAACAUUUGUUACAUAAUUUGCAGUAGAUGGUUAAUCUUUUAGGAGUCGGGUUCAGAGAGCCAAAGCCACAGAUGGGUAAUCUGAUGCAAGAUAUACCUCGUCGCAACAAAUGUCCCAUCUAGUGCAUCAGAUAUAACAUCUCAUGCACCAGAUAUAACAUCUGUUCAAUAUCUUUCUUAUCUUUGAGUAGAAUUAUUUUACUUGUAGAAGACAUACUGCAUCAUCCGGAGAGUUAAAGAGAUCAGCCUCCUUAAUAUUGGUGUUGCUCUUUGCAGCCAACCACCUAAACAUCCUUGGAUGAGAAACCUCAUCCGGGUAAUCCAUUAACUGCUUUCGGAAGGGAGGAAUGGGUUCAAAUGCCCAAGCCUAAAAAUGUAAACAGGAAGCAAGCAAAAAAAAUCAUAAUAAAUAUAUUCAAUAUAAAUUAAUGGAUGAGUAAAAUUAGUUAUUAAUUUUACCAUGAAAGCCCAAGGAAAGCCAUAUAAUAUGGUCGUCCCUGAGGAUAGCUUUGUCAGUAAAUAUUGGACAGUCAAGUAGAAGCUAUCAUAUCCCCAGGGAUAAUUGUUGAAUUUAUCAAAAUCCUCAGCAUGCGCUAGCAAAUCAUCUUCUAUGACCUUGUUGACGUUUCUUGCCAAUAUAACUGAAUGGGUAAACCAAACUAAGCACAAUUGCUCCCUGUACUGAUCUGGUAUAGUUUUAUCCUCGAGAUCUGUCAACAAAUCUGAUGCUUUAUAGCCACGAUGGCAUCUCAAGCCCGUCACUAUGGCAAACUCUUGCAAGCCAAAACAAACAGGCAUGCCACAGUAGUUGAUCCAGAUUUCAUCCAUCUUCUUCUUGCCCCUCUCCUCCGAAUCUUUAUACCAUAUACCAUCGUUAUAGGGAAAUAGAUACGGGCAGAGGGGUCCUCAGUCAACUCAAGAAAGCAUCCAAAGCAGCUCUUCUUAAAAAGUCCGCCUAUGUUUUCGUUCUUCAUAAUUUUCAUGAAAUGUUUAAAAAUUUUCCCCAUCUAACAUUUAAGUACAAUUUGACAAGUUAGUUCUUUUCCUUCUGGGUCAUUUAUCGGCAUCGCAACUUUAAACCUGUCAAUACUAAAAGUUUUGAUAGGAUUAUGCUGGGAUAUCGAUAUUAACUCACUCCCCGUCGGUGAUCUAUUAUCAUCAUGUUGAUGAUCAUCUUCUUUAUCUUUUUGACUCUCCAAUUCCUCCUCUUUCUCACUUUCAUUUUGUUCAUCACCAUCUACGGACCCUUGUCCACCUCCCUCAAUGUUGUUUUCACAUCUCUCCUUAGCUUCACUUUUUCCUGACUGAGAUUGUUCAAGAAGCUUCUUCAAAUCCCUCUGUACUGUAGCCGAUUUUUUAGUAGUCAGACAUUGAUCCACUUUCACUUUCUUUUUUUGGGGGAGACAUGUUUUACCUACAGACAAAGAAAAACAAAAAUUACAUUACAGCUGAUGUAUGCAUAGAUUUUAAAAAAUACAUUACAAACACCAUGAAUACUGACACACCAACAGCCACCACCACAAACACCACCAACCAAUGCCAACAAACAAACAAACACCACGAAUACCGACACCACCACAAACACCACCAACCAAUGCCACCGCCAGUGCCACCACAACGACCAAAAACACCACCACCACUACUACCACCCACACCAUCCAACUAUACCACGACAGUCAACAGAACACUGCGACGGAAACUAGGGAUUUCUUAAGUUCUUCCUACAAUUUUACCAUCAAAACUAAAAAUUGUAAAUCCAUUCUCAAAGAUAAUAAAACUAAAAGUUUUAUUUUUUAUCAUUAACUUAAAAUACCUUAUUUUUUAGAGAAAAAAAUAAAUAUAGAGCUCUUCUCAAACUCUGUUGCCUACAAAGACAAAGAAAACGACUAAUACAAGCAAGAAUGAUGUCAAAAAUAACACAUAUGUGGUCGGAAAUGAGAAGAAAAGUGAUCUGUUGUGGAAGGUUGAGCAAAUUUGUUGAGUAGUUGUUGUUUGUACUGUAUUGUUGGGUGAGAAUAAGAGAGAAAGAGCCAGACCUCGAGAUUUGAAAUGAUGAAACGUUUUGUAUGGGUUGAUUUGUAUUUUGGAAAAGAAUGACAAGUAGUUUUGAAAAUGUUAAUUUUGUCCGAAAUGAUUUUAAUUAUUUUUAAAAUCAUAAAAUAUAUGUGUAAUUUUUAAAAUCAUAUAAAAACAAUUGAAGUUGUAGUUGACCAAGUACUCUAAGAGGUGACCCUGUGAAAACUCACCCCUGGUCCUAGAUUAAUCAAUUUAGGAGUCUAACAUAUGAACUCAAUUGAAAUUGUAAAAAACAAAUGUUCAACAUGUUGCAUUAGAUUUCUCAUCUGUUGUAUAUUAUCAAUCAGAUUAGGUAACAAUAGAUUAUGAAUCUGAUGUAUAUUAUCAAACAGAUUAAGUCAUCUGUUGUGAUAUAUUACCCAUCUGUUAUAAAUUAUCAAAUGGAUUGUCAUAUGUAGCAACAAAUUAACCAUAUGUUGUAAAUUAUCAAAUAGGCGUUGUCAUUUAUUGUGGAUGACCCUAUGAGAACUCACCCCUAGUCCUAGAUUAAUCGAUAGUUGACCUUAUGAGAACUCACCCCUAGUCCCAGAUUAUUCAAUCAAGGUAUUAGUACCCUAGUCCUAGAUUAAUCAAUCAAGGUAUUAGUCUAACAUAUGAGGUAGGAAAAAUCAGUUCAGCUCAAAGUGAUCGAUCGCCGACUUUGGUCGGGAGGAACGCAAUACCGUUUCAUCAUGCAAUUGACAAAAGACUCAAUUGAAGUUGUAGUUGACCCUAUGAGAACUCACAUUCAAUUAAGGUAUUACUCUAACAUAUGAACUCAAUUGAAUUAUAUAUAAAUAAAUGUACAACCUAUUGCAAUAGAUGUCUUUUCUGUUAGAUCAAAUCAAACAGAUUAUGUAAUUUGUUGCAAUAUAUUACACAUCUAUUGUAAACUAUCAUACAUAUUAAGCCAUUUUUUGUGAUAGAUCACGAAUCUGCUGUAAACUAUCAAAUAGAUUAAGUCAUCUAUUGCAACAGAUUACCCAUCUAUUGUAAACUAUCAAAUGGAUUGAGUCACAUAUUGCAAUAGAUUACCCAUCCGUUGUAAAUUAUUAAAUAGGCGUUGUCAUCUAUUGUAGUUGAAAUUAUGAGAACUCACCGCUAGUCCUAUAUCAAUCAAUUAAGGUAUUAGUCUAACAUAUGAGGUAGUAAGAAUCAGUUCGGCUCAGAGUGAUCUAUCGCUGACUCUGGUCAGGAGGAAUACAGUACCAUCUCAUUAUGCGAUUGACAAAAGACUCAAUUGAAGUUGUAGUUGACCCUAUAUUCAAUUAGGGUAUUAGUACCCUAGUCCUAUAUUAAUCAAUUAAGGCAUUAGUCUAACAUAUGAGGUAGUAAGAAUCAGUUCGACUCAGAGUGAUCGAUCGACGACUCUAGUCGGGAGGAACACAGUACCAUCUCUUUAUGCAAUUGUCAAAAGACUCAACUGAAGUUGUAUUUGACCUUAUGAGAACUCACCCCUAGUCCCAGAUUAUUCAAUCAAGGUAUUAGUACCAUAGUCCUAGAUUAAUCAAUUAAGGCAUUAGUCUAACAUAUGAGGUAGUAAGAAUCAGUUCGACUCAGAGUGAUCGAUCGACGACUCUGGUCGAAGAAACGCAAUACCGUCUCAUCAUGAAAUUGCCAAAAGACUCAAUUAAAGUUGCAUUUGACCCUAUGAGAACUCACAUUCAAUUAAGAUUUUAGUCUAACAUAUGAACUCAAUUGAAAUUAUAUAUAAAUAAAUGUUCAACCUGUUGCAACAUAUGUCUUUUCUGUUGAAUCAAAUCAAAUAGAUUAGGUAAUAUAUUGCAACAUAUUACGCAUCUGUUGAAAACUAUCAAAUAGAUUAUGUCAUUUGUUGUGACAGAUCACAAAUCUGUUGUAAACUAUCAAAUAGAUUAUGUCAUCUGUUACACUUAAAUAUUUUUUGAUCCUUUUUUUAUAAAGCAAUUUAGGUAUUUCCUGUCCGAGAUAAAAUAGUAAAAAUAAUAAAGUGGUAAAAAAUAUUACUCGGUAUAACUUUGAUAACUCAAAAAUCUCCUGAGUGAGUAGUCUUAUCUGGUCUUUUCAAUGUCACUAUCUCCUCAUGCCCCUCAAAAGUUAUUAAUGAAUAUUUAAAACCCCCCAUACCUAGAACUCUCUCUCCUUCAUCCAUAAAGUAGUCUAGACUAGACUUAACUCAUAACUUUUCUUUAUUCUUUAUUCUCAAUUAUCUUUGUUGUUUUCUUUUUUUUCUCUCUUUUCUCUCUUCUUUCUGAUAAGGAUCCUUUGGAAUCACAACCAAUCAAUAUCUUUUCUCAACUGAACUAGAUGUUCUGAUCCAUUUGCUUUUUUGACAUUGCAGGUAUGGUUCAAAGUUGCUCUUUUCAUCUCGUCUUUUUCUUUGUAUAUCAUUUAAAUUAGUUACUUACAUCUGUUGCUAUCAAUGAUUUACCCAUUACCAGUUUGCUAUUUAUUGACAAAAUUGAAAGAAAGGUGACUUUUAAGUCUUGAAUGAAUGAACCAUUGUUCUUAUUAAAAUAUGUGAAAAAAGUCAUCUAUUGGGAGAACUUAAAAAGCCUUGUUAUCAAUAUAGUUUUUUUAUGUCUUUUGUUUGUUACUUUGGUGGUGCUGUUGUUGGGGGUGGUGGUUUGUUGGAAUAUGUGAUGUUUGUGUUAUGGAUGGUGUUGGAACAUAUAGUGUUGUUUUGUUUAUUUCUUUGUUGUUGAUGAUGUUGGUGGUGGUGUUGCAAUAGUUUUCUCAACUGUUGCAACUGAUGAAUCAGCUGUUGGAACAGACGGAGCAGCUUUUUUAAAAAAUCAAACCAGUAGAAAGGCUGGUUUGAUUUAUUCCAACAGAUGGACCAUCUGUUGCAACAUGUCAUCUAUCCUUUGCAAACAUUGCCUCAUCAAUUGAACAGAUGGGUAAUCUGUUGCAUCAUAUUGGUCAUCUGUUGAUUCACUCAAUUUUGUGUUAUCCUUUUGUAAUGUUCUUUUUGUUCUUCUCUUGUUUGAUAUCAAAUGUAUUUCUCUUGUUUGCAGACAAAAAGAAGUGAAAUUGGAUCCACUUUUUCCCUGACAACAUUAAAGGCUAGAGUAAAGAUGGGUUCAAAGAAAUAAGCUUUUUGCAGAUGGAACCACUUCAUAUGUGGAGGGUAUGUAUUACUGACCAACCUAUCAUGAAAACAAACAUCCAGUACAAUGAUUUUGUAAAUGUUUAUUUUUUACCUAGUAGGCAUUAAUUCUUCAAACAAGAUAUGAAAUUUUACAGUUAAGAUUGUUAGGUUCGAACUGGUAAGGCUGACAGACUAAGACGAUGGUGUCGAUAUCCCGUUACAAUUUAAUGACGGUUUAUGCUCGUGUUUUUAUGUCAAGUUUGGGGAAGGUUUCAAGUUUUUGGCGGCAGUGUAAAUAUUCCAUAGUGAUUAGACCGAUUUUAAUGGCACAAUGGACUUCUUGAAAGGCCUCCGAAGCCUCGCAAUGGAACAAACAAUGAUAGAACCAAUAGAAAUUCCCCUGGUCUAAAUUUAUAUGGAUGGGUUGUUGGCGGAGACUAUUAUACAGCAGAAGGUGUUUGGGAGAAAACCUGUGUGGGAAUAGGGAGGUUGGGAAGGCCAUAUAUCAUCUUAGUACUUGUUUAAGAGGAUAAACAGGAUCGGAAAAGUGUAGCGAAAUUAGCUUAUGAAAUUGACAUGAAAAAUGAAAAAACUGGAUGAUAUGAGAAUGUAAAAGUGUAUCAAAAAAUGAAAAUCCAUCAGUCGUUGAAGAAAAAGAAGAAUGGUCAAGAGGAAUUGACCUUGUGUAUCCUCUUAAACAAGUACUAAGAUGAUAUAUGGCCUUCUCAACCUCCCUCUUCUCGCACAGGUUUUCUGCCAAACACCUUCUGCUAUAUAAUAGUCUCCUCCACUAAUCCAUCCAUAUAAAUUUGGACCAGGGGAAUUUCUAUUGGUUCUAGCAUUUUUUGCUGCAUUGCGAGGCUUCGGAGGCCUUUUAAGAAGUCCAUUGUGCCAUUAAAAUUGGUCCAAUCACUAUUGGAUAUUUACACUACCGCCAAAAAUUUGAACCCUUCCCCAAACACAAAAUCAUAUGCAUGAAUCGUGUCAUUAAAUUGUAACGGGGUAUCGACACUACCAUCUUGGAACUCUUUGGCCUUAUCAGCUCGCACCUAUCAAACUAAACUGUACAAUUUAGGAUCUUGUUUGAAGGAUCAGUGUCUAAUCAUCGAUAAAAAACUCCAUUCACAAGAUCAUUGCACUUUAUGUGUCUUCACGGUAGCCUGAUCAAUAAUAUACAUAACUCCAUGCAUGAAAAUAGGAUCCAUUGCACGCAUCUUAUUCUUCCUACCCCAUCAGGACAUAUCAGUGUUUUUUAUUCAUUUGCAUGAAUAUGAUGACUAUUAAAAUAGAGGUGUGAAGAGUCGUGACUUUUUAUCUUAACACAUUCAAAAUAGCUGAUAAAUCCAAAUCUCCAUCUAUUGCAACUGAUGAAUCAGCUAUUGGAAGAAAUCAAAACAUCUCCUCCAAACAUAUGGUCCAUCUGUCGCAACAGAUAAUCUAUAUGUUGCAACAGAUGGUAAAUCUGUUGCGAUAGACCUGACUUUUUUUUAAUUAAUCUGCAUGUAUGUGAUUAUUUCUUUCUAAAUACAUUUGUUUCAAUUUAGUAUUCCUAUUUAUAAAAUCAAGAGAAUUUUAUUAUAUUCUUUCAAGAUUACCCCUAUUAUUAAAUGACUACAUAAAGUAUAUUAUUCACAUUUAUACUUUCUAAUCAUAAUUAAUAAGGCCAAUUUGGUAAAACAAUCACCUAAUUUAUAUUUUUAUUAAUUGGUGUGGCAAGCCCAUGGGGCCCAACUAAUACGUAGCAGAGGGACUAUUAAAAAGAGGUGAAUACUUUUUAUCUCACAUAUUCAAAACAGCUAAUGAAUCGGAUACUCCAUCUGUUGAAACUGAAACUAAUGAAUCAGCUGUCAGAAGAUAUCAAAACAUCUCCUCCAACUUAUACAUACUGUCCAUCUGUUUCCACAGAUAAAUCAGAUGUCUUAUUUGUUGCAUAUAAAAACCAUCUAUUGCAACAGAUGGUAAAUCUGUUUUGACAGCCGUCUAUUGCACAUUCAAUCCAUCCAUCUGUUGCAAAAGAUGCUAAAUCUGCUAAAAAUGUUGGAUGAUCUGUUGCAACAGCUCAAUAAUAACAGCUUUUAUCGAGUCUCAAACCGCUAUGAAAAGGUAAGAAGUAAUUGGUGUAAAAUAAAAAGUCACGACUUUUCACAGAAAAUAAAAUGCCACCAGUUUGAAUGUAAUUAAUACAAUAGAGCUGAACAGCCCUGCCUUUUGGCCUGACACGUCCAGAUUAUAUUAUAGGUCCCUCAAUCUUCAUUCAACUCUAUUUAUUUCUUGCAUUUUUUCCUUUCAUGUUACAUCUUCAACCACUUCUCUUCAAAGAUCAUAUUCUUUUCUCGUUGAGGUAAGUUUUUUUUUGGCAUAAAUUUACCAGUUGGUCGUAUACGUUGUAUUACAUUGUGAACAUUUUUCUUUACAUGUGUCAAUUCAUGAGUGUUCUAGAUAUGGCUGAUCCUUUUUCGGACAUUGCUAUUCUACGCGACACAGUUCGGGAACUUCAAAGGCAGGUUAAUGACCUACAGAGCGAGUUGAUCGCUGAGAGAGCGACAAUGUUCAAAGAGAUGUAGAGGCUGAUGAGAGCCCUGCUGCUGCGAUUUGAUUGACCGACUGUCAUUAAUGAUGAUAAUGAUAAUAAUAAUUAGAAUGUGCUUUUUCUUUUAGUGUAUGUAUUUUAAUUUUUCUAUAUUGGAUCUAUACCUAAUGUAUUUUAUUUUUCAUUUAAUGGAAAAUUUACUUUUAGUCAUACUUUGGCGUUUUAAUUCUUAUUCAAUUUUCAUUCUGUUUUCUUCUAAUCUAAUACAUGUUGGAGGCAAUGUUGAAUCCAGUAGCACUAGCAAUUUUGGCUUUUGAGUUCUUUCAACAGUUGGAACCGAUUGUCAUCUGUUGGGUUUCAACAGAUUAUCCAUCUGUUUUGACAGAUUUUCAUUUGUUGGAGAAAAGCAUUCCAGUUGUUUGUGCAACUGUUGAGAAUAAUUGUGGUCUGCUAUAUAAUUUAAGUUCAUGUUUUGCCUCAUUUUAUUGAUGCACAAGUUAUUUAAAAAAAAGGAUAUUUUAUAUAUAAUAAAUGAUAACAUUAGAUUCACAACAAUGAGUUAAAUAUAUAAAAUUCCACAACAAACAAACAAAUAAACAACAACACAAGUUUCUGCAAUUACAACGAUCAUGGUGGAUUAUGAUUCAGGCAUGUAGUUCUUUUGUCUCUAGCGCAAUUACAUAUGGAGCACUUGUUUCUUCUUGAUGAAAAUGAUCCUCCAACUCCACGCCUCCUUUUAUAUGACUUUCUUCCCGGUUUGAUAGUGCUCGGGUCAAUAUAUGGAGGAGGUAUUAAUCUCCCCAUAAGCUCUACUGAAACAACCCAAGAUUCUUCGGGAGGCACUGGAGUAAUAUGUCCACUAUAUGCCAUUUCAUAUUUUUCCACCAAAUAAUAUUGAGAGGAGUGCUCGUAAACUUCAGGUCCAUAUUUAUGGCCGUAUUGAGCUCGAAGGGCUGCCAUAGCAUGUGGACAAGGUAUUUUGUCCAAGUCAAAAACUCUACACGUACAAGAUCUUGUUUGAAGUUAGACUGUGGCAGCAUCACCAUGACCGGUGAUAUGAAAUUUGUAAUCUGCUAUUUUAUGAGAGAAUAACCUAUUCCCCAAACUGAUGUUCAUUGAUAUUUUCUUUUCGAUUUUGAGAAGAAAUCAGGUUCUUUUUCUGGAAACUUGAACUGUACACGCCUUUCAUUAAAAAAAUUGCUAUAUUUCUCGCUUAUUUUUUCAAACAUAGCCUUGAUGGAAAAUUUUCUUUCAUCGCCAAACAAUGAAUUCACCGAUUCAGCUAUGUUUGAUGUCAUAAUAUUGUACCUAUCACUUAGUACGACAUCAAACUAAAAUUGUAAAUCAAACAAGACAUUAAAUUCAUAAGAAUGGACCUAUUUGCUGGACAGAAUCCCCGGCUCCAUCUCUCGAAACCGACACGUGCAAGAAAUUCUGCUACCUUGGGAUUCACAUCCGCUAUUUGCUUAACUCAAGUGAUCUGCUUAUAUAUUCUUAUUUGAGUCUUCUAACCUCUCCUAUCUAAUGUCACGCCCUUGAUAAAAUGAAAUUGUGUCAUUAUUCCUUGAUAAUCACUUCUCUCUAAUACUUCUUGAAUCUACCUUCAUAUUCAGCCUUACAUACCUCCACAUUGGACUUUCAUACAUCUUCUUUGCAUGAUUAGAUUAUUAAUUUAAUGAAUUUAUAAUUUAUUUUUUGGUUAGAAAUUAUUGAAGUUUGUAGAAAAUGUCCUUUCUGGCCCUGUGAACAUCUUUUCUCAAUGUAUUAAAGAGGGCCUCUCUAACACAAUUCUUUUAUAACAAAAAAGAAGGAAAGAAAGAUUGUUUUCUUUCAACAAUAAAACUAUUUUAGACCUUGAAUUAAUCCUCUUAAAUAUUCAUAUUCUCUAACAAAAAGUCUUACAACAAAAUCCAAAAUAAUAUUGUCACGACUCAAAUUUGUUGUGAGUGGCACACACAUUACUAAUUCAAUGGGAGAAUCAUCUACCCUAAAAUACCAUCUUAUAAUCAAAGUUUAGUAUAGGACCACCUAUUAGACUUGGUCUUGGCUACCAGAAGGUCACAGUUUAGGAGUCCUAUGUCGGAAAAGGGAUGGACAAUUGGACUUCUUAUAUAGACUUAAACAAUUCUUUCUUUGUGAACAAAUGAGCUAACUUUUGGGGUUAGAUUAGACCCAAGAUUCAUUUUUUGUCGGUCACAAAUACAAUAUUCAGUAUCCAAGUCCACUUAGCUUAUAGAACAUCAUGACGUGCAAUGAAUUGCAUAUAAAACUCUUUGUUGCCUGUCUACUUGAUCCAAAAUAAGAAAAAGAAAAUUUCCCAAUUCGUUUUUAUAGUUUUCCAAUAUUCACAAAAAUAUAUAGUUUUUCAAAUUUUUUCCGUACCUAAUUUUCAAAGUUAAUCCAAAACCAACUCUUUAAGGGAACCUUCAUAUCAAGAGUAUAACAAUCAUUUUUUCAUCAUAGAAAGCAUGACUUUUGUGCAUGAGUUUAACUUCAAAUUUCAUUAUUAAAAAUGAUAGUUUGUUCUUUUCAUUGAAUUUUUUAACUCCAAAAGACGAUUUUAAAGCGGAAUCCCCAUUUAUUAGAUAGAGAAGAUCACCAAAAUUUCACGAUCCGCUAUCGAAUUUAUUCCAAUUCAGAAUGCUCAUUGAAUGAGCAUUCUCAAUAUUAUGCCUUGAAGAGGACUCGAACCUCCACGCUCUUUAGCAUGAGAUUUUGAAUCAAGUGUGUCUACCAUUUCACCACCAAGGCAUCUUGAAAGUGAAUCGUAUUCCAUGAAUACGAUAUCUAUCUAGUGUGAUGUAUAGAAUAUAUGACAAAGGUGGAUCUAUUGAUCGGUUAUGUCAUAUAGGCCCGAGUUGGACAUCCAAUUGCUUCGAUUUAAAUUAUUUGGAGAAUGCAAUGCCUGAUAUCUAUCAAAAGAUGGACAAUCAUUAUGCAAAAUGAUAGUGUAGAAGCAGGUAGUUAAAGGAGUUCCAACUAUAUCAAAUUACUACUGCAAUGAAUUAGUGAAGUUAAUUAUAACUAACCUCUAGCUCACCACUAACCAACCAACUAACCUACUAGUUGUCUUAGCCUACUUACUAACUGUCUAUAGAUACAUAUGUAUCAUGUACUAUUGGAUAACAACUUGAAUACAAAGAAUUAUAGUUUUGGCUAAUGCUCUAUGAUUAUUAUCUGUGCUCUCUUCUUCUCUCUUCUCUCUUACUUUCCUGCCUUCUUGCUUAGUUGUUCAUAGUGAUUACCAUUAAGAUCACCUAAUUCUUCAUGGUAUCAUAGCUUGCACUGAAUUGAAUCAAUACGUGAGACUAGAUUCUACAUUUGUUCUUGAAAUUAAGAACUACAGAAUCUGGGAGUUUAUUUUUUUGCAAAUCUUCUGUAAUAAAUUGCAAUGGCGACCGAUGUUGAUGGAAUUGGUAGUUGAAUUGUACCUUCAGUGAAUAAUGCAAAUUCCAGUACUUCAUUUCAGUUUACAACUACUACUAGAGAUAUUAAUCACCCUCUAUAUCUCUUAACUGCAAAUAUUUCAGGUACUUCACUUAUUUCAUUUCAGCUGCAAAGAAGUGAAAAUUAUGUAGUAUGGAGUAAAAUAGUUAGGAUACAUUAUUAGGUAAAAAUAAGUUUGGAAUGGUUGAUAGUUCUUGGAGGAAAUAAAUCUUCUCUACAGACUUAGCUAAUCAAUGGGAAAGGGUUAAUGCAAUAGUACUGUCAUGGCUGAUUAAUUCAGUGUCUAGUAACCUUCUUGGAGAGGUAGUACAUGUCUCAAAGCUUGUGAUUUGUGGAUGGGUCUUAAAGAAAGAUUUGAUAAAACAGAUGGAUCAAGAACUUACAAUUUGUAUCAAGAAAUUUCAACUGUGUCCCAAGGUGUUCAAUCUAUUUCGUCUAUUUCACUAAGUUGAAAAACUUAAGGGAUAAGUUUGAGUCUUUAGUCCCAUCACCUGCUUGUAACUAUGAAAAAUCAAGAGAUUUUUUAGCUUUUCUUUAAAGGCAAAAGUUGUAUCAGUUUCUAAUGGGCUUGAAUGAUUCAUACUCACAAGCAAAAAGUCGCAUCUUGUUAAUGACACCACUACCUACUGUUAACAUGGCCUAAUCCAUGAUCAUAAGUGAUGAGAAUCAAAAGUCUGUGGCUCAGUCAGUACAGGAAACAGGUCUUCUUAGUGCUGCAACUACUGCAAUUGAUGAUGUUACAGUGUACUCUAAAUUUGGAUAUCAAGGUGGUUAUCAAAAUGGAAAAAGGAACUAUGUUUCAACCUAUAACUCAAAUGAUGUUUGUGAUCAUUGCAAGAUGAAAGGUCACUAUAAUAUGGAUUGCGACAAGUUAGUUGGAUAUCCAUCAUGUCAACCAAAACAUGGAGAUCAAAGAGACAACAAUGACUUCAGAAGUGGCUUUGAUAACAAAACUAACCAGAGAAAGGUUGCUUCUAGUGCUCAUAAUGUUAUGGUUGAAGACUGGCAGCUACAACCUCAACAGACUCAAUCACAUGGUGCCUAUCUGACUUCACAAAAUUUACCAAAGGAUGGGAUGAUUACACCAAUGUUUACACCUGACAAUAUGAUCAAAUUUCCAAAGUACUAGAACAACAUAAUCAAGUUUCAGCAUUUGUGCCCUCUACUAUUGUAGCAAAUAUGACAGUUAUUGGUAGGGCCCUGUUGGUCAACAAUAAACCACAUGAUUGGAUUAUUCAUACAAGUGCUACAAAUCACAUGAAAGUAGACAUUGAACUUCUAAAUAAAGGUUCAAUAUCUGAGUCAAUUACCAAAUGUUGAUAUGUCAGUUUUUACACACACCGGCUUUAGUAGUAUCUCUGAUAGGAACACUAUACAAAACGUGUUCCAUUUACUUCAAUUCAAAUACAACUUGUUGUCAGUCUCACAGGCUACUAAAAAUCUUAAUUGUUAUGUAACUUUCUUUCUUAAUUUUUGUGUGUUUCAAGAUCUUUGAAAUGGGAAGGUGAAGGGGAUUGGAAAAGAGAAAAAUGGACUAUACUUCUUAUUGAGAAAAAAACUUCCAGGGCAUGGCAAAGUAGUAGGCUGUGUGUUCAAUACUCAGAAUAUAAAUAAAUUUGAUCUAAGGUUAUGGCUAGGCAUAAGACACUUGGACAUGUUCCUUUUAGGAUACUAUCUCACAUGUUUUCUAUGUCGAAAACUCAUGUAGAUGACAAUAUAAAUAAGUGUGAACUUUGUCCAUUUUCUAAACAAACUAGGCUAGCCUUUCCUUCUAGCAGUACAUCUAGUGUUAAAGCUUUUGACUUAGUGCAUAUGGAUCUCUGGGGUCCUUAUAAGGUUCCUAAUUGUGAUGGACAUAGAUCCUUCUUAAUUGUUGUGGAUGAUUUUACUAGAAUGACAUGUAUAUUUUUUCUUGUAUAGAAAUCUGAUGUUGUAGUUAUUCUGAAGCAUUUCUUAUCUUAUGUUCAUACUCAGUUUAAUACGUGUGUAAAAGUCAUCAGGAUAGACAAUGGAACUAAGUUUGUUAACAACUCAUGGACUAAUUUGUUUGCAAACUUAGGGAUAAAACAUCAAACCUCCUGAUAUUAUACAUCCCAACAAAAUGGUGUGGCUGAAAGAAAGCACAGGCAUUUGUUGAAAAUGACCAGGGCUUUAAGGUUUCAAGCUAAUAUACCUUUAAAGUUUUAGGGAUAUUGUGUACAAGCAGCAACAUACUUGAUUAAUAGCCUUCCAUCUGUUAUGGUAGGUUAUAUGACACCUAAUGAGAGGAUGCAUAAUAGAAAACCUUCCUUAGAUCAUCUAAAGGUAUUAGGAUGUUUAUGGUAUGCUAAAACUGUCAAUGAGUCAGAUAAACUAAUGCCUAGAUCUAGAAAAGCAAUUCAUAUGGGAUAUUCAGAAACAAAGAAGGGUUACAUUAUCUAUGAUCUUACUAACAAAAUUUUCUUUGUAAACAGGGAUAUGGUGUUCAGAGAGGACACAUUUCCAUUCAUAAUCGAUCUAGAUCAAUCUCCAUAACAUAUGUUUGCUCCAUAUGAUCCAGAAGCAGAAUCACCUAAUACCACUGGAUGGACUAGACCUCAACCUGAUGUUGAUUUUCAACAGUGAACCAUAAGUGACUUCACUACAGAUUAACCAAGUACUUACUCAGAGUCAACCAGUACAACUCACUGCACAGGACCACCAUGUACAACCUGUUCCAACAAUAAGAAUAACAAGAUAUAUUACUAGACAACAAGUUGCAGAACAACCUGUCACAACUAGGAUCACAACCAGACCACAACCAGUUGCUCAACAAGACCAAAGAAAAUCUACCGGGGGUUCAAAUUCUCCUGCAUGGAUGAAAUAUUUUGUGUCAUUGAAUAUCAAUGACAAUGUUUUAUAACCUUUAUCUAAUUAUAUUUCUUAUGAUAAUAUAUCUACUAAGUAUCAAUGCUACCUAUCCAAUUUUUCUAACAUUGUGGAGCCUACCUCUUAUGCAGAAGCAAUAAAGGAUCCAAGAUGGGUAGAUGCUAUGCAAACUGAAAUGGCUGCACUUCAAAAAAACAAUACCUAGUAAGAAGUUGAUCUUCCAGCAGGUAAGUAACCUAUAGGGUGCAAAUGGAUCUACAAGAUCAAGUAUAAGCCUUAGGAAAAGUAGAAAGAUUUUAGGCAAGACUAGUUGCAAAAGGUUUUAGUCAGAAAGAAGGCAUAGACUACCAAGAAACAUUUUGUCCAGUGGCAAAAAUGGUCACAUUUAGAAUAGUUAUUGCUACCAAAACUCCCCAAGAACACACGAAAAAAACACCAAUCAGUCCACUAGUUUAAGAACUAUAGACCCUUUUGAUGACCUAUCUCGGAUUCGCAAGAGGAACAAGAAAGGAAGUGAUAUCAAGAGUAAACACACUAAAAAAAAGCAAAAACACGUGAUGAACAAGAUGAACACAAGAACACAACUUUCAGAUUCAACAAGGUACAAAAACAGUCCACUGCAAACAUACAAAAUGCAAUAAGAUAAAGAUAGAUAGAUAGAUAGAUAAAUGAAGAUGUAAUAUUAACAACCCAAAAGCUUAUUCCACUUUUGGACCUUUAAUAUCACACACAACCUAAACCUAUCUCUUACGUGACCUUAAGGGAACCGGAAUCCCCAAGCAAUCUCUGUUUCUAAGUGAUUCAUCAACACAAGGAUUCCACCUUGCCCAAGGAUUUUACCUUGCUAAGAGGCUCUCAAAAGAGGCUACAAAUAUCAUCAAAAAUCAGCCCUAAAAUGACCUAAUAAGGUUAUAUUUAUAUCUAGGAAAACUUAUUACAAAUGAUCAAAAAAGCCUUGCAAAGGGGCAGAUGAAUAAUGAUGGAUGAACAGUAAUAGCUUUGGAGUGUGGGACUUGCUCUCUACACUUUAAAGCCUAUUCCUUGGAUGGGCAGCCCCACAAGAUGGGGUCUUCACUCACGUCUUCAUGUCCUCAAGUGCUAAAAUGCCUUUUUGACCCCUAUCAUCCUUCCCUCCUUAGAAAGGAUUCGUCCUCGAAUCCGAACCUUGCAAAAUGAUAGGAAGGACAAAAAAACAUAAUUUCCUCAAUGUAUGAGGGUUAGGGUUAGUGUAAUGAAUCAUAGCAUUAUGCCAAGGUUUCUCAAACUUCACGUAUACCCAAACAUCCCUCGAGUUCUCAAAAAUGAUACACCAAUCAUAGGAAACCCGAAUUACGUACAAGACAUGCUUAGCAUCAACAUAAUCAUGCUCACACAAUGCACAUAUGUCAUUCCCAAAUAUGGUUUGAAAUGAAUCAAUAUCACACCUUAAGUUAUCAAUGGGAUCAAAGGGGUAGGGUAUCUAUGGACAUGGAUGGAGGAUAUGCUUCUUUUCCCCGAGACUACCACCAAUACAAUCACAUAUUCCCUUUAUGCUAGGAUGAUCUACAACAAAAACAACUAGAGGUUAAUCUUUAGUCAAUCGAACAAAUUGUUCAACAUCACCAUUUUCACACAUAAGUUGGUUGUCAUGACUUCCAUAAGACAAUGUACUAUCACUUUCCACAAUGGAUUCAACACUAGGUGGAUCAACUAGUAUAUCUACAAUUUCAAGUUGUAAAUUAUCAUCACAAAAUAAAGGCACAUUCAGCUCACUUAAAGACAAACUAUCAUUCACACUAAGUUGGCUAUUAUCCUCAUUCACUAGAGUGCAAAAGUUAGUUUGAUUACCUUGUAGCUCAUGUGGAGCAUGGCCACUCACGAAAAUUUGAUUAGGAAGGCUUUGAUGCUCCAUCAAGUUAUCCAACUUCUUGCAAAGAGAGCCUUCCGUCCCUUCUAAUCUCCCUUCCAUUCUUUCCAUUAUUUGACCAUCGAUGGCAUCAAGCCUUGACAUGAUGGAUUUAACCCAACUAGGCAUUUCAGUUUCAUUCACCAUUGUACCUAUCAAGAUCUACUAAACAAACAUCACAAAAAUAUCAAACACGUUAAAAAAUUAGCAAAAAUUAGUCCGCAUGAUGUAUCAAAACAGUCCGCACACUCUCAAGCUCACGCUUUGGAAGUUUUCACUCUAUUGGCCUCACAAGUGUUGAUAACUCGCAUGUACUCCAAUGAGGUCACUUGGUUCCAACUGUGGCUAGAGGGGAUUAGAUUCUUGUUUUAAACGACUCAAAAAGUAAUGUACGAACUUGAACCAAAAAGAAUACUAUGACUCAAAAACGAGAAAAGCACACAACAAAUGCUAAACACGAAUGAACGAACACAAAGACUAACUAACAAUCUAGUAGAUGAGUACUAGUUUGCCAAUUAGUAUUGGAACCAAAGAAAUUGAAAGUAAGGAACAACAAAAGGAAACUAAGAAAUAUAAAAUUUGAGCCAAAAUUUGAUGAAUGAACAGUAUCUUGAUGAUGUGGCAGCCACGUAUUGGUCGCGGUUUCUACAAUUUUUAUUUUCCAAAGUCCAAUUCUUGACCAAUUUUAAUUUGGAUUGGUAGAAUUUGUUUCAAGGAGGGAAGAAUAAGUCUUGGAGCCUUUUUUUUUCAAGUUUCACAUUUCAAGACUUGACUUUUCUAGUACUUUUCCUUCAAACAUGGACCCUUGUUUCAUGGGAAAGUGGUUGAGAAGUGAUGUAAAGUCUUUAGUGUGUAGGAAAAGUCUUUGAGUCACAAGUACUACACCUUGAAACUUGGAUCNNNNNNNNNNNNNNNNNNNNNNNNNNNNNNNNNNNNNNNNNNNNNNNNNNNNNNNNNNNNNNNNNNNNNNNNNNNNNNNNNNNNNNNNNNNNNNNNNNNNNNNNNNNNNNNNNNNNNNNNNNNNNNNNNNNNNNNNNNNNNNNNNNNNNNNNNNNNNNNNNNNNNNNNNNNNNNNNNNNNNNNNNNNNNNNNNNNNNNNNNNNNNNNNNNNNNNNNNNNNNNNNNNNNNNNNNNNNNNNNNNNNNNNNNNNNNNNNNNNNNNNNNNNNNNNNNNNNNNNNNNNNNNNNNNNNNNNNNNNNNNNNNNNNNNNNNNNNNNNNNNNNNNNNNNNNNNNNNNNNNNNNNNNNNNNNNNNNNNNNNNNNNNNNNNNNNNNNNNNNNNNNNNNNNNNNNNNNNNNNNNNNNNNNNNNNNNNNNNNNNNNNNNNNNNNNNNNNNNNNNNNNNNNNNNNNNNNNNNNNNNNNNNNNNNNNNNNNNNNNNNNNNNNNNNNNNNNNNNNNNNNNNNNNNNNNNNNNNNNNNNNNNNNNNNNNNNNNNNNNNNNNNNNNNNNNNNNNNNNNNNNNNNNNNNNNNNNNNNNNNNNNNNNNNNNNNNNNNNNNNNNNNNNNNNNNNNNNNNNNNNNNNNNNNNNNNNNNNNNNNNNNNNNNNNNNNNNNNNNNNNNNNNNNNNNNNNNNNNNNNNNNNNNNNNNNNNNNNNNNNNNNNNNNNNNNNNNNNNNNNNNNNNNNNNNNNNNNNNNNNNNNNNNNNNNNNNNNNNNNNNNNNNNNNNNNNNNNNNNNNNNNNNNNNNNNNNNNNNNNNNNNNNNNNNNNNNNNNNNNNNNNNNNNNNNNNNNNNNNNNNNNNNNNNNNNNNNNNNNNNNNNNNNNNNNNNNNNNNNNNNNNNNNNNNNNNNNNNNNNNNNNNNNNNNNNNNNNNNNNNNNNNNNNNNNNNNNNNNNNNNNNNNNNNNNNNNNNNNNNNNNNNNNNNNNNNNNNNNNNNNNNNNNNNNNNNNNNNNNNNNNNNNNNNNNNNNNNNNNNNNNNNNNNNNNNNNNNNNNNNNNNNNNNNNNNNNNNNNNNNNNNNNNNNNNNNNNNNNNNNNNNNNNNNNNNNNNNNNNNNNNNNNNNNNNNNNNNNNNNNNNNNNNNNNNNNNNNNNNNNNNNNNNNNNNNNNNNNNNNNNNNNNNNNNNNNNNNNNNNNNNNNNNNNNNNNNNNNNNNNNNNNNNNNNNNNNNNNNNNNNNNNNNNNNNNNNNNNNNNNNNNNNNNNNNNNNNNNNNNNNNNNNNNNNNNNNNNNNNNNNNNNNNNNNNNNNNNNNNNNNNNNNNNNNNNNNNNNNNNNNNNNNNNNNNNNNNNNNNNNNNNNNNNNNNNNNNNNNNNNNNNNNNNNNNNNNNNNNNNNNNNNNNNNNNNNNNNNNNNNNNNNNNNNNNNNNNNNNNNNNNNNNNNNNNNNNNNNNNNNNNNNNNNNNNNNNNNNNNNNNNNNNNNNNNNNNNNNNNNNNNNNNNNNNNNNNNNNNNNNNNNNNNNNNNNNNNNNNNNNNNNNNNNNNNNNNNNNNNNNNNNNNNNNNNNNNNNNNNNNNNNNNNNNNNNNNNNNNNNNNNNNNNNNNNNNNNNNNNNNNNNNNNNNNNNNNNNNNNNNNNNNNNNNNNNNNNNNNNNNNNNNNNNNNNNNNNNNNNNNNNNNNNNNNNNNNNNNNNNNNNNNNNNNNNNNNNNNNNNNNNNNNNNNNNNNNNNNNNNNNNNNNNNNNNNNNNNNNNNNNNNNNNNNNNNNNNNNNNNNNNNNNNNNNNNNNNNNNNNNNNNNNNNNNNNNNNNNNNNNNNNNNNNNNNNNNNNNNNNNNNNNNNNNNNNNNNNNNNNNNNNNNNNNNNNNNNNNNNNNNNNNNNNNNNNNNNNNNNNNNNNNNNNNNNNNNNNNNNNNNNNNNNNNNNNNNNNNNNNNNNNNNNNNNNNNNNNNNNNNNNNNNNNNNNNNNNNNNNNNNNNNNNNNNNNNNNNNNNNNNNNNNNNNNNNNNNNNNNNNNNNNNNNNNNNNNNNNNNNNNNNNNNNNNNNNNNNNNNNNNNNNNNNNNNNNNNNNNNNNNNNNNNNNNNNNNNNNNNNNNNNNNNNNNNNNNNNNNNNNNNNNNNNNNNNNNNNNNNNNNNNNNNNNNNNNNNNNNNNNNNNNNNNNNNNNNNNNNNNNNNNNNNNNNNNNNNNNNNNNNNNNNNNNNNNNNNNNNNNNNNNNNNNNNNNNNNNNNNNNNNNNNNNNNNNNNNNNNNNNNNNNNNNNNNNNNNNNNNNNNNNNNNNNNNNNNNNNNNNNNNNNNNNNNNNNNNNNNNNNNNNNNNNNNNNNNNNNNNNNNNNNNNNNNNNNNNNNNNNNNNNNNNNNNNNNNNNNNNNNNNNNNNNNNNNNNNNNNNNNNNNNNNNNNNNNNNNNNNNNNNNNNNNNNNNNNNNNNNNNNNNNNNNNNNNNNNNNNNNNNNNNNNNNNNNNNNNNNNNNNNNNNNNNNNNNNNNNNNNNNNNNNNNNNNNNNNNNNNNNNNNNNNNNNNNNNNNNNNNNNNNNNNNNNNNNNNNNNNNNNNNNNNNNNNNNNNNNNNNNNNNNNNNNNNNNNNNNNNNNNNNNNNNNNNNNNNNNNNNNNNNNNNNNNNNNNNNNNNNNNNNNNNNNNNNNNNNNNNNNNNNNNNNNNNNNNNNNNNNNNNNNNNNNNNNNNNNNNNNNNNNNNNNNNNNNNNNNNNNNNNNNNNNNNNNNNNNNNNNNNNNNNNNNNNNNNNNNNNNNNNNNNNNNNNNNNNNNNNNNNNNNNNNNNNNNNNNNNNNNNNNNNNNNNNNNNNNNNNNNNNNNNNNNNNNNNNNNNNNNNNNNNNNNNNNNNNNNNNNNNNNNNNNNNNNNNNNNNNNNNNNNNNNNNNNNNNNNNNNNNNNNNNNNNNNNNNNNNNNNNNNNNNNNNNNNNNNNNNNNNNNNNNNNNNNNNNNNNNNNNNNNNNNNNNNNNNNNNNNNNNNNNNNNNNNNNNNNNNNNNNNNNNNNNNNNNNNNNNNNNNNNNNNNNNNNNNNNNNNNNNNNNNNNNNNNNNNNNNNNNNNNNNNNNNNNNNNNNNNNNNNNNNNNNNNNNNNNNNNNNNNNNNNNNNNNNNNNNNNNNNNNNNNNNNNNNNNNNNNNNNNNNNNNNNNNNNNNNNNNNNNNNNNNNNNNNNNNNNNNNNNNNNNNNNNNNNNNNNNNNNNNNNNNNNNNNNNNNNNNNNNNNNNNNNNNNNNNNNNNNNNNNNNNNNNNNNNNNNNNNNNNNNNNNNNNNNNNNNNNNNNNNNNNNNNNNNNNNNNNNNNNNNNNNNNNNNNNNNNNNNNNNNNNNNNNNNNNNNNNNNNNNNNNNNNNNNNNNNNNNNNNNNNNNNNNNNNNNNNNNNNNNNNNNNNNNNNNNNNNNNNNNNNNNNNNNNNNNNNNNNNNNNNNNNNNNNNNNNNNNNNNNNNNNNNNNNNNNNNNNNNNNNNNNNNNNNNNNNNNNNNNNNNNNNNNNNNNNNNNNNNNNNNNNNNNNNNNNNNNNNNNNNNNNNNNNNNNNNNNNNNNNNNNNNNNNNNNNNNNNNNNNNNNNNNNNNNNNNNNNNNNNNNNNNNNNNNNNNNNNNNNNNNNNNNNNNNNNNNNNNNNNNNNNNNNNNNNNNNNNNNNNNNNNNNNNNNNNNNNNNNNNNNNNNNNNNNNNNNNNNNNNNNNNNNNNNNNNNNNNNNNNNNNNNNNNNNNNNNNNNNNNNNNNNNNNNNNNNNNNNNNNNNNNNNNNNNNNNNNNNNNNNNNNNNNNNNNNNNNNNNNNNNNNNNNNNNNNNNNNNNNNNNNNNNNNNNNNNNNNNNNNNNNNNNNNNNNNNNNNNNNNNNNNNNNNNNNNNNNNNNNNNNNNNNNNNNNNNNNNNNNNNNNNNNNNNNNNNNNNNNNNNNNNNNNNNNNNNNNNNNNNNNNNNNNNNNNNNNNNNNNNNNNNNNNNNNNNNNNNNNNNNNNNNNNNNNNNNNNNNNNNNNNNNNNNNNNNNNNNNNNNNNNNNNNNNNNNNNNNNNNNNNNNNNNNNNNNNNNNNNNNNNNNNNNNNNNNNNNNNNNNNNNNNNNNNNNNNNNNNNNNNNNNNNNNNNNNNNNNNNNNNNNNNNNNNNNNNNNNNNNNNNNNNNNNNNNNNNNNNNNNNNNNNNNNNNNNNNNNNNNNNNNNNNNNNNNNNNNNNNNNNNNNNNNNNNNNNNNNNNNNNNNNNNNNNNNNNNNNNNNNNNNNNNNNNNNNNNNNNNNNNNNNNNNNNNNNNNNNNNNNNNNNNNNNNNNNNNNNNNNNNNNNNNNNNNNNNNNNNNNNNNNNNNNNNNNNNNNNNNNNNNNNNNNNNNNNNNNNNNNNNNNNNNNNNNNNNNNNNNNNNNNNNNNNNNNNNNNNNNNNNNNNNNNNNNNNNNNNNNNNNNNNNNNNNNNNNNNNNNNNNNNNNNNNNNNNNNNNNNNNNNNNNNNNNNNNNNNNNNNNNNNNNNNNNNNNNNNNNNNNNNNNNNNNNNNNNNNNNNNNNNNNNNNNNNNNNNNNNNNNNNNNNNNNNNNNNNNNNNNNNNNNNNNNNNNNNNNNNNNNNNNNNNNNNNNNNNNNNNNNNNNNNNNNNNNNNNNNNNNNNNNNNNNNNNNNNNNNNNNNNNNNNNNNNNNNNNNNNNNNNNNNNNNNNNNNNNNNNNNNNNNNNNNNNNNNNNNNNNNNNNNNNNNNNNNNNNNNNNNNNNNNNNNNNNNNNNNNNNNNNNNNNNNNNNNNNNNNNNNNNNNNNNNNNNNNNNNNNNNNNNNNNNNNNNNNNNNNNNNNNNNNNNNNNNNNNNNNNNNNNNNNNNNNNNNNNNNNNNNNNNNNNNNNNNNNNNNNNNNNNNNNNNNNNNNNNNNNNNNNNNNNNNNNNNNNNNNNNNNNNNNNNNNNNNNNNNNNNNNNNNNNNNNNNNNNNNNNNNNNNNNNNNNNNNNNNNNNNNNNNNNNNNNNNNNNNNNNNNNNNNNNNNNNNNNNNNNNNNNNNNNNNNNNNNNNNNNNNNNNNNNNNNNNNNNNNNNNNNNNNNNNNNNNNNNNNNNNNNNNNNNNNNNNNNNNNNNNNNNNNNNNNNNNNNNNNNNNNNNNNNNNNNNNNNNNNNNNNNNNNNNNNNNNNNNNNNNNNNNNNNNNNNNNNNNNNNNNNNNNNNNNNNNNNNNNNNNNNNNNNNNNNNNNNNNNNNNNNNNNNNNNNNNNNNNNNNNNNNNNNNNNNNNNNNNNNNNNNNNNNNNNNNNNNNNNNNNNNNNNNNNNNNNNNNNNNNNNNNNNNNNNNNNNNNNNNNNNNNNNNNNNNNNNNNNNNNNNNNNNNNNNNNNNNNNNNNNNNNNNNNNNNNNNNNNNNNNNNNNNNNNNNNNNNNNNNNNNNNNNNNNNNNNNNNNNNNNNNNNNNNNNNNNNNNNNNNNNNNNNNNNNNNNNNNNNNNNNNNNNNNNNNNNNNNNNNNNNNNNNNNNNNNNNNNNNNNNNNNNNNNNNNNNNNNNNNNNNNNNNNNNNNNNNNNNNNNNNNNNNNNNNNNNNNNNNNNNNNNNNNNNNNNNNNNNNNNNNNNNNNNNNNNNNNNNNNNNNNNNNNNNNNNNNNNNNNNNNNNNNNNNNNNNNNNNNNNNNNNNNNNNNNNNNNNNNNNNNNNNNNNNNNNNNNNNNNNNNNNNNNNNNNNNNNNNNNNNNNNNNNNNNNNNNNNNNNNNNNNNNNNNNNNNNNNNNNNNNNNNNNNNNNNNNNNNNNNNNNNNNNNNNNNNNNNNNNNNNNNNNNNNNNNNNNNNNNNNNNNNNNNNNNNNNNNNNNNNNNNNNNNNNNNNNNNNNNNNNNNNNNNNNNNNNNNNNNNNNNNNNNNNNNNNNNNNNNNNNNNNNNNNNNNNNNNNNNNNNNNNNNNNNNNNNNNNNNNNNNNNNNNNNNNNNNNNNNNNNNNNNNNNNNNNNNNNNNNNNNNNNNNNNNNNNNNNNNNNNNNNNNNNNNNNNNNNNNNNNNNNNNNNNNNNNNNNNNNNNNNNNNNNNNNNNNNNNNNNACCAUGUACAACCUGUUCCAACAAUAAGAAUAACAAGAUAUAUUACUAGACAACAGGUUGCAGAACAACCUGUCACAACUAGGAUCACAACCAGACCACAACCAGUUGCUCAACAAGACCAAAGAAAAUCUACCCGGGGUUCAAAUCCUCCUGCAUGGAUGAAAUAUUUUGUAUCAUUGACUAUCAACGACAAUGUUUUAUACCCUUUAUCUAAUUAUAUUUCUUAUGAUAAUAUAUCUACUAAGUAUCAAUGCUACCUAUCCAAUUUUUCUAACAUUGUGGAGCCUACCUCUUAUGCAGAAGCAAUAAAGGAUCCAAGAUGGGUAGAUGCUAUGCAAACUGAAAUGGCUGCACUUCAAAAAAACAAUACCUAGUAAGAAGUUGAUCUUCCAGCAGGUAAGUAACCUAUAGGGUGCAAAUGGAUCUACAAGAUCAAGUAUAAGCCUUAGGAAAAGUAGAAAGAUUUUAGGCAAGACUAGUUGCAAAAGGUUUUAGUCAGAAAGAAGGCAUAGACUACCAAGAAACAUUUUGUCCAGUGGCAAAAAUGGUCACAUUUAGAAUAGUUAUUGCUACCAAAACUCCCCAAGAACACACGAAAAAAACACCAAUCAGUCCACUAGUUUAAGAACUAUAGACCCUUUUGAUGACCUAUCUCGGAUUCGCAAGAGGAACAAGAAAGGAAGUGAUAUCAAGAGUAAACACACUAAAAAAAAGCAAAAACACGUGAUGAACAAGAUGAACACAAGAACACAACUUUCAGAUUCAACAAGGUACAAAAACAGUCCACUGCAAACAUACAAAAUGCAAUAAGAUAAAGAUAGAUAGAUAGAUAGAUAAAUGAAGAUGUAAUAUUAACAACCCAAAAGCUUAUUCCACUUUUGGACCUUUAAUAUCACACACAACCUAAACCUAUCUCUUACGUGACCUUAAGGGAACCGGAAUCCCCAAGCAAUCUCUGUUUCUAAGUGAUUCAUCAACACAAGGAUUCCACCUUGCCCAAGGAUUUUACCUUGCUAAGAGGCUCUCAAAAGAGGCUACAAAUAUCAUCAAAAAUCAGCCCUAAAAUGACCUAAUAAGGUUAUAUUUAUAUCUAGGAAAACUUAUUACAAAUGAUCAAAAAAGCCUUGCAAAGGGGCAGAUGAAUAAUGAUGGAUGAACAGUAAUAGCUUUGGAGUGUGGGACUUGCUCUCUACACUUUAAAGCCUAUUCCUUGGAUGGGCAGCCCCACAAGAUGGGGUCUUCACUCACGUCUUCAUGUCCUCAAGUGCUAAAAUGCCUUUUUGACCCCUAUCAUCCUUCCCUCCUUAGAAAGGAUUCGUCCUCGAAUCCGAACCUUGCAAAAUGAUAGGAAGGACAAAAAAACAUAAUUUCCUCAAUGUAUGAGGGUUAGGGUUAGUGUAAUGAAUCAUAGCAUUAUGCCAAGGUUUCUCAAACUUCACGUAUACCCAAACAUCCCUCGAGUUCUCAAAAAUGAUACACCAAUCAUAGGAAACCCGAAUUACGUACAAGACAUGCUUAGCAUCAACAUAAUCAUGCUCACACAAUGCACAUAUGUCAUUCCCAAAUAUGGUUUGAAAUGAAUCAAUAUCACACCUUAAGUUAUCAAUGGGAUCAAAGGGGUAGGGUAUCUAUGGACAUGGAUGGAGGAUAUGCUUCUUUUCCCCGAGACUACCACCAAUACAAUCACAUAUUCCCUUUAUGCUAGGAUGAUCUACAACAAAAACAACUAGAGGUUAAUCUUUAGUCAAUCGAACAAAUUGUUCAACAUCACCAUUUUCACACAUAAGUUGGUUGUCAUGACUUCCAUAAGACAAUGUACUAUCACUUUCCACAAUGGAUUCAACACUAGGUGGAUCAACUAGUAUAUCUACAAUUUCAAGUUGUAAAUUAUCAUCACAAAAUAAAGGCACAUUCAGCUCACUUAAAGACAAACUAUCAUUCACACUAAGUUGGCUAUUAUCCUCAUUCACUAGAGUGCAAAAGUUAGUUUGAUUACCUUGUAGCUCAUGUGGAGCAUGGCCACUCACGAAAAUUUGAUUAGGAAGGCUUUGAUGCUCCAUCAAGUUAUCCAACUUCUUGCAAAGAGAGCCUUCCGUCCCUUCUAAUCUCCCUUCCAUUCUUUCCAUUAUUUGACCAUCGAUGGCAUCAAGCCUUGACAUGAUGGAUUUAACCCAACUAGGCAUUUCAGUUUCAUUCACCAUUGUACCUAUCAAGAUCUACUAAACAAACAUCACAAAAAUAUCAAACACGUUAAAAAAUUAGCAAAAAUUAGUCCGCAUGAUGUAUCAAAACAGUCCGCACACUCUCAAGCUCACGCUUUGGAAGUUUUCACUCUAUUGGCCUCACAAGUGUUGAUAACUCGCAUGUACUCCAAUGAGGUCACUUGGUUCCAACUGUGGCUAGAGGGGAUUAGAUUCUUGUUUUAAACGACUCAAAAAGUAAUGUACGAACUUGAACCAAAAAGAAUACUAUGACUCAAAAACGAGAAAAGCACACAACAAAUGCUAAACACGAAUGAACGAACACAAAGACUAACUAACAAUCUAGUAGAUGAGUACUAGUUUGCCAAUUAGUAUUGGAACCAAAGAAAUUGAAAGUAAGGAACAACAAAAGGAAACUAAGAAAUAUAAAAUUUGAGCCAAAAUUUGAUGAAUGAACAGUAUCUUGAUGAUGUGGCAGCCACGUAUUGGUCGCGGUUUCUACAAUUUUUAUUUUCCAAAGUCCAAUUCUUGACCAAUUUUAAUUUGGAUUGGUAGAAUUUGUUUCAAGGAGGGAAGAAUAAGUCUUGGAGCCUUUUUUUUUCAAGUUUCACAUUUCAAGACUUGACUUUUCUAGUACUUUUCCUUCAAACAUGGACCCUUGUUUCAUGGGAAAGUGGUUGAGAAGUGAUGUAAAGUCUUUAGUGUGUAGGAAAAGUCUUUGAGUCACAAGUACUACACCUUGAAACUUGGAUCUAUGUCUUGCAAGACUAACACAAUACAAACUCUUGUUCUUCAACUUCUAAGAUCAAUAACCAUUUUUUUCAACAAGGAGAUGGUGAAGAACACCAAGAACACAAACUUUGAGUCUUGAAGUUCUAAGGUUCAAGUUGGACCUCCCAAACAACAAUAAUAACUUCCCAAGCUUAAAUUCAACAACACAAAUUCCACAAUACACGUUCAAAACUUGAACUAACAACACAUCACACGUUCAAGUCUUGAACCCACAACAACAAUACCAACAACAAUCGGCCACACUUUGUUUACAUUAACAACAUCAACAUUUCAAGCUAAAAUAUAAGAUAUAGACUCAACGUGUUAGUGAAGAACAAAACUAACACUUAGAGACAACAAAGACAAGUAAAAAUAUUGGUCAAUACACAACAAAAACACAAUUUUUGGCCAAGAAAACAAAAUGGACAGAUUGAUAUUUUUCUGAAAUCUUCAAAUCUCAAAUUUUUAUUUUUAUUUUCAAGUGAGCUAGCCCAAGAUUUGAUCUUGUAAGAACAAUAUUAAUCUAUGCUCUGAUACCAAAUGAUACCAAAACUCCCCAAGAACACACGAAACAAACAUCAAUCAGUCCACUAGCUCAAGAACUAUGAACCCUUUUGAUGACCUAUCUCAGAUUUGCAAGAAGAACAAGAAAGGAAGUGAUAUCAAGAGUAAAUACACUAAAAAAAUAGCAAAAACACAUGAUGAACAAGAUGAACACAAGAACACAACUUUUGGAUUCAACAAGGUACAAAAAUAGUCCACUACAAACAUACAAAAUGCAAUAAGAUAAAGAUAGAUAGAUAGACAAAUGAAGAUGUAAUAUUAACAACCCAAAAGCUUAUUCCACUUUUGGACCUUUAAUAUCAUACACAAACUAAAUUGUAAUGUCCCAAUUUUCUGAAUUGAAAUGCUACACGGUGCUCAUGAUCCCAAGGGACCACAAGCUAACCCAUGACUGAUAUCUGUACCUGUACACUACAUAUAUAACAAAAUAAUGCGGAAAACAUGAACAUGUAGGCCAUAAGGUUCAACUAAAUACAGAAUCUGUCAAAACAUAAUAUCCAUAUGGGUGAAAAAUACCCAAAAUAGUUGAAAACUAAAUCAAAUCUGAACAUAAAUAUGAAUACUAAAUCUGAAAGCCUCUAAGUACUGUCUGAAUAAGAAGUUAAAGGAACAUGUCUCCAACUAACUCCAUAAACUGAUAACGGGCUAAAAUAAUAAUGAAUAAAUCAAAUCAUAUUGUCCUCGAAUGAAGAAGAAUCACUGAAUAUCUACGACUGGAAAUGCUCCUGCUAAUGCUGAUCUGGAGCUCGUGUCUCUGAACCUAUGGAAUAAUAUGAAAAGAAAUCACCAUAGCGCAAAUGUGUCAGUACGAUGGAAUGUACUGAGUAUACAAGUGAGGUAGGCUAAAUAUAAAUAGGGUUUACAUGCAUGAACAAUGCCAACUGUCUGACUGAUAUGAACGUAAAAGUACAAAUAUACAUACAUAGUAACUGAAAUUGUGGGUGCAUGAUAGUUAUUCCUGCAUGCUAAUACAUGGUUUACUGAUGGCUAAUAUGACUGAUACUAAAAUUUUGAUAACAUGGGCGACUGUAUCUGACAAUCCUGAAUCUGAUUGAAUUAUCUGAGCUCCGUACUAUAACUGAGUCUGACUGUAUCUGACAGUCCUGAUAUAUGAAAUCUGAAGACCUAUUUGAGUUCUUUUACUGAGAAUAAUUCUAAAACUGUGGGAGGUAGUUGUUUAACCAACACGCCCUAAUAAUGCAUAUAACUAAGUUAGGGUCUAAUCUCUGCCCUGACUGGAGGGGUGUCAAUACCGCGCCACUGGUAAGGACAGUUGUGAGUGACCCUUAGAGGGCAGGUAUUCGAAAGGAGAAUGGUGAGAACCCUAAACUGACAGGUUAAGCCACCUCAUCAACCCUAAUCUAAAAGGCUAAGAUGUCUCAACCUACGCUGGCUACGUAGUUCUAGAACACAAGGAUGACUGCUGAGAAUCACACCCUAAACUAGUAGGUGAGUUUCCAUCCUUGGGUUUACUCGAUGCUAAGUUCUACUCCCAUCUGAAGAGACUAAACAUGAUUCAAAUGACUGUACAUGGACAGAUUAACUGACUUCCGUUGACUGAUGGAGUAGUACUAUUAUCUAAGAGUUAACUGAAAUCAUGAGAUUUUGAGGUUUCCUGAGUCACAUGACUGACUGAGUUCUAUAGAUUAUAGCUUGACUGAGAUUAUCGUGACAACAUGACAUGGCUCUAGGCACACAGCUAUGUUUUUUGGGUAAGAAUACCCCCAAGACUCCAUAAAAGAAAACUGACACACAUGACAUAACUUGAUCACAAGAUUUGAGUCUACAAUUCAUAAUCAUAAGUAGGGGACAUCAUAUUUCAUAUAGUUAUUCUACAUCUUAAACAUUGUAGGGAAUGCAUGGAUAUAUUUUGUGCACAUAUUGUAUAUCUCCAUUAUCUUACAUGCUUCAUACCACCACAAUAGCAACACAUGAAAAGCAUGGAAUUCAUAUUGAAGUAUAUAGCUAACAUGGACUUCUCAUUUAGACAUCAUAGAAUCAUGCAAAAAUGAAUUUCUGGCAUCCUAAGCAUUUUAUCAAACACCUUGCAUGCAUUCUUUAAGGCAUAGGUGGGUUUUAUACUUGUACCAUAUUAAACCACCUAAAGUUCAUGGUUUUCAAUUAACAAACAUAUAUAUUCCAUGAAAACACUUUUAAUCACAUUGAAAAUUAAACAACAAUCAUCAACAUGUACAUACUCAUAUCACCAUAAAAAGUUUACAAAAUAAUAUUUAAAACAUGGUUCUUGAGCUCUAUGAAUGGAUUGGAUCCAUAGAUAAACACUACGCAUACCUUAGAAAGGAAACCUUGAUGAUUUGCUGGAGAGUUCUUGAAUUGGGAAAAUUAAUUAUCGAUUAUCUUGAAAAAAAGGCUUGAAUCUUGGUUUGGAGAGAUGAGUUUGAUGGAAACCCUAAUCUUGUAGCUGAGAGCGUAAGAAAGGGUUUUUGAGUUGCUUAACUGAAGAAAAAUGGAAAAAAUUACACCUCUUUAGGGUUAUAUGUCAUGAAAGGUGAAGGAAAUAACCAAAAUACCCUUAUGAAAUAAAUUUCCAGUUGCUGAAAAAUCAUAGCUAAUGACCUUCGUGAUAGGGCAUCACAAAUGUGAUAAGCUAUCACAAAUGUCUUCACUUAGGAGCUGGUUUCUACCUAAGGCUGACGACCUUCGUGAUAGGGCAUCACAAAUGUGAUAAUCUAUCAUGAAUGUCGUCACACUAUUUCCAGCCUGACAUGCUGGAGUAAAAUAGGAAUAACUCUUUUCUUCGAUAUCGAAUUUAGGAGAAAUGGGUAUAGUUGGAAAGGUAAUUCAAUUAUAUGUCUGUUGAUAGGUCAUGAGCUGAAAAAUUCCAAGUAUAAUGAGAUAUGUUCUCAUUUGAAGUUGACUAUACCAAUAUUCUUCUCAAGAAUUCAAUCGGUAAGGAAUGUUUGGAUUCGUCUGAUAGCUGGGAGUUAUUUGAAGCCUUAAUAUACAUCUAACUUACUCAUAAAACUAUAAAAUAACCAUGAUGUACUAUGCAUGAGCUUGGUACAUGGCUCUAAUAUUGGUUUGGAUUUUUCAGGGUAUUACAUAAACCUAUCUCUUACGUGACCUCAAGGGAAUCGUAAUCCCCAAGCAAUCUCUGUUUCUAAGCGAUUCAUCAACACAAGGAUUCCAUUGCCAAAACCCUUGAUUUUUUUAUUCAGGUAUAUUAUAUUACACUGGCCUAGUGUCAUGUGGCAUAUCAAAAUUAGAAACUCCAACCUUAGCGGCACACUCGGGUUGGGGGCUUCCUCGAGUCAAUGGCGGAUUCCAUACGGCCCAUGGGAUUUUAGAAUUGUAGGGGUGUACCACCUAACUCAGAAUUAAUACAAAGAUCAUAAACUGCAUUGUCAAUAAUGAUUUAUAAUUUUUCAGAAAGGUGCCCAUGUGUUUUGAAAACUAUUUUAUGUAUGAUGUUUUGACAAAUUUCUAUCCAUUAUUUUAUUUAUAUAAAACCUUUAUUUUUGGAUUACUUUGCAUACCAGUACAUCUGUAUUGACUCUCUCCCCCUCCCUCCAAGUUCUGAGGAUCAGUCUAGGGGUCCAGAUAAAUGGUAGAUAAUUCAGACAGUAGAUCAGGUUGUGCAGUGGUAAGCCUUCUCUAUUUUAGAAGUCCUGUUCUUUCAGAUUAUGUCCUUUAUUAUAGUUUUGGUCUACUAAGGGCCUUGUCCCAAUUUCAGACAGUUGUUAUUUAAUCAUGUAGUAGAGAUUUUGCAGACGGUGUUUGGUUGAUAUUGGAUUUUAUUCCUUAUUAUUAAACUAAAUUUAGAUAUUACCAUGUUUUCGUAGCAAAAUUUAUUUCUACAUUUCCUAUUUAUAUAUAUAUAUAUAUAUAUAUAUAUAUAAUUACAAUUUUGAAGGGCUCUUGGGCCUUCAUGGUUUGGGAUGUACGUCACGGCCAGGGCCCCGAUUCAGGUCGUGAAAAACUUAGUAUCAAAGCACGGUUCAUGGUCCUACGGUGUCUGCGAAAUUGCAUUGGGUAGAGUCUUGUUUAUGGGUGUGUAGUGCGCCACACUUAUAAGCAGGAGGCUACUAGGCGUUUAGGAGUGUCUCCCUUUCAUCAUGUUCUAGUUCAUGCUAUGGAGUUAGAAUAUUCCUCUUUCUUACUCUAAUUCGUUCUAUGGUGUCGCCCAUACGAAAGUAAUAGUCAUCCUUAUUUUUUCCUUACUAUGAUGUUCUCAGACAUGUCUCAUUAUUGGGGUGAUUCAAGUGCAAAAGUUUAGAGUUUCAAUGGUAUGGUCCUUUCUGAUUGAGCUAUAUAACAUUUUGAAAUUGUGAAAGGAAUUAUGAAGAGUCCAUUAGUGCUUGAGGUUGUAUUAAUUCUAGUGUGAACCUUGAUCUUGAUAAAAUCGUGCUUUUCAGCCAGCGAUAUUAAGUGUAUUCAGUCUUUUAUUCAAAAAUUUAUGUUGCAGAUGUCAUGCUUUUGGGAGGAUUAUGUAUAGCAGAAUGUUGGAACUGUAUUUCCACCUGAGUAGUAGUAUAAGUUAAGUGUCGGUGUCAUGACCUAUUGGUAGUGAUGUUGGACCAAGAAGUUGGUGAUGUGAAGUCACAAAGUUAGAAGUUAGAGUGAGGGUGACUUUUGUGUAAAUAAUAUUUUAUUUGCAUAACCAAUGUUGGAGGAUGAUCUACCCCUUUAUAGUGAUAAACUAAUGUGGUAGCUCGUAGCAUGUGUGUAUUGCAUGGUAGUCUGUGGGGGAAGUGUUUGACUCAGAUUUUAUUUAUACAGAGUAAGAUGUGUAUUCUUAGAUCAUUGAUUAUUGUGUGUCAAGUUUCUAACUCCUGUAAUCUUGUUAUCAUUGUAUUAUUGAAACUCAAAGUCUAGUGAAGCCGUGUGGGGCUCUUUCGAUUCACUAGCAUAGUUUCCUUGUCAUUCAUCUCAUUUCCUUAUUCAAAACACAAAAAUCAAAGUCUAGUGAAGUCGUGUGAGACCUAUUUUGAUUCACUAGCAACUUGUUGUUCAUCUUGUUGUUCUUGUGUUGGUUGGAACUGGGGUUUUAAAGGCGUAAUGGAAAGAAAAGUAGUAAGGGCUAUUUAUUGAAUAUAUGUUUAGCCAAUUUUUUUUUCAUGAGACUGAGUUAGUAAUGAAGUGAUACAUCCUUGUAUGUUAGUUUAGUAGAAGACAGAGAAGGAGUUAUUAGUCAAGGUGAAUUGUUGGUUGCCUGAAGUACGAAAAUGACUAGCUUGGCCAGUAAGUUAUAAUUAUAGACUCGUGGUUGUUUAUGGAAUCUGAAGGUAGUCUAAAUGUACGCUUGGGUAAGUAAGUGUGAUGUGGGAAAGAUGUAUAAUUAGAUAAGAUCGUACGGGGUUAUAAUAUAAGAUUAACGUUGACCAUGUCUACUAUGUGACUUUACCCCCCCCCCCCCCUUUCCUUCUUUUCGUUGGUAGUUGUAAACUAGUACUACUUGUGAGAAGGUAUGUAGUAGAUUUUUGAGGUAUUUGGAUGGAAUAUCCCAAUUUGAUGGACUAGUAUAUUGUGUUGCAUUCUUCAUCGAAGGUAAAUGAUUGAUGUUAGACUAUAGGCUUAAAUUUAAUGUAGGCUAUGACGGAAGUAGUAUGGUUCAUCAAAGGCUUGGUGAGAUCCAUGCUAAGUGUUAGAAUCUAAGUUUGAGUUUUUAAAGAUUGAGCUAAUAGAAAUAAGAGUUGAGGAACUAGAAGGUGUACACUCCGACUAUAGGGAUACUUGUGAAGACCCGAAGUUAGUAAGUGUGCAAGUAUUAUAUGAUGACAAUUGAUGGCUAUAGAAAGAUAAAGUGUAUCUUAGAAGGUAGUACUUUUCACUUUUAGGUGUAUUCAUUCGGUUUAAGUUUUAUGAUAUGCGUGUAUGGUCAUUUUCCAGACCCCGGAGUGCAAUGAGUGUAGUUCAGUUUAAAGUCUAAAAAGAGAUCUAUCAAACUUAAGUGGUGGCUUGAAGCUAAGGGGGAGAUGAUAGAUCAAAUAACCAAGUCAGGCUCUCAGAUUCUGAUAGUAAUGCCAGUGUGACAUAGAACAUUAGAAAGUGAGGGUGAGACUCAACCCAUUCUCAUCUCAGUAUUUUUCAGCUAUCCCAAUACCUACUCAUGCUUUGCGUUUCGGUUCAAUCAUCAUAGUUCCUGUUCAUGUAUAUGAUAGAGAAUCACGUGCUCUUCCAGUUCCUAAAUGAGAAAUUAUAGUUCAUUCAAUAGUCGGGAUCACAUUCCAUAAGUUAUGAACUCCAAAUUGAGGUCAUAUAGCUCAUAACUCGUGUACUCACGCUUUAUAGUUUGCUUAGUACCUAUAACUUAUGCUAUACACCUAAUGAUUGGCAAGGUUGAACCAUAUGGAAGAAUAAGCGAUGCACCCCUUGUUGUGUCCGAAAUAUAGAAUGAAAUAGAGGUAAGAUUAGCAAGUUGCUUCAGUUGUGUACCCUUUAUUUUCUCUUUACUCUUAGUAUACCCAACGUCAUUCGAGGACGAAUGUCCCCAAGGGGGAGAUAUUGUGAUGCCCCGCACUUUUCUAAGCUAGAAAACGAACUAUUGUUCGUAUAUGAGAAAACCCCAAUUUUGUAAGCCAUAUUUGGGAACCUAAACUACCAAGAGUACCCUAGUUAUAAGAGAGCUUAUGAUGUGUUAAGUGUGGUUAUAUGAGUCACUUAAGGUAGUACAAGCUAAGAGUUUUGAAAUCCAUCAAGUUUUAAUGUUUGAAUUUGCAAGGGUCAUCUUUGAAUGAGCAUAACUUGAUAAAUAUGUGGUAUUUCUGCAUAUUUCUACCCACAAAAUUAUAGAGAAUCGAAUUAGCUUUCCAAAGAUACCAAUUUCACCAAAAUCCGACACCCGAGCUAGGAGUUAUGGCUUUGCGAAGAAGAGUGCGUCGCCUAACCAAUCGCACAUGCACACUGGAAAGCAUAUGCGGCGCCUAUGUAAAUAUAGGAGAUAUCAUAUGCGGCGCCUAUGUAAAUAUAGACGAUAUCAUAUGUGGCGCCUAUGUAAAUAUAUGCGAUAUCAUAUGUGGCACAUAUCUAAUGGUUUCAAGUGACUUAAACACUCUGUUUUUGGGUUAUUUUGAGGGCAAUUAAGUCUUUUGGCACUCCUUACACACCCCUAAACUUAACCUUAUGAAACGAGUUACGGAUUUUAUCAUUUUUUUAACUUAAGAAAUAUGAGAUUACCCUUAAAAUGGAUUUUUCUUGAGAUUUUUUAGCAUAAUAUUGGGAGUAAUAUUUAGCACCGAGUUGGGUAUGUUACUACGGUUUCAUACCCUAGAACUACGUGCCAUCGUAGGUUGAGACAUUGACUUCCACUAUAUGUAGAAAAUUGAGAUAGGGAUCACUGAGAUGAGAUUGUUCUACACCGAUGGAAAGGGUAGGACAGCCCUAACCUUACGGGGGCAAGUCGUGGGACAUCAUGGGUGCUCACAUGGUGUACAUGUCGGUUAAAAGAACCUCCCAAAGAGUCAUCCCUCAUUCUUAGAUUGUUUUUACUGAUUUAAAAGAGAUUUGAAAUACAGAUUUAGGAUGUAUUCAAUAUUCCAGAUUUCACUAAGAUUUCUUGAUGAGAGAAUAAGAAAAGAAUCUUGAUAUUUGGAUUAAGUGUAAUGACUCAUGAUAUCUAGAUUGGCAUAUUUUACCAUUCAUUGUGUAUGAUUUCAGAUUUUAGAUUUCUUUCAAGCUUUAUGAGCCAUUUACAAAUGUCCUGCAUGAUUUGGAAAGAAAACUUAUGACAUGAUCGUUAAAUAUAUAUAUAUAUAUACAUAUAUGCAUAUAAAUAUGUUUAUUUCAUGCACCCCCAUGUACUCGGUACAUAUUCCAUGGUACUGACCCAUAUGUUCGCAUGUGGACUACAUUUUUCCUAUAAUGUAGGUUCAGGUGCUCAUUCCCAGGUUUGAUCGUGAUUAUCCGAGCAUGUAGAUCUACAUCCUCUGCAGUGGUGAGUCGUCAUGGUCCGAGGACUGGUUAUUUAGAUUUCCUCAUUUACUUUGAGUCGUUCAGUUUAUUUCCUGAGUUCGGGUCAGUUGGAGUUUGUCCCAAUGGCUCAUGGAUAUAUAGUUUAGUAGAGGCUUGUCACACUAGAUGGAUAGAUUGAUCAGAUUUGUUAGAGACAUCGUAUUUUGUUACUUUUCGUAUUUCAUUCGUAUUGCAGUAUGAUAUUAUGGAGGAUGUUUUGAUUAUGAUGACUUUGAUUAGUGUUGAAUGGUAGAAAAAUGGCUAAAAGGGUUAGCUUGGGGAUACUUGUAGCCUUAAGCACCGUGUGACGCCUCGGGACCCAUUUUCGGGGGGUUACAGCUAUAUCCUUUCUUAGAAGACAUAUCAUGUCCAUGUUAUUCCAUACCUUAAAGACUUUAACAUUCCUACUGUAAUGCCCCAAUUUUUUAAAUCGGAAUGCUACACGGUAAUCAUGACCCGAAGGACCACAAGCUAACCCAUGACUGGUAUUUAUACAUGUAUACUGCAUAAAACACUGUAUAAUGCAGAAACAUGUACUGAAAGGCCAUAAGGUUCAAAUCUGAAUAAACAUCUGAUAAGAACAAUGUCUGAAAAAUGGUAUAACAAUACCAAAACAAAUUUGAAAUAACUAUCUGACAUGCUAUAGUCUGAAAUCCUCUAAUUAUCUAAAUAAGGAGUUGAUGGGACAUGUCCCCAAGUAACUCCAAAUACUGAAAUAAACUGAAAACUGCAAUAGUAAUGAAAUCAUCAUGUCCUCGAAAGAUGAGGACUCACUUCUAACUCUGACUGCUGAGACUGGAAUCUACUACUAAUCUGGAGCUUGUGCCUCUGAACCUAUGGCGUAAGAUAAAACACCAUAGCACAAAUGUGCCAGUAUGUCUGAAUGUACUGAGUAUACGAGUGAGGUAGGCUAAAUUCAAAGGGUUAUAUGCAUGAACAAUGCUGACUGAUAUGAACGUGAGAAUACAUACAUGCAUCGAUAACUAUAACUGAACUCGUGUUGAUAUUGACUACUAUGUCUGAAUACUGACAACAUAAGUUUGCUAGUGCUGAAUAGAUGAAUGACUAUUUCUGACAGUACGAAUUAUGAAGAACUAGUCUGAUUGAUUGUGUCUAACAGUUUUGAAAUUGAAUACUGAUAACGUAAGCUAUGAUGACUAAUAUAGCUGAUAUGACUAUGAUGGUCAGCAUGACCGAUGUAACUGAUACUGAGCAAAUGUAUCUGAUAGUCUAAGUUCUGAUGGAACUAUCUGAGUUUCGUACUAUAUCUGAUUAACUGAAUUUGAGAUCAGUCCAAUCAGUGGAUUUGACUUAGUCUGAGAUCAGUCCUAUCAAGCGGGUGAUCUUUAAAUCUGAUGAUUUAAAUACUGAUUGACCAUAGUUGAGAUCAGUCCAAUCUAAUGGGUGAUCCCUAAGUCUAAUGAUAAUGAUAAGGAUUGACCGUAUCUAACAGUCCUGAAUCAAUACUACUGAGCUGAAUUGACUAUACCAGACAGUCCUAAAUCUGUAACUAAAACUGUGGGAUGUAUUCAUCUAACCAAUAUGCACCAUGCUAAGCUAAUUGGGGGUCCAAUCUCUACCCUGAUUAGAAGGGAGUCAAUACCGUGCCACCAGUAAAGACAACUGCUAUGGAUUCAGUCCUAAUCUAACGGGUAACCCCUAGGAUUAGUCCUAUACAUAUAAAUAUGCUAACUAGUGAUCCCUGAGUAUGUUAGCCCUAUCUAAUGGGUGACAUCUCGUACCUACGCUGGCUAUGUAGUUCUGAAACUUAGGGAUUGCUUCUAGGGAUCUCAGUCCUAUCUAGCGGGUGAGUCCCUAUCCCUAGGCUCACUCAGUGCUGAAUCCUUCUCCUAACUAAAAGAACACAGUUUUGAUUAAUUAAACUGAACUAGACUGAGUUUACUGAGUUCUGUGACUGAUGGAAUACUACUAAUAUCUGAUAGCUGGCUGAGUUCAUAAUAUUACUGAUCUUACUGAGUGUUGAGUUCAUGAGAUUACUGAUCUUACUGAGUACUGAGUUCAUGAGAUUUCUGAGAGUACUGAAUUAUAGAGAUUACUGAAGUUAUCAGGUACUGAGAUUUCUAAAAUUAACUGAGAUUAACUGAGAUUACUGAACUACUGAGAAUGCUAAGGUUUCUAAGUUUUCCUGAGUCACAUGACUAACUGAAUUCUAUAGAUCAUGGCUUGACUGAGAGUAUUAUGAUAACAUGACAUGACUCUAGGCACACAACUAUAUUUUUUUGGGUACAAGUACCCCCAGGACUCGAUGGAAGGAAACUGACACAACAUGACUUACUUGAUCAUAGGAGUAAAGUCCACAAUUCAUAAUGUCAUAAGUUGGGGAUUUCAUGAAGUACAUGGUCAUCAUAAUCUUGAACAUGGAAGAUAAUGCAUAUAACAUGUACAUACUUUCAUGGGUCCAAUUUCAUGAGCAUUCCAUAUCACAACAACAAUACAUAAUAAUUUGCAUGAAAUUCAUGUUGAGUCAUAAGGGAUAGAGCAUGGACUUGUCAUUUAGGUUCUACUAAGCUAUAAUGCAUGAUUUCUAGUCUCUUAGGUAUUUUAUCAAACACCUUGCAUGCACACUUUAUGGCAUAGUCAUAUUCAUCACUUUAAUAAUUCAAACCACCCAAAAUUUAUAUAUUUCAAUAUACAUGUCAUCCUAGUUUCAUAAAAUUACAUAAAGAUUCUAACUUGGGAGUUGUAUAACAAUCAAUCACACAAACAUAAUCGACCCACAACAUAACCUCAUGAUUCAUAAUUUAAAAGAGGGUUCUUGAACUUUAUGGAUGAAAGGGAUCCAUAAAUCAACACUACGCAUACCUUAGCUCUUGAUUUAUUGAAGAUUGACGGAGAGAUUCUUGAAAUUUGAUGGUGAAUUCCCUUGGAAUUGAUCAUUCUAUGAAAAUCCUAGCUUGUGUUCUUGAGAGUUUUUGAAAGAAACUAACAAUAUUUGGGUGAAAAUAUAAGGAAUCUCGUGUUAAAGUAGCUUAUAUAGGGGUUGGAAGGUUACAAUUUUGCCCUUGGGAACACGGACUGGAUUGCUGAAAAUUGGCCCAAGGCUAUAGCAUGGGCGGCGCCCUGCCUAGCCCGGGGGAAUAACCUGGGCAGCACCUAGCUACAACAGUGCAGUAACCAGGGCGGUGCCUUGGCUACAGCGGUGCUGAAAGCUGGGCGUCGCGGGCUUAACCCCUUUUGCUACUGGUUUGGCACACCAAACGUGCCCUUACGCUACUCCAAAAAUUUCAAAAUUUAUCCGAUAUGUACUACGACCUUGUCCCAUCGCAACGCAACUCGGAAAUUAAAAAAUGAAGGUCGGAAAGGUCUUCAAAUAAAUCCACAAAGUUCGGAGGUCUAAAAUAAGACUAAGUGUUGAAAACUUAGCAAAGUUUUCUAAGUCUUGGAGCUUGUGAAGCCUAACGAUCGAAAUUUUAGACUUAGGAUUUUACGGGGUAUUACACCUACCCAUCAUUUGUGGACGAAUGAUCCCAAGGGGAGAUAAUGUAACACCCCGCAUUUUCAGGGUAGAACAUAAACUGUCAUUCCUACAUGUAGAUAUUCCAAAAGGCCAAAAAUACAAUUCAAAUUUGGUAUGUUAAUCAAUUAUGUAGUGUGGUAACCUAUUUGAGCAUGAAUUUAGAUCAUAGAGUUCCCCUAACUCAAGGUCAAGUUGAAAGCUUUCCUAUCGUUCGAGUUUUAGUGAACGUCAAAACUUGAGUCAACUUCAAUUGAACAUAACUACUUAUAUAUGAUGAACUGGGUGGUCUACUAUAUAUCAAAUGAAAUCUCUUCAAAUUAUCUUUCCAAAGAUACCAAUUUCGCACAAAACCAAUACCGGAUCAAAAUGUUAUGCCCAUUUUACUCCAGCAUAUCAGCCUGGCAACUGAGUGAUGACAAUUCUGACGGCUUGUCACAAAUUUGAUGACUUAUAGAAUAUGUCGUUAGCCUUAGUUAGAAAAUCAUAAAUUUUAAAUCCUAGGUGACGACCUGGGCUGACGGGCUAUCACAGAUCUGACGGCUUCUCAGCCUUGGUCGUCAGCUGAAAAUUUCAGCAACUGGAAAGUGAUUUCGUAGGGAUAUUUUGGUCUUUUUCUCACUCCAAAAUUGUUUCAAAUGAAUUAAAUCACCCCUUAAGUGUUAUUAAUCCAUAUAUUAUCAGUUUUACAACAUCUCACUCCUCUCUACUCUCAAGAACAAGAUGAAAACUAGGGUUUCCUCCAAGAUCAAGAAAUCAAGAAAAUCAAUCCUUAAGUUCAAGAUCUCCAAGAAACAAAUCAAGAUUCAAGUUUCCUUCCCUUCCAUAUAUCAAGAAUUCAUCUUUCUAAGUGAAGAUAUUCAAGAAAGGGAUCAAGAUCCGGGUUUCAUCUAUCUAGAUCCGGGUUUCAUCUUUCAGAUCUUAUAAUUUAAGGUACGGGGGGGUUUUCUAAAAUCUCAUGAGCAUAGAAAUCAUGUUUUUAGGAAAAGGGUUUCAGACUUAUGAACAUAUUCAUGUUUUAGAAGCAUUGAUGAUAUUGUUUUGGCCUUUAGGCCUUCCCCCAAAUUGAUUUAAAGUGAUACAUAUAUAUAGGUAUGUGUUUUAAGGUUGAUAAUUGAAUUGAGAGCAUGAUUCAUGUAAAAUCUCUCUCUGGUUAUGAUUUUUCUUUUACUUAUGACAUGCUAUGGAUUGUUCCGAAUGUGUUUCGAAAAGCUUGAUAUGAAAGGUCUUGAAUAACGUCAUAUUCGGAUUAUGAUUUUGAUUUAUAAAAGAGAGAGGGUAGUUUACGUUGAUAAAUGUGAAAAUAUUCAUAUAAUGAAAAAGUGGAUGAUUUUUCCAAAAGCACAUAACCACCAUAUGUUUGAGGAAUUCUUGUAUAGUUUUGACUUAUGUUUCGGAACAUGAAAUCUCUUAAACUAUUUGCAUGUUUGGGUGGUCUGAGCUAUGUUUAAUGGAAGAAUCAUGCAUGAUGCAUUAUGGCUCAGAAAUAGGACUUGCAAGUCUCGGUGUGACGACACCAAUUCAGAUUAUGCCAUGAUAAUUCAGAAUAGAAUAGAAUGCACGUUUGAAAUCAGACUUUUCAGAUGUUGAAACUAGAAAAAUGCAUGAUUCAGAAUAGGAUAAAAUUAGGCAUAAAGAGAUCUUAGGAGGUUCCCCGAAGAAGGCACGAGUUCAGACAACUCACUUUCCAAAACUGUGAUUUGCCGAUCCGGGUAUAUUAUAUUACGCUGGCCUAGUGUCGUGUGGCGCAUCAGAAUUAGAAACUCCAACCCUUGCGGCACACUCGGGUUACGGGCUUCCCCACCAAGUCAAUGGCGGAUUCUAUACGGCCCGUGGGAUUUUCGACUUGUAGGGGUGUACUACCUAACUCAGAAUUAAUACAAAGAUCAGAAACUGCAUUGUCAAGAAUGAUUUAUGAUUUUUCAGAAAAGUGCCCAUGUGUUUUGAAAACUAUUUUAUGUAUGAUGUUUUGAAAAAUUUCUCUCCAUUAUUUUAUUUAUAUAAAUUCUUUAUUUUGGAUUACUUUGCAUACCAGUACAUCUGUAUUGACCCCCCCUCACUCCAAGUUCAGAGGCUCAGUCUAGGGGUCCAAAUAAAUGGUAGAUAAUUCAGACGACAGAUCAGGUUGUGCAGUGGUGAGCCUUCUAUAUUCUAGAAGGCUUGUUCUUUCAGAUUAUGUCCUUUUAUUAUGGUUUUGGUCUACUGGGGACCCUGUUCCAGUUUCAGACAGUUGUUAUUUAAUCAUUGAGUAGAGAUUUCGCAGACGGUUUUCAGGUGAUGUUUAGUUGAUAUUGGAUUCUUUUCCUCAUUGUUAAAUUAUAUUUAGAUUAUGACCAUGUUUUCGUAGAAGAUUUUAUUUCCAUAUUUCCUAUUUAUAUAUAUGAAUGGUGUAUAUGAUUACAAGUUAGAAGGGCUCUCGGGCCUUCAUGGUUUGGGAUGUCCGUCACGGUCAGGGCCCCGGUUCGGGUCAUGACAAGUUGAUAUCUAUCAGUAUUUGAAGUAGCCAUCUUUUAGAGAGAAACUGGGAGUAAAUUUCCCCUAUAUAAGGGCUUCCUUUAUUGUAAAUCGUUCCUCCAGAGAAAAAAAUAAUUACUCUCUCUAAUCUUGUUCUUCUCUACUUUAUUUUUUAUAAUAUAUUAUUAGUACGAGACUCUACCAAUGAAGAUAUUUAUUUGAUUGAUUCCGGCACUACACAUACGAUAUUCAAAGACGAUAAAUAUUUCUCUCAUCUAAACAUGGGCUAGAUUAAUGUUACUACAAUUUUUGGUAGCGCUAAUUUGAUUGAAGGCUUCGGAAAAGCCAUUAUAAUCUUGCUCAUGGGAGCUAAACUCAUCAUAAUUAUGCUAUGUUUUCUCUUAAGUCUGGGAGAAACUUGUUGACUUUUAAAGAUAUGGUGAAAAUGGUUAUCAUAUCAAGACAAUUAUGAGCUGAAUCUUGAAUAUCUUGGUAUCACCAAGAAUGUCUCAGGGCAGAUAUGUAUUAUAGAAAAGUUCUUUGCUUUAUCUUCUGGCAUGUAUUGAACAAAGAUUUGUGCAAUUGAGGUACAUUCUAUAGUAAACCAGAAGUUUACUAAUUCCAGUACUUUCGUACUUUGGCAUGCUUGUCUGGAACAUCCUUGAUCUAUAAUGAUGAGACGAAUUAUAAAAAAUUCAAAUGUGCAUCCAUUAAAGAACUUGAAGGUUCUUUCAAAUGGUGAAUUUUCAUGUAAUGUUUUUUAUCAAGGCAAGAUAAUUGUGAGGCAAUCACCAACAAAAGUUGGGAUUGAGUCCCCCACGCUCUUGGAACAAAUACAUAGGGAUAUUUGUGAACUCGUUCACCCACCUAAUGGGUUGUUUAGAUACUUUAUGGUCCUAAUAGAUGCUUUUUUAAAUGGUCUCGUGUGUGCCUAUUGUUAUCUUGCAACUUGGCAUUUGCAAAAUUAUUGGCACAAAUAAUAUGAUCACGGAAACAAUUUCCUAAUAAUCAUAUUAAAUCUAUUUGCCUUGAUAAUGCUGCAAGAUUUUCAUCCCAAGCAUCUAAUGACUAUUUCGUAUCGAUUGGUAUAAGAGUGGAACAACCUGUAGCUCGUGUUCACACUCAAAAUGGCCUUUAUGAGUCAUUAAUUAAACAUUUCAGUUGAUAGCAAGACCAUUACUUAUGAGAACUAAGUUUUCCACUUCUAUUUGGGGUCAUGUGCAACACCCCGUAUUUUCCUAGCAUAAUGUAAGUCCCAAUACAAGAGUAUUCAUAUAUAUAAUAUUUUUGAAACACUCAUUAUUUUUUAUUUUAGAGCCUACCAUUGCGUAGGAAAUUGAAUUAGCUUUCCAACGAUAUCAAAUUUGCCAAAAUCCAAUAAUCGGGUAAGAAGUUAUGGCGAUUUAAAGUUUUAGUCGUUAAACACCGUCAUUUUAACCCUUAGCUCGUCACGUAGGCAGCCCAAAUAACAAUUAUUGACUUCCAUUGUGACUCCGCGAUUAUGGCACGUCGUGGAGAAGACCAAUUUCUCGUUUGUCAAUUUCCAGUGAACCUCCGCAAUCAUGGCACGUCGUGGAGGUGGACAAAUUGGCAUCCACAGGCUUACAAUGAUAGUGGCAUAUCGCGGCAUUUAUCCAGGUCCCAGUUGUCCCUUUUUCAGUGGCUUGGCAUGAUAGUGGCGCAUCACACCAAGGCCAAAAAUUGGGAUUUCAGUUUCUAGCUUGUGUUUUAAAUUUGUUUAAGAGUAUUUGGGUCUUUUCCCUAAGCCCUAAACCCGUCCUAAACACGAAAUUUAAAUCCUAAUUGACCUAAAUACCCAUCAUUAUUCACUUUCUCUCGAAUUAAAAAUCCCUUUUUUCAAGAACAAGAAAUUCUAGCUCUCAAGAAUCAAGUUCAAAUCUCAAGAACACACCAUCAAUCCUUCGAAAUUCAUCCAUUAAGGUAUGUUGGAUGUUCAUCCACGGAUCCCUUUCAUCCAUGGAGUCCAAGUAUCCAUUUUAUUACAAAUCUAUCAUCUUCUCAAGUUUAUUUGAUUUUAAAUUAUGAUUUCAUCCAUGAAUCCCCAUGUACUAGUGAUUUCAUACCAUGUCACCAUGAAAUUAUUGUUAUUAUUCAAUCCUCCACGUUUUAAUAUUGCUAUUUACUAAAAAAAACCAUGAUUUAACUCUAUUAUAUCGAAUUCAUGCUAUUUCUAUAUGUUUUAGGACAUUCCUAUGAUUGUUUUGAACCAUGAACUACAAGUGUUUGAUAAAAUGUUACAAGAGUAAAUGUUUUAUGGAUGCGUUCAUACUAUGUCCUCCAAUGUUCUUGUGUCAUGCUACUAUUAUUGUUUUGAGUCCUAGCGGUAUUGAAUACCUGAAAUCGUAGCUGUUUACUUAGUGUUGUUUUAGUAUCUUCAGAAUAACUUCAGAUUGUAUCAUGAGUAUUAUCAGAACACUCAGUUAAACUCAGAACAGUCUAGUAUGUCAGUGUCUUUCAGUUGGGAGUAGGAUUUAGCACCGAGCGAGUGUAGGAAUGGAGGCUUCCCCGUCAGAUAGGCAGAGUCGUUAGUAGCAGUCCCUAUACUCUAGGACUACGUAGACAGCAAAGGAUAUGAGAAUUCACCCGUCAGAAUAGGAUUGACUAUCUCACAGGGGUCACUCGUCAGUUUAGGCUUGACACCCUUAGUCCUAUGGACAUUAUAUCAGUUUAGUGGAUCCACACAUCCAAUGUUAGUACCCAUGACACGGUAUUAACACCCAUCCAACUAGGGUUAUAGGUUGAACCCCGAUUAGCUCAGAUUAGGACAUGUCGGUUAGAUGAUACCUCCUACAGUCUCAGUAUAGUCCUAAUUCAGUUAUGCAGUCUUAGAGUUAUUUGACCAAAGCAUACAGAUAUCAGUAUUUUGUCAGUAAUUAGUUUACAUAUUUUACUCAGUCUAUGUUAUAUACUUGGUCAUGCAUCCUCAGGGUCUAUAGAUUUUCAUGUAUUUUCAGUAGUUACACUCUCAUGCAUAUACAAUAUUUACGUGCUUUACAUAUCUCCGGUAUCUAUAGAUUUCACAUCCUAUACUCAGUACUCCAUGCUUACAUGUAUAUUCAGAUAGUUUAUUACUCCUAUUCAUGAAACCUUGCAUGUCAGCCUACCUCAUUUAGCAUACCAGUACAUUCAAAGUACUGAUCGCAUACUUUUUCUUUUGCACUAUGAUGUCUCAUAUCAUAGGUGCUGGCGCUCAGUUCCUGGAUCGCACCUAGAUUCUCAGAUUAUCAACAGAACAGUAGCAAUGGUGAGUCCUCAUCAUCCGAGGACAAAUUAUAUUACUUCAUGUCUUUAUCCCAGUAGUUAGUAGAGUUAGUUAGGUCCUGUCCCAUCAACUCACAGUAUUCAGUUCAGAGGCUUUUCAGACACUACAGUUAGCUAUUCAGAUUUCAGUAUUAUACCAGAUUCAUAAUUCAGUAGUCGUUUCAUUAUUAAAACCUUAUGGCAUUUUAGUUAUUCUUCCGCAUUCAUGAUUAUAUUAUUCAAUGCCCACGGCAGGUACCAGCUCAUGGGUUAGCUUGUGGUCCCUCGGGAUCAUAAGCACCGUGUAAUGACUAGGGGGUAGUCUCGAGUCGUUACAUCAUGCAAUUUUGCAUGCUACAACACUUGUUCGUCUUAGACUGACAAAUCAUCAUAAAUUUUCUCUGUUGUAAUUAGUUGGUUCAAGAGCCUAAUACAUCUCAUCUGAGAAUUUUUGGGUGUGUUGUAUAUGUGCCUAUAGCACCACCAAAUCUCACCAAGAUAGGCCCCCAAAGUAGGUUAGGAAUUUAUGUUGGGUUUGAAUCACCCUCCAUUAUUCGCUAUCUUGAACCAUUAAUGGGAGAUAUGUUCACUGCUCGAUUUGCAGAUUGUUGGUUUGACGAGAUAGUUUUUCCAAAAAUUAGGGGGGAAAGAUAGUGACAUCAAAAGAGAAAUUUUAUGAAAAAAUUCAUCAAUAUCUCAUCUUGAUCCACGUGUUUUUAAUUGUGAGCAAAAAAUACAAAAGAUUAUCUAAAAAGGAUCACCAAAUCACAUAUUCUUGUAAAGAAUGUACCAAUUCGAAUUGAUAUCCCUAAAGGAUCAUCCACCAGUGGCAUAGCUAAUGAGUCCAAAGUACGCUUGAAGUGUGGUAGAUCAUUGGAUUCUAAGGAUCGAAAUCCUAGAAAAAAAAUAGAUUAUCAAGAUGACACUACGAAAGAUCCUCAUAUGGAAAUUCAAGAUUUUGAAAAUGUUGAUAUCCUUAAAGGAAUCAUUGGGCCUGAGACUCAAGAAAAUGAGGAACUAUCCAUAAAUUCAAGUGAUGUUGGAACUAAUUUGAAUCGAUCCAAAAUAGUAGUGGAUUAUGUCUUUGCAUAUAAUGUUGCAACAAAAAUCAUGCAAGAUAGUGAAGAUCUUGAAUCUCAAUCUAUCAUAGAAUAUCGACAAAGAAAUGACUAGCCAAAAUGGCAAGAAGCUAUUCAAUUUGAAUUGAAUUCACUUCUUAAACGUGAAGUUUUUGGACCUAUAGCUCAGACACCUAAUGGUGUUAAGCCUGUUGACUACAAGUGGGUUUUUGUACAAAAAAGAAUUGAGAAAAAUAAAAUACAAAGGUAUAAGGCACAUCUUGUUGCAUAAGGAUUUUCACAACGGCCUGGUGGCGAUUAUGAAGAAGCAUAUUCACCAAUUAUGGAUGCAAUAACAUUGCAUUAUCUUAUUAGUUUCACUGUUCAUAAGAGACUUGAAAUGCAUUUGACGGAUGUGGUAACAAUCUAUCUAUAUGGAUCACUUGAUAAUGAGAUAUACAUGAAAAUUUCCGAAGAAUUUAAAAUUUCAUUAGAUUGCAAAGAUCAUUGUAUGGUUUAAAGCAAUCUGGAUGCAUGUGGUCUAACCGUCUUAGUGAAUAUUUAUCUAAGGAAGGUUAUAUGAAUGAUGAAAUUUGCCCAUGUAUUUUUAUAAAGAAAACAACGUCGAAGUUUGUUAUACUUAUUGUCUAUUCGAUGACAUAAACCUUAUUGGAACUCCAAUAGAGCUUUAAAGGGCCAUUGAUUACCUAAAGAAAGAAUUUGAGAUGAAAGAUCUCAGAAAGACAAAAUUAUGUCUUGGUUUACAAAUUGAGCAUUUGACAAACAGUAUCUUUGUCCAUCACUCUCUCUACUCCUUUUUCCUUCCAUACACGAUUGAAGUACCCCUUCAUUACUAAUUGUAGAGGAUUCAAACCCAUCACAUAGCAUAUUACCGCUAACUCCCAAAAAUUCACCUCCUCUUGAAUAUCUUCCAUCGUUAUUUUAACUGUAGUACUCGGCUCCUCAAGAUUAUCCAAUUCAAAUCCCUCUAUAUUUCGCCCUGCACUUACAAUUCACUCCAUUUGUUCUCACCAGAUUUCAGUGCCCGGGAGUCAUUAUGGUGUAUGAUUGGGUCUUCUUCAACCAUAUCCGACCAGCUCGCUUUGCCUGAGCUCUUUGAUUGUGAAGUCGUCGUAUCCACCAAAUUUGAGGUUUUGAUCAUAGAUGUACUGUGUGGUAACUGGAACGGCACUAUCCCUUGUAAUUCAUUCACAUUCUUCAUUUUUUUGCAUCUACUGAUUGUGGUACUUGCUUUGUAGUGUUGUUGGUGGACCGAUUUACUGUUUGGCUUUGUGAAUUCGUCCCUCCGAGCUUCGAUUUCUUUGCCAUUUUCAGUUUUCACUGAGAGAGACCGCCAUCUCUACAGAGAGAAUUUUUUGGCAGCUUGAAGGAGUACUUUCUUGAUUAACGAAUAGGAAAGGAUUUUGGAGUUCGAACUUCUAACCAUCACGAAGUUUUUUAUCCUCAUAUAUAACUGGUGUGACUACCUCCUAUUACAUUUUCUUCCCCCCCUUUUUUUUUUUGCAAAAAAGAACUAGUCAUAGUUACUCCAUUCAUUUCAAUUUUUGUCAAUAUGUUAUUGUUUAUGGAGUCAAAAAAGAAUUUUCUUAAACUACAUUUUCUUAUUUUUUAAAAAAAUAUUUUAAACUAGAGGAGGAUCUAGUUAAAUCGAUUCACAAGUUCUUGAAAACCCAAUAACUUUUAUAUUAACCCUAUAUUUAUCAUUAAAGAUUUAUUAAAUACAUAUAAAAUAUUUGUUGGAAACUUAUUAACAAAAUAGACCAGAAACAAUUGCUAACCUUUGACUACAGAUUCGAUUCUCCUUGGGAAUUAAUAAAUGUUCUUAAAAUAAUCUGAGAUUUUUGAGAAUUCAUAAAACUCAAAUCUUAUAUUUGUUUAUGAUGAGUAUAUGCUUUUAUAUAUGUUGUAGUAUUGAGUGAUUAUAUACCCCUUUCUCAAACAUCGAUAUCCAUAGCUCUUUCUUUCUUUUCUUUUUUUUUUGAAAACAAGAAAACUAAUGAAAGAAAUAAAUUAGUUUGGACUGAUUUAAGUCUAUUUUAGGUCCUAAUUGAACUAGACUUAAAAUGGAAAUAAUUAUCUCAAUAUAUGCUCUUGAUUUUCAAUAAUUUUCAAAUCAAUACUAAAUGCUUAACUGAGAAAAAGUAUCAUUAUAUAUAUAAAAGUUUGUAGAUACACAGAACUGUGAAUAUUUUCAAGUUUUCUCUACCCACGUGGAAUAUAUAUUGUUCAAACCAGACGACUUGAAGGCCACACAGAACAAUAGUGAGUCAUAGACUCCAAAAAAAAAAAAAAAACUAUCAUUUUUAUUUCAUUUAUUAUAAAGUUGUUUGGACACCCACUUGCUAUCUAGAGAAAAAACUAUACUCAUACAAAUAAAUAAUCAAAAUUUUUAUUAAGAGAGCUUGAAAAAUACAAAUAUAGUACUUAUUUGGAAUUUUAACUUGAAAUGUCAAGGUGAAACUUUUAUGGAGAGGAUUCGAAUGAACGCCUUCGCUCCCUAAAUCCAACCUUAUACAUAAUCACCAAGUCUUUUUUCCUUCUAGCAUGCAUCAUGUGUGUCAUCACUCCACCUGAUACUUCUAAAUCUAGCUAGGUACUCUUCCUUUAAUCAUCUAAUUAUUGCUUUCUCACAGCAAUAGGAAUUCUAACAAAAUGUUUGCCAUCACUCCAUGCCAAACUUCCAAAGGUAAAUUUACUUCUUCUUUGGUUAGUAGUUGUGAUCUUUACCUCAAAGGAAAUCUUGGUUGUCUUGGCAUUAAACUUCAACACAUCUGGAGUUACUUUAAUAGCAGUAUUUCUUGGAGGUUUAACCACUAAUUUGUAUAAAGAGUUAGCAUUUCCAACAUUGGUGACAGUUCUCUUGAUUGUAACUGAAUCCUUGAGAUUUGGAAUAGAUAUUGAAGGGAGAUUCAUAUCCAUCCUUGAAGGUACUUCUUUGGGACACACAAUGCCUGCUGAAGAAGAUGAUUUUUUCGCAUCGGAAUGAUACGUAGUUGCAUUGUAAAUCCUAUCAUUACUAUAACCCAUGCUGCAAAAAUAAUUCAAAUAAUCAUUUCUAUCCAUAUCAUAGAUUAAACCAGGAUCUGCUGCUCCAUUUGGAUUACAUAUGCCACCUCCAAAGUCAAAUGGAUCAGCAAGUUUUGCUCCAUUUCCUUCUGAAAAAAUUUCAGUUGCAUAUGUGUCCUCGUUCCAUGCUACACACAGAUGACAAACAAAUCCUUUCACAACACUUAACAGUGUAAAAGUGUAGAGUGUAAACCUUUGUGCACGAUGGGAUUAAUUAAAGGGACAAAUAACAUGUAAUUACUACUAAUAAGCUUAAUUUGGUAAAAAUCAACCUGUUAUAAUGGGAUAAAAUAUAUUAAUGGUGUAAAAACUUAAUAAAUGUAAGGUAAAUUAUUUUCUCAGUGAAACAAUUGGAAAGUCAUCAGUGAUUGUGUUCUUUUAUGUUAAAUUGAUGUAUAACAAUGAGAACUUUUCAUAUAGAAUUCGGUAAGGUAAGUUAGUAUACUAUAAUAAGUCGAAUUGUGCUAUUAAUGUAUAGAAUUUAAAUUUAUAAGAUAUUACCUGUUGUCACAAGUGCAGACUUGAUAGCUGCUGGAGACCAAUUAGGAUGUGCAGCUUUGAGGAGUGCAACAAUUCCUGAGACAUGAGGGGCUGACAUGGAUGUUCCUGACAUGAUGUUGAAUCCAUUGUAUCCUUUAAGAAGGUGAGGUGGAACUGCAGCGAGUAUAUUUACACCAGGAGCUGCAAUAUCGGGCUGUAA